UUUCGAGGGUUUGGAAAUGACGGGUGAGCGACGGUGGGUUCCGGUAUCGAAAUUGACACUUCCGGGAAUUCGGAUCCGAACGAUUAUCCGACGAUAGUGUUGGUUGUGUAUUCUUGUGUUUGCUGCCAUGAUGCACGAUUAUUUAUGUAUAGUGGUAGCGAGUGACUCGUAGCAUGAGUCGGUGUGUUCCAGGACAGUUCGUGGAUCCCGGCGGAGUCCCGUAGCGAUUUUCGGGACUUCCGACGAGUUACGGUAGUUGGUUUUGGGAAACCGAUCUCUGUGGGAUUAGUUUGUGGGAUGUGGAGUCAAUGGUUAUUAGUGGUGGGUUAGACACUAACCCGAUGGACCUUCCUUAGGUCUGGUUGACAUUCUUUUGCAGUCAGGAGACAGAUGUGACAUCCUUACAGGUGGGUACUUCGAUCCGAAGUCGGUACAGUGGUACACGCUCGGUGAUGGUUUCUUACCCUUACUCUUCUGUUGUUACUAUUGCAUCGUAUAUAUUGAGCCUUGCACCUAUGUUAUUCCAUUAUACUCUGCUCGUUGUUUGCAUGCUUAGUAUCCUGAGUAGGAGUAGAGUAGUUCUAUCUAUAUGCAUAUAUGUUGACCUGGUUGGUCGGUUGUUGCAUUCCGUAUCUGUUGACCUGGUUGGUUGGUUCUCGUACUUCGUAUUAGCGACCUUGCUGGUCGGUUGGACUUUGUGGACUUUGGGUCCAGGCAACACAUCGACUCUCUCGUCAUGUGUUUCAAUCUGGUUGAUCGAGGCUCGACAUUAUACGCCCUUGUUUCUGGCUUCGACCUAGGCACCGGCUUCAGCCGGUUUUUGUAUUGAGCAUACCAGCAUGACUUAGUCACAGCACUUGGGGGUAUUCACGACACCGGGUCGAUUUGGCCACCGACCGAAGGUGUGCUUAUCCGGAUGGGUCGUUCUGUGGGGCGGGUGAAUCAGGUCGGUACAGAUCAGUGACAGGCAGCGCUUGAGGUCUGCGGACCAAUAUAGUAGGUACCCGAUUGGGUACAGUUUUGGUUUGGUUACCUUGAGGCAUACUCAGCUUUGCAUUCCUUACAGUAGCAGUUUUAUUUAUUGCUCAGUUAUCUGUUAUAGCUACUGUAGUUUCUUUGUAUCAGCACCUGUAUUUGUUUACCAUAUUGUUGUUUACCUCUUCCUGAUCCGGUGAGUACUCCUCGCCUUCAUCGGCUUGCGGUACCCACUGGGAGGGGAGACAUGUUUACAUGUUCUCACCUUCCCCACCAUUUUUCAGGUAUCGCCGGCGGUGAGAGUUGAGACAAGACGUGAGACACAUUCGUAGUGGUCGCUAGAGCUUCCGACCCAAUUUGUCGGUUUAGUUCCUACCCUGUUUACUUUUGUUAUUAAUAGCUUUAAUAUUACAUGGUUCAGUUGGUUUAUGUUAUUCGAAUUCAUGUGGUUUUGAAUGAACUAUAGAACUCGUGGAUUUUGUGAAAAGGGAAAAUAGUUUUCUACCUCUCGUGGUAGCAUUUUUUAAAAGAUAAAAGUUUCCGAGUAGGGAACAGUUUUCAAAAGGUUUUCUGUGGAUUUAUGUGUAGACAUUGAAUGUAAAUCUGUGAUGUGAAUGGUGAAUGUAUGAAUGUAUAGUUAUCUCUAUAUUCAUUUAGUUGUGGUUGUAUCCGGUUUACUUGUUGUACUUGUGCGACGCCGUGCAAAUACAGGGGAGACUCUGUCCGUGUGAAGAGUGGAUUUCCUGUAUUUGUGGCGGAUCUGGCAUACCCUGGGGUCAGAUUUUCAAAAACAAUUUAGACGCUUUUCCGCUAUGUUUCAAACUAAAAGGGAUCCCGGAGCGUGACAGGUUAUUAAUUAUAAUAUAUCUUAGCUUCAAUUUUGUCUGUUUUUUUUUUUUUUUUUUUUCCAAACCUGUAGCUCUGGGUUUGCUAAUGUAUGGAUAGAAUUUGGUUCUAGGGUUUAUUGGUUAUAAUUGCAAACAUGUGCAUCUGUUAGGGAUUGUUGCUUUGAUUUGCCGAGGUUUAAUUAGAUGUAAAUGCAACUUUCUUUAUUUAUGUUCUUUUUACUUUGUUUAUUGUGUAAAUGAAUGUUAUUUUAGUUUGAGAACUUUUGUUUUAAAUUACAAAUUAUGAUUGCUUUAACUCUUACUUCCAACCUAAGACUAUGUUAUGUAUAAUUUCUACUUGCUUCUGCUUUACAAGCAUUUUGUGGUUAUGUUACAAUUUUGCGAUGGAUAGUUGUAGUUUUAUGUUCAACUAGUUAAACACCUGCACUUCGCUGCGGGAAAAAAAAAUUACAAUAAAUAUACAAUAAAAAAGUAUUAAAAAAUAAAAAUUAUUUAUAUUAGAGAUUUAUUUAAAGUUAAGACACAACAAAUAAAAUAACUUUUUUUCUCUUAAAAAAUAAUUUUUUAGCGAAAAAUGCAUAAAAAACACUACGCCGCCAACGCCGUCGCAUCCUUCGUUCUCGACACCAUCGCGUCGGCGCUGGGUGGGCUUCUCAAAAUCGUCAAAUCAAGACCUAAGGUUUCUCGAAAGCAUACCUCCACUGGACGGUGAGUGACUCGUAGUAACUAACCAAAUAUAUAUGUAGUUAUAAGUAACCACAUAAUCUUUUAGAGAUCGUAAAUUCUAAAUAUAAAUAUUUAACAUUAUUAUCAAAAAAUCUAUAUAUAGUUAUAAGUAACCAAAUAAUCUUUUAGAGAUUGUAACUUCUAAAUAUAAAUGUUGAGAUUUUUAGUUUUUAAAUUAUCAAAAUAUGAGCAAUCAUAAUAUUAACUACUAUAUUAUUAAAACAAUGAGUAGUUAGUAAAAUCAACAAAUUUUAAUUAUUAUGUGAGAAAAAAUUUCUAUUUAUAAUUAUAAUAUUUUAAUUUUACACAUUGCUAUUUCAAAAUUUUAUAUAUUAACACUAUUUUGAGUAAAUUUUUUUUUGUAUACUGAUUCAAAAAAAUGUAUUAUAUGAGUAAUAUUAUUGAAAAAUAUUAUGUUGAAAAUUUUUUACUGUCUCAUUUUAGCAAAAUCAAAUACUAAAUUAAAUUUUUUUUUAUUUCAAUAUCAAAAAUUUACUUUUAUUUUUGUUACUGUACCAAAAAUUAAAAAGUUUCUCUUGUUCAAAUGAGCUCCAUAAUUAGCCCUCGCCCUGCCUCCGCUGUCCAAACCACCACCACCGCGACGCCUACCGACCCCCACCACCGCCACCGUCACCGCCACCACCACCGCCGCCCCAACCUCCAUCCCUUCAUUAGCCCUCGCCCCGCUUGCCGCCGCUCGCUCUCCACCCGCGCACCGGCCCUCCCCUCGGCGGCGGACAUCUCCGCCCUCGACGCCCCCGCGGCCCUCGCCGCGGCCUCCGUGGUCGUGGCCGCUGCUGUCGCCACUGUGCUGUCUCUUUCCAACCUCGGGCAGCGCUUAUGCUAAUGAAUGAUAGGGAGAGAAAGAGAGGGGGCUAAGAUAGAAAGGAGAAGGGAAGAGAGAGAGAGUAGGGGAGAGGAGGAGAGAGAAAGAAAGAGGGAGCUAGCUGGAGAGAAUUUUUUUGGGAAGGAGAGAGCUGUCUUGGAAAAUCCCAAGAAUAUCUUGGGAAAAGAGUGAAGAUUUUUUGGGAAAGGAGCUGGUCCAAGCUGGUCCACCCUUGGGAAGGACCCAAGAAGCUAAGGGAUUGCCACGUAUGCCUCAAGAAACUGUCAAAUUAUGUAUUUAUAUCUUGGAAAAAGAGAGAAGAUUUUUUUGGAAAGGAGCUGGUCCAAGCUGGUCCACCCUUGGGAAAGAGCUAAGAAGCUAAGGGAUUGCCACGUAUGCCUCAAGAAACUGUCAAAUUAUGUAUUUAUAUCUUGGAAAAAAAGAGAAGAUUUUUUUAGAAAAGAGCUGGUCCAAGCUGGUCCACCCUUGGAAAGGAGCCAAGAAGCUAAGAAAUUGCCACGUAUGUCUCAAGAAACUGUCAAAUUAUAUAUUUGUAAGGAUUUUACUUCUCUUUAAGAUUUCUCCCAAUCUGCAUGAGAUAUAAAACUCUACUUAAUUUGGUUAUGCUUGAAUUGAAUGUAAUUACACGUUUAAUAUACUAUUUCAAUACUUUCUGUCAUGUGGAAUUCAAAGUAAUUUCAUUUUUGCAGCUUAGGUAAAGCAAAAUGUUGGGUUACAUUAUUUUUUAUGUAUUAUUUAUUAAUUAUUAUAUCUAAUUUAUUAUGAAAUAUAAAUAAUAUUUUGCAAAUAUAGGGCUAGGGCAAAGUUGGCAUUUUAUAUAUUCAACCCCCACAUUUUUUUCAUUAUUCUCUACUAUUUUAUAAAAUUAACUAAAUACAAAUUCAUUUAUUCCUUAGAAUAUCAGCUUUAUAAACCAAACACAAUUUUACUUUUAUCCCUAACUAUUCUGAAAUUGCAAGCUAUCCUAGAUAUAAAAAAAUUUAUGCCAAUUAAAUUUAAAUCCCGCCCAAACUGGGCCUUAGUAAACUAUUAAGAGCAGCCGUUAUCUCUUUAAAAUUAUUAUUUUGCUCUUUUCGAAUAUAUCCUUCUAUCGUCACCAGUAUUUUUUUAUUUGCUCUUAAAUUAGAGGUAAAAGAAGUAUUUUGACUUUUUACAUUUUUAGAUAUACUCACUCUUUUACUGUCACUCAUUUUUUUUAUUUGUCCUUAAGUUAGGAGAAAAGAGUUACUUUGACUUCUUUUUAAUUUUCAUAGAAAUUUAAUCCAGAUUUAAUGUAAGAUGACUUAACGGAGUGAAUAAUGAAAAAAUAUAUGAGGGAAACAUUUGAAAAAAAAGAAAUAUAUAAAAUAUUUUAAAAGUUUUGAAAAAAUAUAUUAGAUAUUAUUCCAAAAUAAAAACAUUAAAUAAACGGCCUAGAAAAAUAGUGGAGGGAUAUAUAGUCUGAACCCUGGUCUGAAAUCCCAUUCCUCUGCGUAAUUCAUAUCGCUCUCUUCUCUCUUCUUCCCUCCCACUCCAAUCGCCGCUCUCCAUGUCGGGGGCGGAGGAAGCAUGGACAAAGCUAUGACUCAAUUAUUAGGGAGGGCCAAAAUACAUACAAAUCAAAAUUUUAACAAAUAAACAAGAUUUACCUAAUCAAACUUUUGAUUAGAAAAUAGAUUGACUAAAUAAUUAGUGUAAAAAAGCAUUACCCCUUUUUUAAUUUAUACUUACUUAACUUCUAAUUAUUUUAUUUAUAUUAUUUCACUCAAAUAGUUUUAAAAUUUACUAAAUCUAAUAAUAAUUCAGUCAAUGAUUUAUUUUUUUAAUUUUUAGUAAAUACAAUUGUGACAAUUGAUGAUUAUUAGUUGACAGAGGUAUUAACUUUUAUAUAAACUUUAAUUUAAUUAAAUAAAAAAAUUAUCUAAAAUAAUUAGAAAUUAUGAAGGUACUAAAUAAAAAAAUAAAAAUAAAUUCAGAGUUGAGAGAGCACUAUGUUAGCGCCAAAUUCUUUUUUAAAAGAUAGGUCGGUCAAUAGUCAAUAUAUUUUUGAGAUUAAAUAAAAAUAUAUUCUUUAAAUUUUUUAUAUAUAAAAGACUAUUAUGUAAAUUAUGGAAAGUCCGUGGGCCAUGGCCCUCCUCAGCCUUAAGAUGGCUUCGUCCCCCACUUCUACACUGUCAUACUUACAUCACCUCAUUAAUAACAAGCCAAUCACAUUCAUUCUUUUCGAACAAAAGAACAAUAAAAAUAUUUUUUUAUAAUCAUGAUGGAACAUAUGCCUCUAAAAGGAUACAUUUGAUUGGUUUGUGACGUGGUCAUUGUCUCGAACCCUGAUUAAUUUAAUAAAAUUAUAAUUAGUGCCCGCUAAUCACCAAUCUAAUGACCCCGAACUCAUCCAAAGUAUGCGCCCGCGACUGAUUGCGGUUAAUGGAUCCGGGUAUGGUCCAUAACGGAUCUGGAUCCAUAAGUCUGGCUACCAAAGAAAUUUCCCAAUGAAAAGGAAGCAGCUUUUUCGUCGGAGAACAAUUUCUCUGAUGUGUCGGGUUUUAAUUAGUCGUUGCUUGACGACGUGGCAGACAUGUUCCACAAGAACAAGUCAAAAAUAUUUUGCUGACCUUUUCAACUUUUUACUCAUUUUCAUUUAAGCUAUUUUCGUUACUUAAAUUUAAAAAUUCCUUAAUAAAUAUAAUCCGAUUAAAAAAAAAAAAAAUCUAAUAUCAGGGCAAGGAUGGCGGCGGAAGGGGCGGCGGCGGCGAGGAACGCGAAGGAGUCGCUGGAGCUUGCGUUCCAAAUGUCCGAAAUAUUAGGGGCGGGGCUCGAUCGCCACACCCUCUCUCUCCUCGUCGCCCUCUGCGACCGCGGCCUCAACCCCGAAGCCCUCGCCGCUCUCGUCCGCGAGCUCUCCCCUCCUCCCUCCUCCUCUGCCUCCGCUUCCGCCGCCGCUUCCGAAAAAUCAGCCCUAAGGUCGGAUCCAUCUCCUCUUCUACUCUCUAUUCUCUAUGUAAGAGAUUUAAGAUUUUAGGCCUUCUUUGCCAUCAUUGCUGCUUAAAGACUUCAUCCUGAUUAUUCUUUGUGAGUCUCCAACUGUAAGAAAAUGACGAUCCACGGUGCACGUGCGCAGCACAUGACUCUUUCAACGAAGACGUUAAUGGAGUGCUUAACGAAAAACGAAAAUAGAAACCACAUGAUACUUCAGUGAUGUCGUUAAAAUCAAAUGGUACUGAAUGAAAAAAUGAUAAGCCGUAAAGGGGCUAUGAACUAUGAAUACUUAAAAUUUAUUACACUCGGACUAUAAUUUUAGAUUCAAAUCUUGUAAGUUAUGUUUAGCCCGAGGAUCUAAAUAGGAACCGUCAAUUUUAUUUUAGAUUAACAGUAGAAUUAGAUGUUACAGAGAAUAAUCCUGACAUCCGUAUUAUAGAUCAUAUGAAGAACCAUACCCUUAAACCAUAAAAUCAGAAUUAUGAUGAGAAAAAAAAAAGGCCAUAUAAACUCAUUGGUGAUUCAUUCCCAUCAGCCCACCAAUUCAAUCGAAAUCCCCUCUUUCUCCAUCCACUCCUUUCAUUCUCUUACUUUCCUCCCCAUCGCGAUCGUGCAACGGUGAAGAGAUAUCCUCUAAGGUAGACCCGUCAACAUUCUCACUAGUAUGUGCAUUCAUCACACUAAUUUUGUCGAUUUCAACAGCUUGAUAGGCUCACUCUCUGCUGUUCCAUUUGUAGAAUUACUACGACAGUGCCCUUAGAGGUUCUUAUUACAAGGCCAAAGCAAGGGGUUAUGGCGGUAGUGGAGUCCUUGUAGCUGCUUUUGUAGCUGAUUCUUUCGACGACCAAUGCGCUUAGCGUUUGCGAGCUGACGAGCUCGUUCAAUCCUUUUUUGAGCUCCCGCCAUUUCUUGCUGAGGAGUUUCUUCUUCAUCUUGAUGUUCCAAUAGUUCUUAACGUCGUUGUCGGUUUUACUUGCUAGCUAUGCGGCUAUUAUGGACCACCUUAACACAUUUAAAAGCAGCUGAUUAGUGCUAAUUAGGCUAUAUACAUGGUUAAUAAUGGGAUUAGAUGGAUGUUAAAGGUAUUUGCUCCCAAUACUGAUGUAGAGGCUGCAAAUAAUUUUAUCUUCUUUCGGCAAGAGGUUGUCAUGUUUAAUGUUGGUUAUUAGAUAGUUUAGCCACCUCAAUCUGCAGCUUUUUCCACAUCUCUUGAACCCUGCAAUUUUCAUCGAGAGAUUAGUACGUAGUUACAAACAUGCAAUGUUAUUGGUUUGGCAGUCAGCUUUUGGAACAAUUGCACUAUUUUGAAAUAAAGUAGCAGUUUGAUGUUCGACAGACAAAAUGUCUGGGAAGUCACCCUUUUGUGGAAGCUAAAAUUGACUUCUAAGUCUUAAAAGGGAAAGCUUUGUUUAAUACUUCUAUUUCUUUAGAGGCAAAGGGGUAAUUGGACUGUAAAAACUAAAUAAUGAUACUUCUUUAAACAGCUUUUCUCGAGCACCAGCCUCAUUAAAAUUCCAGCUAGACCAAAUAGAACCUAGCAGUCAGUGGACCUCUCUCUAUCAUGCUUGUGAUUAUGCAACACUACAUCAGUAUACAUUUUUUGUAUAUUUUGGUGUUGUGAAGAAGAAUUAAGAAGCUAAGCUUUGGGCUAACCAAUCUUGUGAGGAGGUGCAAUCUAGUUGCCACCAAUUCCAUUCUCCUCAAUGUAAGCCUUGAGCUUUGCAUCCUCUUCUGGCAACCAUGGGCCAUUCUGGACACCUGCCUUGUCACAGCAUGGAGCCCUUCCCAUUUCUCUCUCUCUCUCUGUCUCUUUCUCUCGAGCAAGUUGACUUGUUGUGAUGUGAUGUUUGAUAUGAACAUGAUAGAAAAAUUUUAAUGUUCAUCGCUCGUCUUUUUAAUAUUAUUGAGUCUCAUAUAUAGCUUAAAUUAAUAUUGGGUAAAUAUUUGGUUGCUUGCUCCUCAUUUGUAUCACUUCUUUUGUUUUUGAGUAUUUAUUGCUAUUGUUUGACCCGUAACCUGCGAAAAAAUGUCGCAUAUGAAGGCACAUUUUGAUGCAGCUUUUCACCGUCUCCAGUGGUUAAGUUGUUUCUGAGAAACUAUAGCCUGAACCAUGUCUACCACAUCAUUCACGAAAUGGAAUUGUUUUAGUCCAACACGACUAGAACGACAAACUCUUCUUUAUGAAGCUUACAUCGUAUAAGAUAGGUGUAUCGCAUGCCAAUCAUAUCAUCCUAUAUUAUUUAGACUACUUUUAUUAGGUUAGAGAUAUUUUAAUAAUUUUUAAAUUUAAUAGAUGAAAAUUGAAAAAUAUAGUGAAACUUGUGUUUUGUGUCAUGAUUUUUGAUUGACCUUUUAAGUUAGAAUACUACAGUGUGAUUUAGAGAACACAGGAGCCCUGAUUCCUGAAAAUUAACCUAUACAAGCAGCAUAAUAUAUGAUGGCUGUAAGUAUUAAUUUGCUGUUUGGAAAAGGAAUACAAAGCAUGUGCUUUUGCAUUUUAUGAAGCUUACAUCAAGAUAGAUGUAUCGCAUUUGCGAAUCAUAUUAUGCUAUAUUAUUUAAACUAUUUUUACUAGAUCAGAGAUAUUUUCAUAUUUUUUACAUUCAAUAGAUAAUAAAUGAAAAAUAUAGUGAAUCAACUUCUGUUUUAUGUUAUAAUUCUUGAUUGACUUUUUGGGUUAGAAAACUGCUUGGUAAUUUAGAAAAAUAAAGUAAGAACACGAGCCCUGAUUCCUGAAUAUUAGCCUAUACAAGCCGCACAAUAUGUACUGGCUGUAAAUGAUAUCUUUUGCUUGGAAAAAGGACACAAAGCUUUUGUUUUACAUUUCGACUAAUAAAAGCUUUCAUAUAUUAUAUUCAAUAUAGCCAAUAAUUUCUCAUCUUUUAGGUAAACUAAAUCAAAUGGAGAAAGACCUAUUUCGUACUUAUGAGUUGGUAGUGGCUAUUGUGUUCGAAUAAACCUAGUUGGUGAUUUAUUGCUGAACUUAGAAGAAAUAUUGUCUAUGGUUAGUUAGCAUGAAAUAGUACCCUACUUUGGCCUUGAAUAUUUCUUAAUGGAGUUGUUGGAUUACCAAUUUCUUUGGUACCAAAAAAUCUCUUGCUCUUGUUAAAACUUGCAAUACUUUAUUCCGUAAAUGUUUAGCCCUUAUUGACACUUUUUGUCAAUGCUUUAGAUCACCGAUUAAUCACAUGAUGCACAUAUUAGUGCGUUUAAAAUAUUGUUUAAUUAAUAUUUCCUAAUAUGCAUGGCGGCUAUUUCAUAUUCUGAUUGAGAACUCAAGAUUAUGAAUUGUUCAGAUACUAUUCUUCUAUCGUGAGUAUUGCCGGAUAUGAUUUAGAUUUGCUUAUUCUAUUUUAAAUAGCUCUUUUAUGUUUCCAAUAUAUCAGGAAUUUGUUAGAAUUCGUGUUAACGUAAGAAAAAUAAACCUAUAGGUGGUAAAUCCUAGAUUAGAAAGCUAGAUAACACAGAUAAAUAUGUAAGCCCCACUUAAAUAGAGCUGUUUUUACUUUUUUUUCUGCUAAAGUAGGCAACCGACUUACAUGCAAGAGUUGUUUGACUACAUUAGUGAAUAAAGAAAAUCACCCCUCUAACACAAUAUAAGUUGAAAUAAUAAUAUCCAAUAAAGCAAAAUGAUAAAACUUAGCAAAAUUAAGUGAUCAAUAAAACAUAAUGAAAUGAAUUUAAUAGUUUUGUGACUUCUAUACCAAAAGAAGCAUAAUUGAUGAAUUUUGUGACUUCUAUACCAAAAGAAGCAUAAUUGAUGAAGCAUAAGUACCAUAGUAGCUUCCAAAGAAGCAGAUUAUAGGAGUUGUCACCAUGGACUAGGGGUGGAAACGAGCCGAACUUGAGCGAGCUUACCUAAGCUCAACUUGGCUUGAAAUUAAUUUCGAGCCCAAAUUUAGGUUCAAGCUCGGCUUGAAAUUAAUUCGAGCUGAGCUCGAGCGAGCCUAACUUCGAGUCGAGCGAGCUCGAGCCCUAAACUGGCGGCUUGAAAUUCUUAACAUUGUGCCAUCUAUAGUUUAAUUUUUAUAAAAUAUUAUCCAAAAUUUGAUACAAAAAAUGUCUAAUAAUUCAACAUACAAAAUGAAUGCAUGAAAUACGAUAUUAUAAUAUUUAAAAAUAAUUAGGGGAAGCAAUUCUGCCAGCAAGUGAAAGAGAGAGAGAGCAAUUAGAGUAGGGUUUUGCUGGUUUGAUUUUAUUGGCCCAAUAACCUAAACUCUAUAUACAUAUAAUUGAAAUACAUAAUAUAUAUUAUUAUAUAUAAUUAAAAUAUAUAUAUAUAUAUAUAUAUAUAUAUAUAUAUAUAGUUGNCUCUCUCUCUCUCUCUCUCUCUCUCUCUCUCUCUAUAUAUAUAUAUAUAUAUAUAUAUAUAUAUAUAUAUAUAUAUAUAGGCUGAGGCUACUGUACUCAUAUGAGUAUAGAGCUCUUUGUUCUCAUAACUUUUUGGCCGUUCAGAUGAAAAAAUGUGCGGUUAGGAUGAGAGUGGUUACGGUUAGAUUGAUAGUGGGCCUCCUAGGAUUAAGUAGUUGGUUGGUUGAAUAGUAUAAUCUAAUGGGUGAAAAUGAUUAAAUGAUAGAUCAAACGGCAAAAAACUUAUGAGUAUAAAAAACUCUAUACUCAUAAUAAUAUAGUAGCUGGACUCUAUAUAUAUAUAUAUAUAUAUAUGCUGGGGCUACUAUACUCAUAUGAGUAUAGAGCCCUUUGUAUUCAUAAGUUUUUAGCUUUUGGAUGAAAAAAUAUGCGGUUAGGAUGAGAGCGGUUACGGUUAGGUUGAUAGUGGGGCCCCUAGGGUUGAGUAGAUGGUUGGUUGAAUAGUAUAUUCUAACGGGUGAAAAUGAUUGAAGGGUAGAUCUAACGACAAAAAAUUUAUGAGUACAAGAGGCUCUAUACUCAUAAGAGUAUAGUAGCCGGAUAUAUAACCGCCGCUAUACCCUCACCCUGAGCUGGCUCAGGUACGCGAGUCGAGGGUGCGGGCACAUCACGUCCGUCCGUCACCGUUGCGGCCGCCGCCGCAGCCUGCCGCUCCAAGAGCUCCUGAAACCGCUCGAAUCGGGUCUCCUGGCACUGCACCACAUUGGUCAACGCGGCCACUUGCGCCUGCAACCGAUCCAUCACACUCAGUUCAGCCUGCUCGGGCACCUCCGGAGUCGGUGCCGGAGUAGAUCUACAUGUGUAGCGUCUUGGAGACAUUAGUCCCUAAAACGCGAAUACUUGGUCAGUCAUCUUAACCAAUUAUCUCGUCGAAAUUAUGACACAUGACGACUCAACCCCAAAAUCGGGCGGAAGCACACAAGUGUACUCGUUCUAGACUCUUGGUAUCAUGUCGUCGGCCGCCGACACAACCACCUCAAGAUAAGAUAUAUAUAUAUAUAUAUAUAUAUAUAUAUAUAUAUAGUCUGGCUACUAUAUUUUUAUGAGUAUAGACCCCUUUGUACUCAUAAGUUUUCGACUGUUAGAUCUACCCUUUGACUAUUUUCACUCAUUAAAUCAUACUAUUCAACCAACUGUCCAUUCAACCAUAGGGGACCACUAUCAUCCUAACCAAGGACCAUUAUCAUCCUAACCGGGGACCACUAUUAUCCUAAACGCGCAUCUCUUCAUCCAACGACCAAAAACUUAUAAAUACAAAGGGAUCUAUACUCAUAAGAGUAUAGUAGCCCUAGCCUAUAUAUAUAUGUAGAAUUAGGCUAUUAUACUAUUAAUAGUACCAAGCGCUUUGUGCUAUUAGGUUUUCGGCCCUUGGAUGAAGAGAUGUGCGGUUAGGAUGAUAGUGGUCCCUCAGGGUUGAGUAGGUGGUUGGUUGAGUAGUAUGAUCUAAUGGGUUGAAAUAGUCAAAGGGAUAGAUCUAACGGCAGAAAACUUGAUAGCUCCAAGCACUUGAUACUAUCGAUAGUAUAUGUAUAUUUACAUGUGUGUGUAUAUGUAUAUAUACAUGUAUAUAUACACAUGUAUAUAUACACAUGUAUAUAUGUAUGUGUAUAUACACAUGUAUAUAUGUAUGUAUAUAUACACAUGUAUAUAUACAUAUAUAUAUAUGAGUGUGUGCGUGUGUGUGUGUGUGUGUGUAUCAAGGUUUAAAGUGUCGUGGCACGGGGGCGUGCCGUUACGUCCCUGGCACGGUACGACACGGGCAUGCUUGCGUGCCGACAUGUGGCACGCCGGCACGGGCACGCUUGCGUGCCGACACGUGGCACGCUUGCGUGCCGACAGAUACGCACGACCUCUACUGGCAUACUUUGGUACGGAUUUAUUUCAGUUUUUUUGAUUCCAAUGAACUCUUAUAAUCAAAAUUUUAAGUGCCCGUUGGCACGGGCCGUAUCCACCGUGCCGUACCGUGCCAACAAGAUACCGGUACGAUACAGACCCCGUACCGAUAGCACAGCUUAAAAUCUUCUAUUCUUUAAAUUAAUAAGUAAUUUCCUCAAUAAAGUUCAAAAGAUGUGAUAAAAAAAACAUAAUAAAUAGUUACAAUAUUUUGUUGCUAAAGAAAAUAAAUAUUUAAUGCUAUUAUGUGUCGGCAUACAAGAAUUUUUUUGACUGGCACGCAUCGGCACCGCUCGGCGGGCACCGUGCCGUACCGUGCCGGCAAGUUUCCGGCACAACCCCGCGCCACGGUACUUAAAUCCUUGUUUAUAAUAUUAUUUUGAAAGAUUUAAAUAAAUAAUUAUGAAUAUUUGCUAUAUAUAUCUUACUAUACUCAUCAAUUAAUAUGCAUGUAAGCUUUUUGUAAGUAAAAUACAACUANGGGUUCGGGUUCGGGUCGGGUACAAUCAAAAUCCAUAUCCAAAUCCAUAUCCGUCGGGUUUCUAUUUUUGAUAUUCAUAUCCGAAUCCGUAUCCAUAUCCAUCGGAUAUAUCAGUUUCAUUCGGAUUCGUAUUCGGAUAAAAUUUCGAGUAUUCAUAUCCAUUGACAUCCCUAUCAGUAGCCUUCUCUCUCUCUCUCUCUAUAUAUAUAUAUAUUAUUUUAUUAUUAUUAUUAUUAUUAUAUAUAUGUCGAGCGAUAAACUUACUUCAAUUACCAGUUAGAUACCAAUUUUAAUUAUCGAAUUAAUGGCAACAAAUAAAAUUUUACAAAAAUAUAAAAGCCAAUUAAAUAUCUAUUGCUGUUAAUUUUUUGUAGAGUAGGCCUUUCAACGUAUGGAGUAAUGCUUAAGAUACCUCAUCAUUUGUUAAUUUGUACAGUACAAAUUAAUUUGCAUGUGACACACAAUGUACUGGUACAUAAUCCUAUAACCGUACAAUUUGUGUGUCACAACCCUAAAAUGCACAUUCAUCAACUUUUUUUUUUUUAAUAAAGAUCUUUAAAAGUAGUACUUGUAGUAAUACUCAAAAUAUAUAAAUUGCGGCAUCUCCCUCGAUCAAGGUUUCCUUUAUUAGUGCACAAUAAUACUAUGAAAAUGUGAAAAACUAACAGUAACAACAUAAAUAUAGUAUAGUAUAUAUUCUCUGUACAUUAACCACACAGGGACGAGAUGCACUACAAGGACAAAAUUAAAACACCCAAAUUCACAUACGAACAUGCCAUAAAUUUGAAGUUCACAUGGUCUUUAAUUUACACUAGAAAACAUAAUACCUUAAAAGAUAGAAAAAGAUGAAAACACAAUACAUAUUUAUGACCAUAAUGCACACCGAGCACAUCCUUUUUUUUCUAAUUGAACCAAGUCUUCGACAACAAAAUUAAAACACUCGCAUACUAACAUGACAAUAAUUCUAGAUCUACAGAGUCUUCUGCACCGCGCAAAACAUAAUACAUUUUUUUUAAAAAAAGCGAAAAUAUAAUACGUCUUAUGAUCACAAAGCACACCAUGCACACCUUUUUUUUGGUUUUUUUUUUUUUUUUUGGUUUUUUUUCUUGUGGAUGGUCAAACUAAUUUUUUGACAAUACCAAUUAACAAUCCACACAAUAGCGAUAUACACACCCAUUAAUAAACCCUUUCUUCUUCCCAUCUCCAGAAGCUAAUGCCCACGAGUUAUCUGCAAAAAAAUGGUGAAACAGUUAUAGAAUUAGAACACUAAAGUGAGCACAAUGAGAAAUAAAGUGAUACAUAACGCUCAAUUAUACUAGAAGGAUACAAUUUGAAUUUCAAGAUCAUGAAUCUUAUCCUCCGAAUUUUGGGAUUCAUAGAAAAUUACUGCAAGAAAACUGAUAUAAAUAUUUUUUGACCACACUUUUGAAUCUGCAGGAAUUAAAGAAAGUAAUGCAUCUGAACCAUACUGAUUUAGCAUUAAGAUUCGAAAAGGACAGAGAUUAGAGAAUAGGACUGUAGGAUUGCAUCAUAACACCUGCAAUAUAAGCCCCAAUCCUAGAACCAAAUUAUAUGCAAACACUUAAAUACUGAUGAUUCUACAUUUGAUGGCCUGAAAGAGAAAAUUUUGAAAGAGUAGCUUACAUAGAAGCGCAUGAUGAGUACAGAAGCAAAUGCAUCCACUUACAACAGCGAUUAAUAUUAUUGUCUUCGAUAGAUAGACGAGUGAUUAUAAAGUAUUUCAAUCUAAAAACAAGUCAUUUGAUCAUUUUAGUUCUAAUCUCAAAACACACAGGCAAGGUGUAGAAAAGUUCGAAGUACUUCAAGAUUUUCACUGAUUCAUCAAGAGACUGUGAUCAACUUUUGCACUAUUGAGGAGGAAAAAAGAAUAGAAAGAUCAGGAAUUCAAAAUUUGCCAAUUUGUAAGAACAGGAAGGCGAUACAUACCUCUUUUCUACAUUCCAGAGCGUGAUGUUCUUUAGUUGUCAUCUACAGAGAUGCCGCCAAGCAUACGCACUCCCGAAAUCGGGUCGGUGUUUACGGAUCCCUCCUCUAAAAGCGGACAUCCGUGUAUUACAAAACUCUUGAGUGACCCGGGCAAAUUCGUCACUGAUUGUAGCUUUGAGCAGUUCCGCAGAAAGAGAAAUUCUAGAGAGCGCAGUUCCUGCAAAUCCACCAAGGAUGAGACGCCAGAACAAUCCCAGAUACUCAAGGAGUGGAGAGAUCGGAGGUUGCCAAACUGUAAUGAUGCUGUUCGCAUGUGACAUUGAUCAAUCCAAAGUUCAGAUAGACGUGGCAAAUCUGCAUUGGCUAGGAUUACAUCUACUACUGCACAAGACUGAAAAUGGAUAGACUGCAACGAGGACGACAGGAAAGCAGUUUCACUGUCCAAGCAGGGGCAUCCACUUAGAAUGAGAUCUGUGAGACAAGGGAGGGAUCCUAUACCACCCAGGGAAGUAAGAGCCCAGCAGUCGGUCAGACUUAAAGUUUGGAGUGAUUUUAAGUUGGCGAGGACAUCCGCAGACGGUAGACGGGUUAUCAUUUCGAGAUCUUCUAAGAACAGCUUCGUAAGGAAGGGGAGGUUUUGUUGUAGGCAUACCGAGAAUGCGUCGUCAGUAAUGUUGCAUCCCUCGAGCCAGACCAUAGUAAUGGUAGAGGGCAAAAGCAAUUUGGCCUCAUUUUGUCUGCUGUAAAUUAAUUCCGUUUUUCGCUCAUGCGUCUCCAACCAUCUCCCCCACACAGCAGCAAUAUCCGCAUCGGCGGCAGGCGCAAUGUUGCUACACUCUCGGCCAUUCAUCCUCCCCUCUAUGUAAUUCCUGACUUCUCUGAAGACUAACUCAUCUUUAUAUUGGUGUCGGAACCAUUCCUGCGUCCUGUUCCUCAUGACCUCUCUUACGGAUCUCUUGUCAUCUUGGCUCAACUGCAGGUCUUCAUUUGUUACGAAGGUCAGAAAUGGCGCACAAAUUAUUGUGAAAUUUUCGAGUAUCGGAGGAAGGGUGUGUAAUGCUUCAAGUCUAUAAAGAUGCAAGAGCUCAAGUGAUCUGCAACAAGGGUAAAGCUGGUCCAUAGGUGGGAGCUCUUGGAGCAUUUGACACCUCCUCAGCGCAAGUUUUUGAAUGUUGGAUGUUUGAUUUUCGGGCCAAGACAGCCACGACUGUCCUCGAUACCCAUCUAGAUGAAGGCCGGUAAGAUUGGGAGGCAAUUGGAGACCUGCAAGAAUUUCAGCAUCCAAAUUAGAAUUUACAUUAUCCUUACCGUAGCGCGGCUUGCGCCAUUCCAACCGGAGCGUAUCAAGAUGCUUCUUUUCUUUCAAAUUGGCUGCAAUGGCGCUAUCCUUGCUCUCAACAUUCUCGAGAUUAUCAAUGCACAAGCGUCCUCGAAGUUCAUUCAAGUUCUGUAACUGCUCUAGCUCAUAUCCUUCUUUCCUUUUCACCAGAAAAUUUUCUAGGCCUUGCAAGGAAGUUAACUUGCCGAUCUCGGCUAUGCCAGAAGGCUGUAGAUACCUCAAGCUAACCAAGUUAUUAAGGAAUUUAGGAAGGGAGCUUGCGUUUUUUACUUCCAACACCUGUAGCUGAUACAGAGUGGACACCGACUCCGGCAACACGCACUUACCAGUACUUGAAACUUGUAGGAUGCGAAGGUGCUUCAUUUCACUUAUAAACUUUGCCAAAUUUUCUAGAUUUAACUCCGAAUCUUUUAGAUUUAACUCCGAAUCUUCUAGAUUUAACUCUGAAUCUUCUAGAUUUAACCCCAAAACCAGCACGCGCAAUUUUUUUAAGCUGAAUUGUUUUAAGCUGUUGGAGAUGCCGGUCGCAACAUCUCCUUUUGAGUUGAUCCUUUCUCCUGUGACGAUUAGGGUGCGGAGUUUCUCUAGCUUGCAAAUUUCCUCCUUAUUCUCGUUCAGUUUGUUAGCCGGUAUGCACAGAUGGCGAAUAGUUGACGGUAUCUCGCUCUGACGAUUACCUUCUAUUCUAACACAAUAAUUGCGAGUAACCUUUUCUGCUAGAUCAUACAGCAAUUCAUGCAAAGUAUAGUAGGAGCCAUGAUUCUCUGACUCAAAGAAGUAGUGGACUAUGGUAGAAUGCUGAAUGUAGAAUCUGGGCACCAACUCAUUUAGGUAACCGUCACCUGCAUCCUCCACCCUCUCAUUCGGAUCAUCCGGCUUGAUAAAACCUUGCGCCAUCCAGAGCUGAACCAGUUCUAAAGCUUCAAACGUGUGGCCUCUAGGAUACAGGCUACAGUAUGAGAAGCAACGCUGAAGAUGUGCAGGCAAAUGCUGAUAACUCCACAUCAGCGCUUUGGUUCUGUCACCGGACCAGUCCUUGUCUGCAAUCUUUCUCAAAUAUGCAUGUAAAUUACCUUGUGAACCAAGGCGGCGAGCCAGCUGCGGAGCGAUUGUGUCGCCAACCAUCUUGGCCGCCGUAGGGUCCUUGUACAACUUCUCAGCGAUUGUCUUGCAUUCCUCUUUUAAUUCUUCUCUUAAGUGAGAAUCGAAUUUCCCGCUAGGCAAUGCGUAGUGAAUGAAAAGAUCCACAAAGUCAUUCUCUGCUAAAUCUUCCAACCGACAAAUGUACUCUACAGCAGCACCAUUAGCAGCACCAAUCUUUGUCGGCGCAUCGUCCGUUUGAGACGUAACUAAAAUCUUGCUCCCUGGCAGACAACAUUUGCUUAAACAUAUGAAUAGUGUAUCCCAAUCAUUUUCGUGGCACCAAACAUCAUCUAUCACGAGCAGGAACUUCUUCGCGUUUAUCUUUUCGCUUAUUUUCAGUUGUAGCGCUUGUAGCGAGUUAAGGUUACCAAGAUCUUGAGGCUCACUUGCAGUAGAAGCCUGUAGUAUGAUCUCUUUCAUAAUUUCGGAUGCGCUGAAGUUGCGAGAUGCGUAGACCCACAUGAUGGGAUCAAAAUGUUGUUUGUCACCUAAUUCGCCCUUCAACUGGUCAAAAACGUACUGUGCGAGAGUAGUCUUCCCGACCCCCGGGCGACCGACUAUGGCAAUUAUAGGUAUAGGUGCGCCUGCUGCAGGUUCCGUUUUCAAAAGCCGAAUGAUUUCUUCACGAUUUUUGUCGCGGCCGAACACUUUCGGCGGAGGCAGCGAGGUGGUCUCUCUACUCCUGUCGGGGACUGCAGCUGUCUGGUCGGGCUGGGCGCCUAACAAAGUGCGGAGUUUCUCGGCUUCGCCGGCGAUCUUUUCAAGCUUGUUCAGGCUUCGCUUCAGCUUGAUCUUUUGAGGCGACAGUAUAUCCCGACCGCCUUUUAAGACAGGUAUAACCCAUUUCACAUGUUUUGGUAUGUGAAAAAAAGAACGUACCGGAUUACUUCGCCUCUUACUGCUCCUUGCUGCCCCCGCAGCCUUGCGUUUGAGGCGGUCGUAGUUGAGGAGGUCCAGCGCGUCCUCCGCGCCGUCGUAAGCGUCUUUCAGCCUCUGCAGCCAGCCCUCCACCUUCCUCCGGUGCGGGCUGUCUUCCGCCUUCUCGAUCACCGAUUUCAGCACCGGGAGGACGUUUCGCUCCAUCUCUUCCAGCUUCUUAUCCGCGUUGAUGCCUAAGCUGGCGAAGCCUUCGUCGAGCAGCAUCUUCACGAGGGGAGACGCCACCCAUCCCAGCGCUGCUACUCCGAUCGAUUCUAGUACUGGCAUGGUUGUGUUGCAACUAACAAUCGUAGGAAUAGAAAAUUAAAAAUAUAAAACCAGAGAGUAAAUAAAUUAAUUAGAUGAGAAGAAUGAAUGAUUGAUUGUACGGUCAUACAUCAUACAUAGUGCAUUGACUUGACUUGACACGCACAAGUCAAUCUAAACUUAUUAAAAUCCUUCUUACAAAUUUAAUUAACAGUAAAAGUAUUUAUAAAAUAAAAAAAUAAAAUUCCCUACCAUAGUAUGGCACAAAAUAAAAAACUCUAUCCUUAUUAAGAAGGCGACAGGGCUCAAGUAAUUAAGUUUGUCUGUUUUUUUUAAUAUUUUCGUGUAAAUUUAAUUCUUCUCCGUCAGUAACUCUAAUUAAGUAGAGUUUUUAUCUUGCGAAAUUAUUUGGAGACUUGAACGUGUUCCGACCGAAGAUAUUAUAAUUUUUUUAUAUUUAGAUUCUGUAAUAUAUUUUAACAUUAUUAUGAAUAAGCCUAAAAUUUAAUAUGAUCAAUGAAUUUUGAUGUGGUUUCAUGUGACCGGUUAGGUAAUAACAUUAAUUAUCUGUACUAUCUUAUUGACUUGACUUACUAAACAGUGACAAUAGAUACUACCUUUUCUUUUAUAUAUAUAUAUAUAUAGUCCGGCUACUAUACUCUUAUUAGUAUGAUCACUUUCGUACUCAUAAGUCGUUUUCGAUAAUAGAAUUUUCUAAUCGACGAUCCAUACCAUUAAAUAUUUUAUAGAAUAUUUAAAAUUUCUAGAAAUCAAAUUUCAUAAUUUUUCGACAUCAUUUACCUUAUAAUCAAAAGCUCACAAAAUUGACAAUUUUUUACGACCGGUAUGAAAUACUUACUACUUUAACGGUGCAAAAGAAUUGGAAUAGGUUGAUUUUUUGAUAGAAAAUUCUAUUCACUAACUAGAUAAAGAUCAAUAACUCCGAUCUUAAAUUGAAGAAUCCGAUCAUCCAUUUUUAAGACGUUCGAUUUUGACCGUUCAUUUUAUGCCCGCUUGAUGGACUUUAUUAUGAUUUCGAAAAAUUACGAAAUUUAUUUUCUAGAAGUUUCAAAUACUCUAGAUCAUAUUUAAUAGAGUGGAUCAUCGAUUUUGAAGCUCCAUCAUCAAAAACAACUUAUAAGUACGAAGGGCCCAAUACCCAUAAGAGUAUAGUAGCCAUACUAUAUAUAUAUAUAUAUAUAUAUAUAGAAUUAGGCUGAAAUACUAUCAAUAACAUCAAACUAUUGGUGCUAUUGAUUUUUUAACCCUUGAAUUGAAAAAUGUGCGGUUAAGAUGAUGUGGGCCCUUUAGGGUUAAGUGGGUGGUUGGUUGAAUAGUACAAUUUAACGGGUAAAAAUAAUCAAAGAGUUAAAUCUAACGAUGAAAAACUCGAUAGCACUAAAUCCUUGGUGCUAUCGAUAGUAUACCAGUCGAACUCUCUCUCUCUCUCUCUAUAUAUAUAUAUAUAGAGAGAGAGCUAAGCUGGUAUACUAUCGGUAGUACGGAGGCCUUCGUUCUAUCAAGUUGUUUUCAAUGAUGCGGCUUCUAAAUCGACGAUCGGUUCCGUUAGACUUAAUUUAUAUUAUUAAAAAUAUUUAAAAAUUAAAUUUUAUAAUUUUUCGAUAUUAUUUCAUAAAAGUAUUUAUAAAAUAAAAAAAUAAAAUUCAAUACUAUAGUAAUGCUCAAAAUAAUAAAAUUUAUCCUUAUUAACAAGGCGACACGGCUGAAGUAAUUAAGUUUGCCCUUUUUUUUAAUAUUCUUGUGUAAAUUUAAUUCUUCUCCCUCAGUAACUCUAAUUAAAUAGAGUCUCCAUUUUGCGAAAUGUGUUUCGGUGGAAGAUAUUAUAAACUUUUUAUAUUUGAAAUCUGUAAUAUAUUUUAACAUUAUUAUGAAUAGGCCUAAAAAUUUAAGAUGACCUUGGAUGUGGUUUCAUGGGUUCGGUUAGGUAAUAACAUUAAUUAUAUGUACUAUCUUAUUUACUUGACUGAGUGAACAAUGAUGAUAAAUACUACGUACCUACUCUAGAUAGCAACUCUCUCAGAUAAAGUUCUCAAGCCUGUUGGGUUUAGUCUACAUUAGUUGCCUAAGAAUUUCCUCUUGCUCUGAAAGAUUCUUCAGUUUCUCCCAAUCUAUACUGCUAAUUGUUUUCUCAUGUUAUCCGCUUUAUUUAUUUUAUUUUAUAAAAAUAAAUAUAGCUGAAAACGUGAAUAAAUUAGGAUUUGAACUUGGGACCUUGGGUACCAACCAUCAAGCUCUUUUCCACUUGUGCUAGGAACGGUCGGUACCUACUGCUAAUUGUUAGCGACCCAAAAUAAUUUUAAUGAUUGUGGUAAACCGUGAAUAUAUAUAUAUAUAUAUAUAAUAGAUGUCUCUACUAUGCUAUCGUAGCACGGAGCGCUCCGUGCUACCAAGUUGUUUUCGAUGAUGCGGUUUCCAAAUCGACGAUCGGCUCGUUAGACUGAUCUACACUAUUGAAAGUAUUUGGAAACUAAAUUUUAAAUUUUUUGGACAUCAUUUGACUAGUGAUCAAAAGAUCUCAAAAUUGCAAUUUAAUGGCCGAUGUGGUGUGUUUGUGAGUUUAACGGUGUAAAACAAUCCAAAUGCGAUGAAAAUUUAUAGAAAAUUCUUUCACUAUUUAGAGUAAGAUCAGUAUAUCUGAUCUUAAAUUUAAAUCUUUUAUCAUCAUUUUUCAUGAGAUUUUAUUUUCAGCCGUUCAAUUUAGACUACUUGUUUGAUAGUAAAUGAUAUCGAAAAAUUAUGAAAUUUAGUUUCUAAAUACUUUCAAUAGUGUAGAUCAAGUCUAACGGAGGCGAUCGUCGAUUGGAAGCCGCAUCAUCGAAAACAAACUUGGUAGCACGGAAGUCUCUCGUGGUACCGGAAGUAAGUAGCCUAGUUCUAUAUAUAUAUAUAUAGUCCGGCUACUAUAUACUCUUAUGAGUACAAUCGCCUUCGUAUUCAUAAGUCGUUUUCGAUGAUAGAACUUUCGAAUCGACGAUUCAUAUCGUUAAAAAUUAUCUAGAGCAUUUAAAACUUCUAGAAAUCAAAUUUUAUAAUUUUUUGACAUCAUUUACCUCACGAUCAAAAUGUCACAAAAUUGAUAAUUUUUAACGGUCGGUAUGAAAUAUUUAUUACUUUAACAGUGUAAAAGAAUUAGAAUAGGUUGAAUUUUUAAUAGAAAAUUCUAUUCACUGUCUAGAUAAAGAUCAAUAACUCCGAUCUUAAAUUGAAGGAUCCGAUCACCCAUUUUUAGGACAUUGUUUGUUUUGACCAUUCACUUUAUGCCCGUUUGAUAGAUUUUAUUAUGAUUUCGAUUACGAAAUUUAUUUUUUAAAAGUUUCAAAUACUCUAGAUUAUAUGUAACGAAGUGGAUCGUCGAUUCAGAAGCUCCAUUAUCAAAAAUAAUUUAUGAGUACGAAGGGCUCUAUAUUCAUAAAAGUAUAGUAGGCCUACUCUCUCUCUCUCUCUCUCUCUCUCUCUCUCUCUCUCUCUCUAUAUAUAUAUAUAUAUAUAUAUAUAUAAUUAGUCUACUAUACUAUCAUAGUACCGGAGUUUCGGUACUAUAGUCUUAUUUUCAAUUUUAGGAUGUUCAAAUUAACAAUCCACACAGUUAAAUAUGAUCUAGGGUAUAUGAAGUUCUUAAGAAUAAAAUUUUAAUUUUUUUCGACAUCGUUUACUAAGUAAAUAAAUUAUGUCAAAAUGAACGGUGGAAAUUAAAUCAUCUUUAAAAUUUGAGCAUAGGACUUUUAAAUUCAAGAUCAAGAAUGUUAACCUUAAUCUAGAUAGUUUAAAGUAUUUUCUAUCAAAAUUUGAAGAAAUUUAGAUUCUUCUACACCGUUAAACUGCAAACUCGUCAUAGUAGCCAUUGAAAAUUGACAAUUUUGAAAUGGUUUGAUCAUAAAGUAAACUAUGUUGAAAAAAUAUAAAAUUUUAUUUCUAAAAAUUUUAAAUACCCUAAAUCAAUUUUAACGGUGUGGAUCGUUGAUUUAAACACCCGAAGAUCAAAAACGAGACCAUCGUACCAGAUCCCCUGUAUUAUAGAUAGUAUAGGAGACUAGCUCUCUCUCUCUCUCUAUAUAUAUCUAUAUAUAUAUGAACUAGGUUGGAAUACUAUCAAUAGCACCAAGUGUUUAGUGCUAUUAGGUUUUCGGCUCUUAGAUGAAAAAAUGAAUGGUUAGGAUGACAUAAGCCUCAUAGGGUUGAGUGAGUUAUUGGUUGAAUAGUAUAAUCUAACUAAUAGGGGUGUAAUGUGGGCCGUGCCGGGCCGGCACGACCCACAGUUUUCGGGCCGAAACAGGCUAGUGGCCGGCCCGGGCCGGCCCGAAUUCAAUUUCAGGCCGUGCCGGGCCGGGCCCGAGUUGCCUAGCUUCCAGCCCGGCACGGCAUUUUGGCCCGGAGGGCACGAGCCAUGCUGAGCCGGGCCGUGCUUCGGAAAAUAUUUAUUUUAAAUUUUUUUUAAAAAAAUUAGUUUAAAUUUAAUUAAAUCACUAAAAAGUUAUAAAAAUAAUUAUAAUAUAUAACUUUUUAAAAAAUUAAAUAGAUUUGUAUUGCUUUUUUUAAAAAAAAAUUUCAAUGCGAGCGUGGAGAAGGGACCGGGGGAAUGGCGCGGCACGGCCCAGGCCAUGCCAUGCCGGGCUGCCCGCCUCUCCUCGGCCCGGCACGGCCCAGGCCCGUUUCAGGCCGUGCCGUGCCGGGCCGUCGGGCCCCAGAUAAGCGGCCCAGCACGGCCCGAAGAGCCUGCCAGGCCCGGCCCAGCCCGGGUGCUAUAGUGGUCGUGCCGGGCCACGGCCCGACCCGUAGCCGUGCCGGACCGGGCGGCCCACGUGCCGCCCGACCCGUUUUACACCCCUAGCGAGGAUCUAACAUCAAUAUGUAUAAGAACCAAAAACCAACACUAUCUGUAGCUGGUAUAACUCUAGAUCAACAGCAAAACGAGAUGGGAUCUAACUNNNNNNNNNNNNNNNNNNNNNNNNNNNNNNNNNNNNNNNNNNNNNNNNNNNNNNNNNNNNNNNNNNNNNNNNNNNNNNNNNNNNNNNNNNNNNNNNNNNNUUAAAUCCGAUGUAGAGUCUACUGCAAAAUCCUACUCGGCGAAGCUCUAUGAAAAGGCUUUAGCCUCUCGCCGUAUCAAACAUAGCCGGCCCGAUUUUGCCGAGAACUUCACGUCGGUUCGCGAACGAAUGCCAAAAUCGACUUCGCCCCGCGUUUGGGACCGCUAUCAAUAGGGUUUCCAGCGCUUCAAAUGAGAUCAACUCUCGUAUCUUUACAAAACCCCAAUUUGGAACCCUAGAUUUAGCACCUAUACGCGAAACCACCCCUUAAUCCCUAAGAUUCUUGGGAUUGACUUUUAGAAGGCUUGCUUAGGGUCCAUUUUGACCCUUCCAAGGCAUAAACCAUAAAACCCCCUAAGUUCUAGAAGCUAGGGUUUAGUGCUUACUCAAGAGCUACUCCAAUGGGAAGAGGAAGGGAGAUGAGUCUCAAGCCUUCCUAAAUUGAUCUCCUUCUUCUCUCCUUCCUUAUCUUUCCCCUCUUCUUCUUCCUCUCCUUCUUGUUCUUUCAUCUCUCUUCAUUUCCUUUUAAGAGAGAGAGAGAGCAAGAGAGAAAUAAGAGUGAGCAGAGAGGAAUGAGAGAGGUGUGAGGAGGGAGAGAGAGGGCCUCAGCCACUCAAUAUAAAGCCAUUUUGCAUUAUAGACCCUCAACUUUUAACUCCUUGCACAGCCCCUCACUGGGCUCCGUUUUCCGCGGCGGAGGGACCGGUCUCCCCGACUUGGGACCGGUCCCCGAGAGCUUCCCUCGGGCGCACGCGUUCGGGAACCGGUCUCUCCCCGGGAGACCGGUCCUCCCUUGAGAGACCGGUCCCCGAGAGCUUGAUUUUCAGGACUUAGCCAAUUUUUGGCAUCUCUCGCUGGGUCCACGUUCGGGAACCGGUCCCUCCCUGCCAGGGACCGGUUGCAUCACGCAACCCCGCUACAACCAGCCAGGGGAACCGGUCUCUCACCUGCAGAGACCGGUCCCCGAGAGCAACUUCUGCCCAAUGACGCCAUUUGCCUCAUUUGCUCUCGCGGACUCAACUCCAAGGCACUUUUUGUGCUUUGGACAUUCCCAACUCCCACAAAGGGUAUUCUCUCGACAGUCAGUCGAUCCUGGAUGGAGUGCAAUCCUCAUAUUUCGAGAAUUCACUUCCUUACAGCAAGGGUGUUUUUGCAUUUGUGGACUUCUUAUAUUAUCACCCACGCCCUUGAGGCCUCCCCUGAGCUCACCAGCAGCAAGAGGAGAGGUAAGGGAGCCCUCCACACUCUCCUCUUUGAUUUUCUUGGUUUUUAUUUGGAUUUAGAGAGAUUAAAACCUCUCUUUUUGCUCCUUUUUGGGUGUUGGAGGCUUUUCCACCAUUGGAGCUUGGGAUUGGAGCUUGAGAGGAGGAAGAUAUCCACACUUGGUGAACUUAGAACCUUGUUGGAAGCUUCUAAGAGGUUAGUAGCUCAUUCUCUUCCUCUAGAUUUGAGUUUUGUUGCUUUUUGAUGGUUGGAACCCUAGAAUGAGGUUUUAGGGUUUAUUUUGGGCAUUUUGAAUCUAGGGCUUUUGGAGCUAGAUUCUUUGGUCUAGAACCUUCCUUGGGCUUGGAUUGGAAGGAUUCUAGCUCUCUUUUGGAGCUUAGGAGAGGAUUGUUUCUCUUGAGGUGAGUUUUGGCCCUUUUGCUUCUAGGUUAAUGAUUGAGCUUUUUGCUCUUCGUUUCAUUUGGGUAACCCCAUUUUUGAUGUUUCUAGGAUACUAGAAAGCUUGUGGAUACCUCCGUCCGGCGAAACGAAGGUUUCGAUUUUGGUGGGUUUGACCUAGCCUAUAAUAUGAGAAAUUCUCAUAUAUGGUGAUAUAUGUUUCGUAAAUUGGAAAAUCAUGCAAAUUCAUGUUACGUGUAUUUAUUAUGAUUUUUAGAAUACUUAAAAUGCCCAUGUUACAUGUAAUAAAAUUUUGGACCUCUAUGUAGUAGAGAGUUGCUUGAGAGACAUAGGGUUGCAUUAGCGUUCUAUAUGAGACUUGGUUUCAUGUUUCUAUUGUGCAAAUGAGCCUUGAUACAUGCAUUCAAACUUACGUUUAAUUGAGUGAUAACAAAAUUGCCAUAUAGAGGCACCGAACUUGGUUAUUAUGUGACUUAGAGGGCUAAUAUCAUCAAGCGGCAUUGAGCUCGGGACAUGGUUGAACCUAGUGAAUAGGGCCAUCGAGGGAUUUGGAAACAUAUUGAACAUUAAAUUGUCUAAGUGUCAUCAAGGGGCACUAGGCGUAACGAAUGUUGAAACUUCACAUUGUGACUUAAACUAGAUCUUCGGGAUGCUAGUGACUAUACCAUGUUAGAGACAUGAGGAUUGGAUACUUGAGACUUGGACUAUGCUUGCUUGCCAUUUGUGCUCAUUCGCACAUGCUUGUGAGGGUCGCUCCCUACAAGCCGGCACUCCGGAGUUAGCCUACGCGACCUAUGUUCGCUCGUGCGGUAUUGAGAAGCCUACGGGGUCGAGUGGGACAGACACAUUCCAAGAGUAGGGAUGUUGGGCUACCACAGGCACUUAGGCGGCACAAGCUGGACUACCUUUGGUAGGUCCNNNNAUUAUUUACUUUGUUCGUUCAUAUGGGUUACAGGGUUUCGAUACAGCACUCGUACAGUUUCAUUAGGUUGAUGAUUCAGAUAGAUCAACACUAGUAAGUAAGAGUUGUGGCACAGCUAAAAGUAAAGGUUAAUUCCUGGAUGGUUUCCAUCAGGUCGAACACGGCGGAUUCACGGACACCAUCGGGUUGUAGGGAUGAGAACCUUACACAGACAGGCAUUGUAGUAUACUUGGUUGCUUGAUAGAGCUCAUUCCCUAUGUAUUGACAUACUGCAUCGAGAUGCUUACUUGUCGGUUAUGAUUGGAACUUAAUAGUCAUGCUUUGGACAUACUUAUCAUGAUAGAGUAGAUGUUCUAUACUUUGACAUCAUGCCUACUUGAGACAUAGUAGUAUAGCAUUUUAUUUAUGCUUUCUUUCAGCAGUUCUUAUACUCGCUCUUUAUUUGCUUAUUAUUAUUGUCGUUACUUACCCUUUUCUUUGGGGCUUAGUGGAGCUUGAGCUGAGGUCAGUAAUUGCCCACUGGGAACUAUAAAUUAUAGUUCUCACGCCCUCUUUUUCUCGAUGUUUUUCAGAGUCUUCCACGCCGGGAGAGGCUAAGGACCGCAGGAAGGGAGUUGCUUCGAGCUAGCUUCCUUCGAGGACGAUUUGAUAGGUGGUCUACCUCUCGUUACUUUAUUUUGUGAGAGGUCGAGAGUUGUACCCGUAUAUGUAUAGAGACCACCAUUUUUGUACUAGAGACAGAUAUUGUACUACUUUAUGUCUUACUUUUACUUUUUGUUAUGUUUCCUUUCCUCUGGUUAUAGAUGAUAGAACUUUACGCGCUCUGAUAUCAUUAGUUGUCUUUUACCCCUUUUUUGUUCUAUCUCUUGCUUUAUUUCCACUGUUGUUGUAGACGCCUUAUAUGUGUAGACAUAUAGCGGGUCUGGGCAUGCUACCGGGAGGGCCUCCGCCGGUCCCGGGGCGUGAUAAGAACACCCCCUCGCGGUGGAUCAGACCGCUGGUGUUCGUGAAAUGCGUUCGAGCAGUGACGAUCGAUGCUAAUAUACUCAAUAGUCAACUGUUGGCAACUAGCCAACAAUCCUACCCCUCAGGGUAUGCCGACCGUAUAGGUCAUCAAGUGCAAGAGUCACAGAAUUGACCGAAUAGGUCACCACAGAUGGUCCGCUCUACUUCUAGAUCAUGAUGAUAAAUGCGAAAAGUAAUCAAAUAGAGCAAUAAGUAAGAAGUCAAAGGUUUCUAGGCCCAUAACAUGAUGUGCAAGAUAAUAAAGAGAGGGUGGAGAGAAUGUCACCGAGUGUGCACCACUGUACCGACUUCGGAUCGAAGUACCUAUCUGUAUGAAUCUGUCUCCCGACUGUGGAAGAUCGUCAACCGGACCUACGGAGGGUCCACCGGGUUAGUAUCUAACACAUAUAAGGAACACUAAACCCAUAACCGCACAAAUAAUCCCACGAGAAUCGGUUUUCCAAAAUCGAUUAUCGUAAUUCACCGGACGUCCCAAAAAUCACACCGGGACUCCGCCAGGACCCACGAAGUGUUCCGGGACUUACCAACUCGUGCCAUGAGUCACUCGCUGCCACAAAACACCAUGAUAAAGGUGUCCUGGCAGCAAACACGAAGACUCACAUCGAAACGAUUAUCGUCAGAUAACCAUUCCGAUCCGGGUUUCCGAAAGUGUCGUUUUCGACACCGGAAGCCACUGUCGCUCACCCGUCGUCUUCGAACUCCCAAAAUGACAUACGUGACCAGCCAACCAGGCUCAGCGACAAAGUAUAUAUACUAUCCUUGAACAUCGUCGGAAGGAAUCCGAAUCAAAACUGCGUUCCGUCGGCGAAUAUAUCUGAUAAACGCACUGGAAAUCGAUAUUCGAUUUUCGCAAAGGCUUUAGACCUUGGACAAUCAGUCUAGAGAUCACCGACCACCCACACAUACAGCCCACAGUAGCCAAGAAGUGUACAAUUGCAUAAAAGGCCCUACAAAUACAUAAAAAUAUAUUAUUUUAUGUGAUUUACAGGGUUUUAUGGUUCGAUCCCGAAAAUCGAUGAGUUUUGAGGUUAGCCGAGACACGUGCUGAUAGAUCUUGACGUGACGGAGGUCGUGCUCAUGGUCUAGAGCACAGUGGCUCACUGGGUAGGGCGCGGGAGUCACCCGAAGUUCAACGAACUAUGCGUACUGAACUUAAACUGCGUUUUAUUUCGCAAAUCGGGGCUCGCUAACCCCAAAGAAGAUGAGCACGAUGAUCAGCACUGAUCAAGGAUCAUCGUGCUCACUUUGGAAGGAAUCGGGGUGGCCUCGGAUCACCGAAACAGUGAUCCCAACCCGAAAACAUGCACAAACAGCCUUUAAUUAGCUGACCGGGCAGGAGGAGCUAAGGCACGACCUGCAGCGGCUCGGUGGUGGAGGCGCCAGCGACAGGUGGGUGUGGCAGGUAGGGGGAAGGUCACCGCUCGCGCCGGCUGGCGACGGGAGGCGGCAGCAGCGACAGAGCAACCGAGCCCUCGCGGGCUCGGCCCGGGUUCAAAUGUUCACAGCGGCCUCGGCGGCGGUUGGGGAGCCAUAGGGCGGCAGUGAUGGGUCGGCGGUAGUGAUGGGUCGCCGAAGGUCAGAGGAGGGUGGCCAAGGUGGCCCCGAGUGGCGGUAGCGCGAGGGAAAGGAGCUGGGGUUUUCUUGGCCCUAACUUGCCCUAGGUGGCCGCAAGCUGCCAGGGGCGGCAGUGGUGGCACGCGGGGACAACGGCAGUCAACGGGAAGGGCGCCGAAGUUCCGAGGGCGUCGUUGGAAAGAGGCCUGAGGGUGGGGAAUACCCUGCACAACCCUCGGCCUGCGAUGGAGAGGGAGUUGGUGGUGGAGGAGAUGGAGAGGAAGAUGAAGAUGGUGCAGGUGGCGGUUGGCCGGUCGAAGCUCGGUUGCCGGCGGCCAGGGAGCGCGCUGCGCACACGGGUGAGGAAGAAGGGGCGGCUGGGGGUCAGCUGAAGCUAGAGUUAGGGUUUCCUCCAUGAAAUAUAGGGCUUUUCGCAAAAUUUUCCACAACGCGAGCAAAAUAUAGUCCCUCACAGCGCGAGUAAAAUGCAUGUACAUACCCCCACGUUCGAUUUCACACAAAAUGGUACAUAAAAUAUAGGGCUUUUCGCAAAAUUUCCGUUUAGCCAUCUAUAACCCCUCCUCGAUCAAUGCGCGAUAUCAUAUAUAUAUUCCUAUAUAUAUAUAACCACCUAGCUCUCUCCUACCCAAAAUAGCGCUUAGCUGCUGAUUUAGACCGCUUUGUUUUCGCCAGAUUUAGUCGUCGAUUCGCGAUAAACCAUCCUCUCUCGAUCCACCAAUAUAUAUAUAUCCUUAUAUAUAUCAUAUAUAUAUAUAUUAUAUAUAUAUAUAUUAUAUAUAUAUAUAUAUAUAUAUAUAUAAUAUAUAGAGUCCGGCUACGGUGUUGUAAAAGCACCAAGCACUUUGUGCUUGUAAAUUUUUACUAUUAGAUCUACGCCUUUGAUCAUUUUUAACCCAUUAUAUUAUACUAUUCAACCAACACCCACUCAACCCUGGGGCCCUCAUCAUCCUAACUGCACAUCCCUUAAUCCAAAGGUCGAAAACAUACAAGCACCAAUGACUUGGUACUUUUAAAAGCAUAGGAGCUCAUUAUAUAUAUAUAUAUAUAUAUAUAUAUAUAUAAUAAUAUAUAUAUAUAUAAGAGAGAGAGAGAGAGAGAGAGAGAGAGAGAGAGAGAGAGAAGAGAGAGUCCGGCUGGGAUACUAUCGAUAGCACAAAGAAUUUGGUGCUAUCAAGUUUUUCUACCGUUAAAUUUACCUUUUUUACCAUUUUUCAACCGUUAGAUUAUAUAUUCAACCAACCACCCACUCAACCCUAGGGAGCGCACAUCAUCCUAAUCGCACAUCUUUUAAUCCAAUGGUAGAAAACUUAAUAGCACCAAGUCAUUGGUGCUAUUAAUAGUAUUCCAGCCUAGUUCUAUACUAUAUAUAUAUAUAUAUAUAUAUAUAUAUAUAUAUAUAUAUAUAUAUAUAUAUACACACACACACACAAUUAUAUAUCAAAUUUCAAAAUUCAAAUUUGAAUUUUUUUAUUCAAAAUCUCAGAUAUUACAGUGUUCCGCUGACGAUUUCACUAGAAAACGCCACAAAAUGAACAACAGACAUCGCGAAGGCCACGGGACCUUGGACAACCAGUCCAGGGAUCACAAAUAGUUGUCCCACACUGCUCAAGGCAGACCGCAAGACUCAAAUUGCAUAAAAGCCCCUAAACAACUUAUAACCGCAUAAUAUAUAAAAAUAAAAGUGAUGUUUAGGGUCGUUACCAAUAACUGUGCUCACUUUUCGGAGAGUCGGAAGGCGUUCGGAUUGCCGGAACAGCAAGGAAGGCCCAGAAUUGCCCUAAAUCGAGCUUGACAGGGAGCAGGGAGCAAGGACAAGGGGCCGCGGCUACGAUGGCGCAAUGUGACUUGACCACUUAUGCUCAAAGCUGCACCAAAGAAGCAGUAGCAACCGCAACGGUGCUCAGCGGCUGCUAAAGCCACCGGGAAGGUGUUGCCAGAGGCUUAAGGUGGCACAGGUGGGGACCAGGGGGUGCGCGCAAACUCCUUGCCCUUAGGAUAGAGAUAGAGAGAGAGAUAAUAAGAGGAAAGUUGAGGGAGGAGAAGAAUAUGGGUUUGGCCGGUCGGAUCUCGGUCACCGGCGGCCAAGAAACGCGCGGCGCACGCAGAGAGGUAAGGGUGCCGGCUGGGCUCGGGUGAGGGAGAUGAAGAACUAGGGUUAGGGUUUUGGAGAGAAGAAACCCUAAGUUGCUUAUAUAUAGUAGAAGGGAAAAUGCAAAUAAGUCCUCCAAACAACAUAAUUUCAACCUAGGUCCCUCAACGCGUGUAAAACGUGCGAAGGCACCUUCGUGAGUGAUCUCAUGCAAAUCGAUACAUAAAAUAAUAGGUAUUUUCAAAAAAUACCAAUUUUCCAAUAUUGAUCCUUUCUCGAACAACGUACAAUUUCGGACGAUCGACUCAUCAGAUUUGCUUACGGCUUGCACCAGCACCUCCGGCACUGCUAGACUAUCAAAACUACAAUUUUGUUUCACCAGAAUCAGUCGCCAAUUCACAACAAAUUUAUACUCUUUCUGUCUCCACAUAAAUACCUAUAUAUAUAUAUACCUAUAUAUAUAUAUAUAUAUAUAUAUAUAUAUAUAUAUAUAUUUAAAUUCAAAUUGAAUUUCACCCAAAAAAUGAAAUUUCAAAUAUUACAUGUAACAUACCACAUCCCUCGUAAAUCGUGCCGAGUUCCGUCAAAACGAGCAGAGCGCAGAGUGGAACGAGUUGGUAUAGGCCCUAAGUGCAUUGGAGCCUAUAUAUAUAUAUAUAUAUAUAUAUAUAGUGCAAAGGGACCCGAGAGAGUGAAGUUUCAAAAUCUGGCUAAGUCCCAGAUUUUGUGCUCUCGGGGACCGGUCCCUGAAGAAGAGACCGGUCCCCGUGCGCGUAGCCUGCCAGGAAUCCUGAGACAACCGGUCCCUGACAGUGAGACCGGUCCUCGGGAGACCGGUCCCUGAAGAAGAGACCGGUCCCUCACUGUGCAGCCAGCCAAAAAUUUCGAAAUUCGGCUAAGUCCUGGAAACCCAAUGUUCGGGAACCGGUCCCUGGUCGGGGAAAUCGGUCCCCGACUGCGAAAGUUGCCCAGUCUGGGCAGUGCACAGUAUAGGAAGUGGAGGGGCUUAAGUGCAAAUGUCGCAAUACCUUAUAUGGCCCUAGCCCUCUCUCCCACAGCCAUUUUCACCCUCUUCUCAUUUCCCUCUCUUUCUCUCUCUAGAACCGUAGCCCUAGGGCUUGGAGAAGAAGAAGAAGAAGCAAGGAGAAGGUGGAUUUGGAGGCUUUGGUGGGUCUUGGAGCUCUCCAACAAAGAGGAGCUUGGUGGAACUUGUGCUAACGUGAGUUUCUAGCAUGUAGAACUCAAGGGUUUGGUUUUAAACCUUAGGAUUUAGAGUUUUGAUCCUCUAAUUAACCUAAAAACCCUCUAUUGACCUUGAAACCAUGAAAUCCACGGUUUUCUUGAGGAGCUCUCAUGGUGGAUCAAAAGGGCUCAUGGUAGAUGCCCUAGGGAUGGUUCCAAGAGCCUAGAAAUCUUAGUAGGAUGCUUCUUAGGUGAUUCUAAGCUAUUAUUUGCUUAAGGUUGGGAUCAAUCCAAGAGGAAACCCUAGAUGACAUUGUUAGGGCUCAAAUUUGGGGCUUUUGCCCUAUGAUUUUUCGGGGACGAAUUGACCUCGUAGAAACCUAAUUGGGGAUGUCCUCGACGCGUGGGACAACUCCGUUUAACGAUUACGAAAAUGUUUAAAAAUGGUUCAUGUAUAAAGGGGCCUAAUUUGGCACUAUUUUGAAUAUAGGACGCGGAUUCGGCGUUCGUAACGUUCGGGAGUCUCCAUAUUCAUCAUCUACUACCACUCAAGGUGGGGGGUGCACGCCGGAAUCAUCGGAUUCCCCUUUAUGUCUAUUUUCGCCUUUGUUGAGCAUAUUUGUAUAUAGAGUCAUUCAUGCAUAGUAGGGAUAUUUACAUGUGAUUAGUGGUUAGAGUUUCAAUAUUGUGCUUCUAACGUAGUUGAACAUAGUGAUUGAAUAUGAACCAUAAUGGACAUGUAUGUAGAACCCUAGAAGAUGUAUGAAUACAAGACUUGGACCUUGAUUGUAGUAAACAAGGGUGACAAUGACAAUAGAGACAUGAUUGCCCAUGAGAAUGAACUUGUUACACAAGGUUUAACAAUAAUGGUAUUGAGACAAGAACAAUAUAGAACGUGACAUGAACAAUAGGUAAGAACCUAUCAAGACAUCGGCAUUAUAAUUUGUGGCAAUGUAUCCUCAACUUGAGGAUUGGAUCGAGGCGCACGUGGACGUAGGCUUGAGGGAGGUCGCUCCUCCUCAAGUGGUGUACUUCGAAGUGUAGACACCAACGGGGAAGUACCCCAUCAACGAUCCCUCGGGUGGUUAUGCUUAAAGCCUCCCCCGGUAGACAGGAGAUGGAACGGUGAGCUAUUGGGGUUAACAAAGUUAACCGGUAAGAUUGGGUACAGAAAGAUAAGGUAAUGAUAAAGAACAUGCAUGCAUGCAUACUAUAUAUUGUUAUUGAUUACAUAUAUCCACUGACACUCUUCUGCAGGCAUAGUAUUAGAUGUAUUAGUACUGGCUACUUUUCUUUCCUUGAAAUAUUUAUGCCUAGAUAGACCUAGUGGGUAAGUCGACGAGGUCGGAUGCCGAACCCACUAGGAAUUUCGUUGUAGUUCUCACACGACUAACCCUACAGAUCCGAGUACGAGCGGGGUGGCGGAGGACCGGGGCAAGGGUUUAGCGCCAUAGAUAGUGGCCAUCGGGACUUUUUCACAUUUUGUAGUCAUUUACCCUUUUUGGUUUACAUGUAUAAACUUCUUUUGUUGAUUUGAAAAGUUGUAAAGUUGAAAACAAAUAUGUAAUUGGGUGAAUGGCUAAAUGUAAAGAAUGAUAAAUGAAAGCAUGAAAUGUAAUAGUUCAGUUUACUUUUAUUUGGUGCAAAAGCAAUCAAGUAUUAUACAUGGUUGAAUGUAUUAGCUUAGAGCUUUCGCUUCCGUUGUUGCUUGCCCUCGUGCAAGCCUUAUAUAAAUGCUAAUCUCGUUGUUUGAUUGCUUUAUUAUACAUGUUUUAGAGCCUUGGGCGGACGGGGGAGGCUCCGUCCGUUCGGCGUCUGUUGACGUGACCCGAACCCGACCAAAUUGGCGGGGAUUGGGGCGUCACAUUACACCACAUGAGUAUACCCCGAUUGCCCCAACAAACUUAAGAGAUUAUUCGCAAAUGGAUUCUACUGAGAGGGUUAGACCGCUUACCUGGUACACCCUGAACCAUAAUAGCAAUCGUCGAUGAUUGAGAUUCCAAAAGGCUAUUUGGCUCAACAAUUCGAGGGUAUAGAGUGCACCUUUAGGGUUAGAUUUAGCUAGAUCGGAGUAGCAAUUGUAAUAUACCAAAACUUCGGUAGAGUAUAUCGAGCUUUAGUCAAAUUGACCAAAGUGUGCGAGAGAAAUAGUUGGACAAAGUCUUAGAGUUAAGUUCCGAAUGCGAUUGAAGGGUUUUAGCAUUACUCGGCACGAAAAGGAACUGAGCACUGCCAAAACUGCAGUCUGGGUACUGCUUAACCGGUGAAGCACCAGGGCAGUACCGGUACCAAACAGGCCACCCAAGAAGCCAUCUCUCGGGUUUGGCCUCUGUCAAGCUACUUAACCGGUGACGGCCCCGAUGCGUACCGGUACCCCGCAGCAACCCGAGAACAGCAGCUCUCGGGUUUGGACAGUUGAACAAGGGCAUACCGGUGAUGCCCACCCGCUUACCGGUACCUUGCACUACGAACAGCAGGUUGCAGUCUGCUGCAAAUAAGAAUGUUUGGAGGGCUUGGUUGCAAUUGUAGCAGCUUAUAAAAUCUCCCUAUCUCCUCUUCUCUUGUUCACAGCCAAGGGAACCCUAAAAGAGCUCUCUCUCUUUCUCUCGGAAGUCUCUCUCUCUCUUGGGGGUGGAUCAAGAGGAGAUUUAGAGGAGGAAUUGGAGAAGAUUUGGACCUUUGGAGAAUCUAGAGCUCUCCUACAAGGUGGAGCAUGUGGUGUUCAUAGGCUAAGGUGAGGUUUCUUGUAAGAUCUUAUUUAGGGUUUGGUUUUAUACCAUAGAACACUUGGUUUUGAUCUUCUUACAUGGAAGGAAACCUAGUAGAGACCUUGGAACCUCAUGAAAUUCUAUGUUGUUCAUGAGCUCUCAUGGUAGAACUCUAGGGUUUGGUUCAAAUGCCCUAAGAAUGGUUUUAGAUGGAUCUAGAUGAGUUUCUAGAGGAUGAUAAGCUUGUUUUUGCUUACCUCCAAAAUUCAUAUGGUGUAUGUUGCUAUAGUGCAUUGUUAGGGCACCAAAAUUGGAGCUUUUGUCAUAGGUUGGUUUAAAGGUAAAUUGACCUUGUAGAAACCUAAUUGAAGAUAUUUCCGACGCAUUGGUGGACUCGGUUCCAAGAUCCAACGAGUCUACACAAAGAUAUUGGAGAAAAAACCUAUUUUGGCUUCAUUUUUCGCAGUUAAGAGAAAUAGGGGUUUAAAAAUCACGAGAUUUGAAUCGUAGCACCCUACCAACCAUACGAGGUGGGUGGUGCUUUCUGAAAUCCUCGAAUUUUUCUUUUAUGUCUAAAAUAUCAUUUCUUGAGCAUAUGUAUAUAUUGAGCUUCAUGCAUUGUAGGGUGAUUUGAGAGUAUAUUGUUGCAUGUUGUGAGUACAAAUGCAUAUGAGAUGAUUGUAAACUAAUGAGAACUUGUAAAAUCCUAUGUAUGCAUGAAUGAUGACAAGAACCUAGAAAAGGCAAAGAAUCUAGUGACAUUGAGAACAAAUAACAUUAUGACAUCCAUAGUAGAGUGGCAUCAAUGAGUUUUGGAAUGCUAGUGUUAGAAGUGUGGCAUUAAUGAGAACAAUAAAUGCAUGAGAUUGAGUAUAAAGAACAUGUAGUGUGUGUGACACUAAUGAGAGUUAAAGAAUGCAAAAUAUGAGAUAGUUGACAUUAUGACACAACAUGGCAUAACAUCCUUAUAGUUAAGGGUCAAAUGAGCAUUGCAUCUUUUGAGUUAAGGAUUGGAUUGAACUUGGCAUCCUUAAAGUUAAGGAUUGGAUCAUACUCACCUAUAAGUCUUGGCUUGAGGGUGGUAGCUCCCCCUCAAGCGAUGAGCUCCGGAGUGUCAUCACUGGGUUGGUGUUUUUCGCAGAGGUCGGUCCCGUCGGGUUGUAGCGAGUACCUCCCUGAUAUUAGGGAUUUGAGUUGGUGAGUCUAUUGAGGGUGAAACCUACGGGUUAGCUAAGAGAUUGAGUAAAGGAAUUGUGAUCUUGCAUGCAUCAUCAGCAUUCUAAUUGAGCAUAAUUGUUGAUUAUAUCUUGUUCAGGCAUAUUAGCUGCAUAUGUAUAGUUGGUUACUAUCUAUUUGUUUAUUCUUCUAUUAUGCUUGAUUUAGACCUAGUAGGAAAGUCGGCGAGGUCGGCGGCCGAACCCACUGGAAACUUUGUUGUAGUUCUCACCCUACUAUUUUCACAGAGCUGGGACCGAGUGAGCCGGCCGAUGAUCGCGGUAAAGGUAUCGCGCCCUAGACAUAGACUACCCGAGAUGGUUUCAUAUUUACUUAGUUGCAUACCCUUACGUCAUCUUUUGUAUUUAAUGAUACUAGUUGUAUGAAUGAUGUAUGAAAGCAAAAAGCUUAUAUUUUGGAAGAGAUGUUAUGUACAUUUUGAGAUCAUGUGAUGUAAAAAAAAUGAUGAAAGAAUGUAAAAGAAUUUAAAUGUUGAAUGCAUGUAUGUGGUUAAAAGUUAAUCAUUAUACUUGUAUGUUUAUAAUAGUUUAGAAUCUUUCACUUUUGGCUAUUGCUUGCCCUCGUGCAAGUCAUAUAUGUUUAUGUUUCCGCAUGUGCAAAACUUUAUACUCGAUUUGUACUUGUGUUGAGCCUUGGGCGGACAGGAGAGGUGCUGUCCAUUCGGCGUCUGUUCGACGUGCCCGAACCGACGAAAUGGGCCGGUCCCGGGGCAUGACAGCAACAGUUGCAGAAGAGACUUCUCUGAGACUGAGGGCUACGAUGAUGAUUAAACCAUUAUGGCUCCGUGAAUCUGAUCUUGGGUUUGAUCCGCUAUUGAUGGUAAUCUCGGAAACACUGGGGAAAGUGUGACACCCCAACUUCCAGGGGAUUACCCAUCCUAGAACUACUCUCGUCCUAGUAUGCUUAGCAUGCUUAACUCUCUUAACCUCUUGGGCCUAGCCACCACCCAAAAUGCUUAAGUCGGGUUAAAAGUUUUAACUCUAUUAUAUCUUAUAUAUAGGACUACCUAGGGUCACAUUCUCCCCCCUUAAGCCCUGACGUCUUCGUCAGGCUCAGACGCACAAGUAUCAGGAGAUGUGAGACUCGUUUCGCUAGCCUAAAUUGACCUUAUAAUAAGUUGCACUCCACCCACAAUAGUCUCAUGCUUACCCGCUGUACAAUCCUUAAUCAACCAAAACUCAUCUCACACUUUCGGCUGGUAAUUGGCUAUGCUACCAACUGUGAAGCCCCAACUUCCCAGAGGGUCACCCAUCCUAGGACUACACCCAUCCUAGUCACGCUUAACUCUCUUCACCUUUUGGACCUAGCCACCUGUAAGGACUGAGAUUUUGGCAGUGUAGUUAAACUCUCUAUUGACGAUAUUUUUGUGUGUUAUUUAAUUACAUAAACACUCAUCAAGUUUCAGGAGAAAACGAGUUAGAAUGGAGAAGUUACGCGAUCAAUACUAAUCACUUAAAGUGAAUAGUAACUCCGAUUUUCCGGCGAAGCCAAUGAGUGGAGAAGGCUUCCGGUGCGUAUUGGACUCCGUUCAUAGCAAUCCAAUAGCUCAUUUUGAACGGUUCGACUAUUCUGAAACCUAUGGCACUGAUGGAUUUGGGUUCUGAUGCACGGUUUUUGAGAAAAAGGGGUUUGAUUGGAUUUAGAUAUAUAUAUAUAUAUAUAUAUAUAUAUAUAUAUAUAUAUAUAUAUAUAUAUAUAUAUAUAUAUAUAUACCAAAAUNNNNNNNNNNNNNNNNNUAUAUAUAUAUAAGUAUGAUGAUUGGUGGAUUGCAGAGAGGGCUGGGUUCGUCGUAAAUCGAAGACCAAAUCGGAUGAAAUUAGAUUCGAUGUCCCAGCCAUGCUGAACACGCUGGCGCAAUCCGUUCGGAAAUCCGACCAACGGAUCUUCGGGAAUCGUAAAAUGUUCGCUAAGGGGUCGAAAUCAUUAAAACGGAAAAAUUGCGAAAGGUCCAAUAUUUUAUGCGCCGUUUUGCGUGAUUUUGAACGUCGAGGUACGUACGCGCAUAUUACACGCACUGGCAGGGACUGGGUUGAGAUUUUACAGUUUCGGAGGACUAAACUGUAAUUAAACCUUUAUAUAUAAAUGAUUGCAUCUAGGGUUUCAUAAAGAAACCCUAGCUCCUGGAUCCCCUCCUCAGCUGAGCUAACCCUAGCCGCCCCACCUCCUCCGAGCCCUCGCUAUGCGCGCGCGCCGGCCGCCAGCAAGCUGCUCCGGCCGCCUGAAAAUCACCCCGACCUCUCACCUAGCUCCUCCCUCCACCUUGCAGCCACCACAUCAUCUGACAGCCACGGAGAACCACCCUCGUGUGUCACAGCCUUCCCCUUGGCCAAGAUCCCUCUUCGGUGCCGUCACCGGCCGUCCCCGCCAUCAGCGCGCGCCGCCUGAGCCACCUGUGCGAGCUGCGGCCAGCCUGGGUCAGCUCGGGCCGAGCUGACUUCAGCUCGGGGCCCGUUUGUUGAAGCCACCUUAUCUCGGCCGCCACGACUCCCUCCGGCCUCUAGCAACCUCCGGCACGCUUCCCUGCCGUCCCCACGCACCGCCGGCCAUCGCUCGUGCACCCUACAACCGCCCAGAUUUGGUGCAGGCCGAGGCGGAGCUACCUCGGCCAUCGCGUGUCGUCGCCGCCCACAGCGGGGCGCACCACCCUUCCCUCGGCCUCCGGCGACGGAUCGUCGUCGCCCUGAUCUCGUCCGACCGCCGCCCGGCCGCCAUCGCCCUUGAACCCGAGAGCUAAGUGGCGGCUUUGAUCUCUGCCACCGCGCCACCGGUUGCCGCCCGCCGCCGGCCAGCACCCUCCCCGGACCUCUCGGACCGGCCGCACACGCCCUCGGUCGGAGCGACUGCCAUCCGGCCGCCGGCGACCAACCCUAGCUCCCACUGCUCUGGUAAGGCUAUUACGUAAAUUCCAGCACACUGUUUUGGGUUUCCGGUCACCUUUUCGGUGAUCCGAGGGCACCCCGAUGACUGUGGAAAUGAGCACGAUCAUCCUUGUUUCGUGCUGAACAUCGUGCUCACCUCCGUUGGGGUCAACGAUGCCCUGGUUUGCGAGUUUGAUGCGAUUUAAGCGCUGUACGCGCUGUUUCGCUGUAGUUCGCAUCACUCGCGCACCGCCCACAGUGACCGGCAGUGCUCUGAAGGGUGAGCACGGCCUCCGGCACACCGAGACCUGUCAGCAGGUGUCUCGGCUUGGCUGAAUGACCCAUGGUUUGCGCUGUUAGACCAUAAAAGCCCAGAAAUCACAUAAAAUAAUAUGAUUUCAUGGAAUCGGGAGGGCUUUUAUGCAAUUGUGUUUGUCAUGGCUGCUGUAGCCAGCGUGUGCGGGCAGUGGGUAACCUAUAGACUGAUUGUCCAAGGCCCUAGGCCUUUGUGGAAAUCGAAAAGUGAUUUUCGGUGCAUUUUUCGGCGAAAUCCGCCGACGGAAUACUUUUUCAGUUUGGAAUUCUUCCGACGGUGCUUCGUGAUGCUUUGUUAUGUCGCCGAGCCUUGUUGGCCGGUCAACCGCGUCGUUUCGAGGGUUCGGAAAUGACGGGUGAGCGAUUGUCGGUUGCGGUGUCGAAUUGGGCACUUUCGGGAACCCGGAUUGGAAUGAUUAUUCGACGAUAAUCGUUUCGGAGUGAGUUAGUGUCUUCGCUGCCAAGUCACACGAAAAUAUGUAUUUAGUGGCAGCGGGUGACUCGUAUCUUGAGUCGGUGAGUCUCGGGACAGUUCGUGGAUCUCGGCGGAGUCCCGGUGCUGUUUUCGGGACUUCCGGCGUGUUUGGCAAUUGGUUUUGGAAAAUCGAUUCUCGUGGGUUCGAUAGUGGGGAUUGUGAGUUAGCGUUUUGUGCUAGUGGGUUAGAUUCUAACCCGGUGGACCCUUCGUAGGUCAGGUUGGCAUUUCUUCCGCAGACGGAAGAUUCGUACCGUAUUUGUAUAGGUGGGUACUUCGAUCUAAAGUCGGUACAGUGGUGCACGCUCGGUGAUAUCCUCUUACCUUUGUUCUCCCGUUGUUAUUAUUGCAUACCAUAUAUUUAGCCUUACACUUAUGUUGUUUUCAUUGUACUCUACUCAGUUGUUUUCAUAUUUAGUAUCAUGAGUAGGAGUAGAGUGGUUUUAUCUACAUGUGAUAUCUGUGACCUAGUUGGUCGGUUCUCGUACUUCGUAUUAGUGACCUGGUAGGUCGGUUCUCGUACUUCGUAUAAGUGACCUGGUUGGUCGAUUCUCAUACUUCGUAUCAGUGACCUGGUUGGUCGGUUCUCGUACUUCGCAUCAGUGACCUUGUUGGUCGGUUGAACUUUUUGAUGACCUAUACGGUCAGUGUGCCCUGAGGAGGCAGGAUUGUCGGCUGGUUGCCGACGGUUGGCUAUUGAGCAUGCAGCAUCGAUCGCCACUGCUCAUACGCAUUUUACGAACACCAGCGGUCUGAUCCGCCGCAAGAAGUUAUUCUUUUUCGGAAAAGUGGUUGGGAGUGCCAACCCGUGAGCCCGGGUGCUUUAUGCGACAGUUAUAUGCUUUCAGACCCGGGUUGUUUAUGCGAGGGUCAUAUACCUUUCAGACCCGAGUGCUUUAUGCAAGGGUCACGUAUAGGUUGAGCAGUUGUGACACAGGCCUGAGGUGUUGCCGACCAAUAUGGUUAUUCCAGAUUGGGUAUUUUGGACUCAUUGUCCGUUGAUGCAUUCAUACAGUAGCGGUAGCUGUGCAUUUCUUUAUCAUGUUCAUUUAUUAUCAUUGCUACUGUAUUUCACUUAUCCAUGUUGUUUACCCUCCUUUUCUGGUGCGUACCCUCGUCCUCGUCGGCUUGCGGUAUCCACUGGGAGGGGAGACAUGUUUACAUAUUCUCACCCCCACCCCCAUUACAGGUGACGUCGCUGGUCCGAGUGGGACGGCACGUGAGGAGCACGCUAGUGAUCAUUAGAGCCAUCGUCCCGCCAUUUUGGUUUAUCAUCUUACUCUGCUUCUCUCUAAAUAAAUGACUUAGACAAUUAUUAUGGUUCAGUUUUGUCAUUACAUUUGAAUAUGUGAGAUUUCAGUUGGUUUUAUGAAGGUAAUAACGUAUUUGGAUUUCUGUGAAAUGAAAAUAGUUUUCUACCCCUCGUGGUAGCGUAUUUUCAGAAAGAAAAGGGUUUCCGCGUGGGAAACAGUUUUAAAAGAUUUUCUUAUGGUUUUUGUAUCUUAGUAUUUCAAAACCAGUUUUGGGGUAGGAAACGUUUUAACUAAUAGAUGUGGAUUUAUGAUUAAACACUGAAUGUGAAUAUGUGAUGAAUGGUGUAUGAAUGUAUGAAUGUAUAAUUGUUUGUAUAUUCAUUUAGUGGUGGUUGUAUCCUGGUUAUACAUCUUGUAUUUGUGCGACGCCGUGCAAAUACAGGGGAGACUCUAUCAGUGUGAACAGUGGACUCCUUGUAUUUGUGGCAGAUCUGGCAUACCCUGGGGUCAGGUUUUCAAAAAAAAAUUUAGGUACUUCCGCUAUGUUUUGAAACCAAAAAGGGAUCCCGGGGCGUGACUCCACUGCCCAAAAUGCUUAAGUUGGAUUAAGAGUUUUACCCCUAUUAUAUCUUAUAUAUAAGACUAUCUGGGGUCUCAUAAAACGGCUUUAGAGGUUGGAAUGGGAGAACCUGGGAUCAGUCGACCUGAUGAUCCUGCCACCAACGCCUUGGGAUUGGGAAUAGUUCUGAUACCAAUUUGUCGCAACCAAGACUCGUCGCAACCCGUAGAUGACGAUACUUUGCUUUAGCGAGGAUGGCGCAGGGAUGAUGGGUUACCCUAUCAGCCUAAUCCAUCCCUUUCCUAUCCCGAAAUCACCAUGAAUGGAGGUUCGGAGGUAGGAAAAAAGAAAGAGUAAAGGAGAGAAUGGAAGAAAAGAGUAGAAGAAAGAUAGAGAAGAAGAAGAAAAUGGAGAGGGGGAGUUGAAAAUAUAUUCUGUUACUAGCUAGUUAUUGCAAUUGUAACCCCUAUUUAUAGCCCAAUGCUAGGGCGUGUUGUAAAUUCCAACAAGUUUGAGGGGAAUUUGUAAACACACCCCUUGACUGGUCCUUGACCAAUCCAAUGAGGCGGUUGGGAUUGUUAUGGCCGGUACCCGCCUCUCGCAUGGGCCUGGGCUGUGCGAUCCCAGCGUAGUGGACUCGGAUUUGUAUUGGGUGCGGGUGGGAAACUAUGGACCUACCCCUCUUCUACCUUAUAUUUGCGAAGCUUCCUGAGGCCACCCUGUGCUUUACCUAACCCUCAAGAACUCCGCUCUCUCAGGCUUAUCCCAAGUCGUGACUUUCACCGUUCUAGAUUCUUCAGAUGCCUAUGCCCCCUGCCGGAGAUCGGAUGGCUAGCCACCGGAUUUUGAAUCACUGAGAAGCUAAGUACCUGUUUUAACCUCCCCUUCCACUUUAAUAACUUGCCAACUCAUACUUUCUAUAGGUGUUACACAGGUGUUAAGGCUUGAUGUUGUUUUAUACACUUUUCUAAUUUUUUACUAUUUUACGUUUAUGUAAGUAUUAUCACAAAUUAUUUAUGUAUUAUGAUAGCUUUAUUUAUUCACCACAAAGAGCUGGUUAACAGAAAUAUCCAAAAAUAGAAAAAUUAAGAGACGUGAAACUUUCAUUUGUUUUUUACAUAUUUUUGCAAAAGUUGCCUCUCGCCCAAAAAAAAACAUACAAAUAGAGAUUUGAAUUCUGGUGUGCUGCAUAGAAUUUCGAGUUUUAAACGGAUAACCGACUACUUGAACAAAAGGUGCACAAUAUCCAAAUGUAUGUGAGACCCACUCACAACUGUUACGCUCAUUAAAAAUAAAGUAGUUCAUUUAAUUAUAAGCAACUAAAAAGUAUCUAUACUACUUAUAAAAGUGUGAGUUUUAAAUUUUUUUCUUUUUUAAAAAAUAUUUUUAUUUUUUAACUAAUAUUUUCAUGUCCAAUAAUUUUCAACCAUUCAUUUCAAAUAAUUCUUCAAAUAAUAAUUUAUUCUCAAAUAUACAUCUUAAGUUUUUGCCAUUGGAUCUAAUCCAACAAGUAAAAAAGUAUCGGUCAUCUUUGUUGACAAAAGUACCCUCAAUAUCUGUUAUCUCUUAUCUACGUGUUUCUCAAAUAUUUUCUUUCUACCUGCCAAUCACAUAUUAUGUAAAAUUAAAUUUAUCUCCUAACGUAAUACCCGCCAAUAACGUAAUAUGUAAAAUUAAAUUUAUCCCCUAUCUACGUGUUUUCUCAAAUAUUUUUUUUCUAGAAUAUUGCUUUUCUAAAACGUAAUAUUUGCCAAUAUUACAUAGUACUCAAAAUUAAAUUUUAAAUUUUAAAUUAAGUAUAAAUUAAAUUAAAUUUACCUCCUAACUAAAUAACCGCCAAUCACGUAAUACGUAAAAUUAAAUUUAUUUCUUUUCUACGCAUUUUCUCAAAUAUUUUUUUCUCAAAUGUAAUACCUGUAAAUGACGUAGUACUCAAAAUUAUAUAUUAAAUUUUGAAUUAAGUAUAAAUUAAAUCUACUAUAUAUACUAUCUGCAUCUUUUCUAGAAUAUUGCUUUUCUAAAAUGUAAUACGUGCCAAUAUUACAUAGUACUCUAAAUUAAAUAUACCAUUUACACAUUUUUCAAAUAUUUCCUUUCUAACAUACCCGCCAAUAAUUUAAUACCCGCCAAUGUGAUAAUUUAAAUUUUAAUUUAUAAUAGUAGAUUUUCAUACGUGAGAUAGUAAAUUUAAUUGCAGUGGGUAUUAAAUUUUGACGUGCCACAAAAAAUUAGAAUAUUGCUAAAAAAAUUUAAUACCCACCCAAUCAAAAUUAAAUUAUUCAUUAAAUAUAAUUUUAAAUUUUUUAAGUAAAAUAUCAAUAUUUAACUAAUAUUCUUCAAAAUAUUCUACGCAUUUCUCAAAUAUAGAACAUAUCUUAAAGCCCUCGCAUAUAAUAUCUACACUACCCAAUCCUAUCUCAGCAUAAUACUUUCCACACAUAGAGUAUAUCAUUUUCCUCAUUUUCAUCUAUACGUUUCUCAAAUGUAAAAUAAUUUUUUUUUUUCAUUUUCACCUAUAUUUUUUUUUUCAAAUCAUUAUUGUCCUCAUCGUCAUCGCAGGCGCCAGCACAUCGUCGCUUUCGCCACCUUCGCCACAGUUGGAGAGGUUUUUUGAUCCUACCUAAAAAUUUUUCUUUUUUUAAUGUGCCUUUAUACUUUUUUAGUAUAUUUUUUUAGUAUUUUCUCAUUUUUACCUAUACAUUUCUCGAAUAUAAAGUUUAAAUAUUUUUUUAGUAAUUAGAUAGUGUAUCAAUAAAAUUAUGUUAAUUUGAAAUAAUAUUGAAGUAAUUAUUGAUAGACCUAUUUUUUAGCAUUAAAGAAUAUAGCAUUCCUUUUGCAAAAAUAGAAAAAGAAAUUCAUACUUAUUCAAAUUUUUUUCACGUAGAGAAUAUCUACAACAGAAUAUUCUUGUCACGCCCCUGGGUCCUUUUAGUUUGAAACACAGCGGAAAAGCGUCAAUUUUUUUUUUUUUUUUUUUUUAAAAGCCUAACCCCAGGGUAUGCCAGAUCCACCACAAAUACAGGAAUUCCACUAUUCACACGGACAGAAUCUCCCCUGUAUUUGCACGGCGUCGCACAAGUACAAGAGUACAAACAUAAUACAACAACAACUAAAUGAACAUACAAACAUCCAACAGUUUUAUAUUCAUACACCAUUCACCACAGGUUCAUUCACAUAGUCUUAAUCAUGAAUCCACAUCUAUCAGUUAAAAUGAUUCCUAUCCGGAAACUGGUUUUGAAAUACUAAGUUACAAAAACCACGAGAAAGCUGUUUGAAAGCCGUUAUUCAUAAGGAAAAUCUUUUCUUUUAAAACAUGCUAUCACGAGGGAUAGAAAACCUUUCCAUUUCAUGAAAAUCCAAAAAUCAUUGUCUCAUUCAGAAAACCAACUGAAAUCUUGAAUAUUUUAACAUAAUGAAAUACUGAACCAUAUAAACCGACUAAGCUAUAUAUCAAUAGAAAUAAUAAGGGUAAAAACUAAACCGAAUAAUCUGGGUCGGAAGCUCUAUCGACCGCUACGAACGUACCUCACGUCUCGUCUCAACCUCACCGCCCGCAAUACCUGAAAAAUGGUGGGCGAUGUGAGAACAUGUAAACAUGUCUUCCCUCCCAGUGGGUAGCGCAAGCCGAUGAAGGCGAGGAGUACUCACCGGAUCAGGAAGAGAUAAACAACAAUAUGGGUAAGUGUAAUACUAAAUACAGUAGCAACAAUAAUGAACGAAAGAGAUAGAACUAUAAAUGAAAGCACAACUACCGCUACUGUAAUGAACAACUGAAAGUAUAUAUGCAGCUAAACUAUAGUAGCAAGACAAGUGUAAAGAAAGAACUGAAGGUAUACAAACAACAACCGCUACUAUAGUUAUAUGCGUCAAUCGGUCAAGAAGUCCAAAUAUACCCAAUCUGAAAUCUGCUGUUCUAUUGGUCCGCAGCGCAAACCUCAAGCCUAUGCCACUACUACUCUCCCAUGCAUAUAACCCCUCUAGGGCUCACGGGUUGACACCUACAACCACUUUUCCGGAAAAGAACACUCCUUGCGGUGGUCAUCCACUGCUCACCCAUGCUGCCAACAGCAGCCGCAACAACCCAGAAUACAUAAAAGCCCUCCCGAUUACCCGAAAUCGCAUUAUUUCAUGCGAUUUCGACGCUUUUAUGGUCCGUCUACACAAACCAGAAGUCAAUCAUCCAAACCGAGACACCCGCUGACAGGUCUCGGUGUGAUGGAGGCCAUGCUCACCUUUUGGAGCAAUUUCGGCCACUGCGGCAAGAGCGCGAGCGACACGAACUUCAGCGAAACUGCGCGCUGAAACUAAAAAUGCUUCAAAUUCACUCAUCCGGGGGUCUUUGACCUUAAAUGAGGUGAGCACUGUGAUCAACACUGACCGACGAUCACCGUGCUCACCUCCGGAGGCAUCAGAACAGCCUCAGGUCGCCGGAACAUUGAUCCCAAACCGAAACAAUGCACAGAACAACAAAAACAUUGCUUACCGGCCGGGGCAGAGCUAGGGCUGGCCGGCGGCGGCCGGAUGGCGGGCGCUCCGGCCGAGGACGAGCGCGGCCGGUCAAUGGGGUCCAGGGCAGGUGCUGGCCAGCGGCGGGAGGCGGCCGGUGGCGCGGCGGCUGCGAUCCAAUCCGCCAAGUUGCUCUCGGGUUCAAGGGCGCCGGCGGCAAGGCGACGGCCGGAGGAGGUCAGGGCGACGUCAAUCCGUCGGCGGAGGCCGAGGGUAUCAUGAUACGCCCCUCCGUGGGCGGCGGCGUCGUGCGGUGGCCGAGGUGGCUCGGCCUAGGCCCGCACCAGCUCUGGACAGCCGCAGAGUGGAAGAGCGGCGGCCGACGGCUUCGGGGACGUCCGUGGAUGAACGCCGGAGGUCGCCGGAGGUGUCUGGAGGGCGGCACUGCCGGCGGGGAGCAGCGGCACCGCGCGGAUGCCGAGAUCACCCAAGCUCGGUCUGGGUGAUCGCGGUUGGCCGCAAGGAGCUAGGGCGGCUCCGUCGGCGCUUUGGGACGGCGGGGCCGCGGGCGACGGCGAGCGGGAUGUCGCCAGAAGGCGGCGCGGCCGAUGGGGGCCGGUAGCCGCACACGAAACCCGAGAUCGAGCCUGCUCGGUCUGGGCUGACCCGAGCUGGCUGCAGCUUGCUCAGCUGGCUCCAGCGGCACGUGCUGACGACGGAAACGUCCGGUGAUGGUACCGGACGUUGGUCUCGGCCAGGGGAUGGUGACGCUCUGACUUAGAUGACUCCUUGAGACCCCAACCACAACGUGGUGGAGUGGUUGGCCGAACGGGAGGGAGAGGGUAGUGCGGAAGGGUUUUCCGGUGGUCGGAGAGGCUUGCCGGCGGUCAGGGCGCGCGCACGGUUGGGCAGGGAUGCAGGUGGGGCGGCUAGGGUUCAGUUCGGCUAAAGAGAAGGCCAAAAGCUAGGGUUUCCUCAUGAAACCCUAGUGCAACUACUAUAUACAUAUGUACAUUUUGCAAGAUAGUCCUCCCAGGGAUAAUAUUCUCAGUCAAGUCCUUCACAGCUCACGUAUUUUACACAUACGCACCUCCACGUCCGAUCUCACGCGAUUCGGCACAUAAAAUAUAGGGUCUCUUCGUGAUUUAUCCGUUUUGCCAAUUUGACCCCUCAGUGGACCUUUCGCGUUUCCCAUAGAUCCGUCCGUCAGAUUUGCGAACGGAUCGCACUAGUGCGAUCAGCACAACGGAGACAAUAAACCUACGAUUUUGAUUCACAUCGAUCGGUCAUGGAUUCGCGACGAAACCUGUCCGCUCUCCAAUUUCCAAAAAACCACACACAUAUACCAAUGUGUAAUCCCACUAAAUCCUAGAUUCAAAUUCAAAUUUGAAUCUCCUACUACUAGUAGGUACAUGUAACAUCACUCACCUUACUCUAGGUCACAUACGCAGAGCACGAGGAGUCUCAUUAUGCAAGAACAGCAAAGAGCGAAAACCCUCUUUUCGAUAAAAUCCCUUUUUCUCGAAAAUCGUGCAUCAGAUCUGAAAUCCGUCAGUGCCAUUGGUUCCAGAAUAGCUGAACUGGUCGAAACGAGCUAUUGGAUCGCUAUGAACGGAGUCCGAUACGCGCCGAAAGCCAACUCUACUCUGUGGCUUCUCCGAAAAAUCAGAGUUACUAUUCAUUUAAGUAAAAACUAAAAAUCGCGUAUCUUCUCCAUUUUAGCUCAUUUUCUCCUGAAACUUUACGAGUGCUUAUAUAAUUAAAUUACACAUAGGAACAUCAUCAACAGAGAGUCUAAUUACAUUGCCAAAAUCUCAGUCCUUACAUUAUCCCCCCUUUAAAUGAAGUUUCGUCCCCGAAACUUGACCACGUACCCACCGAAAUAGAAUUCAGAUAUUACUCCACCACUACAAUAUCACCCUUGAGUACUGGUCAAUCACAAAUCCUUGAAUUGGGCAAAUCAAUCUCCGAAUAAGGGAAGAAUAGGACCACGGCUCCACUCGGACAAAAACGAGGGAAAAACGUACCAACCCAAAAUCUACGGACCAAAACUCACCGGGAUCAACACCAUCCUAUAACCUGCGGAAAAAAACAGUCCCACUGCCAGGAUUCGUCGAUCCUAACUUUGCCAAUUCUGAGAUAACACUUCAACACUCAGAAAUUCUAGGUCCACUCAACCUUGAUCCGCAUACCAGUAACCGACUCGACUACGUCGCAAGUUCACGUAGAAAAGUCACGAGACACAACUACUAAUCUGGAGUCUAUUUACGUAGACUAAAAUGAAAUACUCCGACUAGCCCACAACAUCAACCUGCUCACCACGAGCGAAUACAAAACGUUGUUCUAUGACCUGAGUCGAAACUCUCACCUUGGAGACCACAGUCUCCCACCAAUAACCACACAAACUGCCAAAACCUCCAUCACCUGCCACAAUCUAUAGUCCUAGGUCCAAGACCUCACUUUCCACCUGACUAACAGGUCCAACUGACGAUACCAUUCGGGCUAGACAAUUUUGUCUCCUCAAACUUAACCAGUACCAACAGACCACUGAAAGCUCUUUGCAAGUCCAUCACUUGAUGCACAGGUCACCAAUCACAAAAGCGAUACUAACCGUCGGCGAUGCUCAACAUUUGUCUCCACGAGACCCUGUCGCUGCCGUCCAACCAGGGACCCUAGCGAUUGAUGUUCCGAGCAAUACCAAAAACAUGUCUCAUUGAGACCUAGGCGCACCUGUCACCUGUUUGACUGGACAAGCAUACUAUUUCUUGGUUUGCACGUUAAGCCGAGUCGCAAACCAUAUAUUCUAUCACAUACGAUGACAAUCAAAGCCAACAACCAGGCUAAAGUCACGCAACAACUGUAAUUCAGAACCGCCUAGCAAAAGGCCGAGACUAACAACCAAGGCAAACCUUUAGUUGUGGAAGGCACAACAAUAGAACCAACGAUCACCUAGACUCGAACCAAAGUAAAAACCAUCAGCAGUGACAGUAAGUCAACUGUGCAAAACCUGCCAGGGAAAUAAUCCAAGGCUCGCCAUAUGGUCAGAGAUGACCAUCACUCUAGCUUUUCCCACAAAACAGUCUAGAGAACACAUCGACCCAAUCCAUAAGUGCCAAACGGGAAGAUAGUAUUUCGUCCCUCUUUCGACAGUAUAUUGUCUGCAGCCAAUAUACUUAUCAAAAGAAAAGCGAAAUAUCCGAAGAUCCACUACCAACAACAAGUUGGAAGCACAACGCGUUAAAGUAUCAAGCCACUUGAUACCUCUCCACUGAACCAGAAGCUCACACCCAAAACCGUCGAAACAUCGACUUUGCAAGCCGACAUUCGAAAUCAGCCCGACCUUGAACCAACUCACAGGGAGUUUCAUAGUUUCAAUAUCUGAAAGCCACUAGCGACACUAAACCGCGAACCACACGGACUGAGGCUGUAAGAAAUGGUUUCUCUAACUAAUUUCCGCACCACAACCGAACUAUACCCAAGCUCCGAGAACUCCGACACUACCCAAGAGUAUCUCGAAUCAAAACAAACUCUACCACAAACCACAGACUAACCUACAACACACCAAUUUAGGUGUUAGAACAAUAGCAUACGAUGUAUGCAUCAACGAAAACCUGACACCAAACUGUGUCAAUCCGACUCUAGUGCACGUCAAUUUGACAAAAGAACUAGUUCAAGGUCAAAAGAUCCAAACCGCUGAUUCCAAUCAGCAAUCAAGGAGGAGAGGUAGGCAUCGCAACCCUACCCAAAGAUCUGCGGAAGCAAUACUAACAAUGCAGUCACCUAAAAGACCGCUAACCAAACCCUGGGCUAGGCCCUAGUAGCCCCACUGAAGUCACGAUCGUAACUGAUCACAGUGCCAUCUCCGUAGAGACACUCUCAACAGCUCUCGUGUCCUAAGUAGAGAGAGUGGCCUGAGCGUCGGCAGUUAUAACACUCGCCUAGGCUCGAAAUCUUACUUGGCCCUUCAAGGCCCCACCUGACAGGAGUGGCAACACCUGGGGAAUGUCGCCCCACCAUUCGAUGUCAGAAUAAGUACACCGCCACUACUCCCGACUUAGACACGAGCUUGUGCGAACCGUAACACAUACAGAAACACCAUGCACUUUGAGUUUACCAAACUCAAAUGCAGCCCAAGACACAAGUCCAAACCCCGCACUCACGUGCCUAUAUACCGUAGGUCUUUCUAUGGGUCAACCUAACCAAUGAUUCAGUUUCAUUUACUUUUCAAAACAACCUGUGAAUGGUAUUGUGGUUGUAACUUGGCUCUGAUACCACUUUAAUCUGUCACGCCUCGGGGUCCCUUUUAGUUUGAAACACAGCGGAAAAGUGUCUAAUUUUUUUUUUUUUUUAAAGCCUAACCCCAGGGUAUGCCAGAUCCGCCACAAAUACAGGGAUUCCACUGUUCACGCGGACAGAAUCUCCCCUAUAUUUGCACGGCAUUGCACAAGUACAAGAGUACAAACAUAAUACAACCACAACUAAAUAAACAUAUAAAUAUCCAACAGUUUUAUAUUCAUACACCAUUCACCACAGGUUCAUUCACAUAGUCUUAAUCAUGAAUCCACAUCUAUCAGUUAAAAUAAUUUCUAUCUGGAAACUGGUUUUGAAAUACUAAGUUACAAAAACCACGAGAAAGCUGUUUGAAAGCCGUUAUUCAUAAGAAAACUCUUUUCUUUUAAAACACGCUACCACGAUGGGUAGAAAACCUUUCCAUUUCAUGAAAAUCCAAAAAUCAUUGUCUCAUUCAGAAAACCAACUGAAAUCUUGAAUAUUUUAACACAAUGAAAUACUGAACCAUAUAAAUCGACUAAGCUAUAUAUCAAUAGAAAUAAUAAGGGUAAAAACUAAACCGAAUAAUAUGGGUCGGAAGCUCUAUCGACCGCUACGUACGUAUCUCGCGUCUCAUCCCAAUACACAACGGCUGCGAUACCUGAAAAAUGGUGGGGGAGGUGAGAACAUGUAAACAUGUCUCCCCUCCCAGUGGGUACCGCAAGCUGAUGAAGGCGAGGAGUACUCACCGGAUCAGGAAGAGAUAAACAACAAUAUGGGUAAGUGUAAUACUAAAUACAGUAGCAACAAUAAUGAAUGAAAGAGAUAGAACUAUAAAUGAAAGCACAACUACCGCUACUGUAAUGAACAACUGAAAGUAUAUAUGCAGCUAAACUAUAGUAGUAAGACAAGUGUAAAGAAAGAACUGAAGGUAUACAAACAACAACCGCUACUAUAGCUAUAUGCGUUAAUCGGUCAAGAAGUACAAAUAUACCCAAUCUGAAAUCUGCUGCUCUAUUGGUCCGCAACGCAAACCUCAAACCUAUGCCACUACUACUCUCCCAUGCAUAUAACCCCUCUAGGGCUCACGGGUUGACACCUGCAACCACUUUUCCGGAAAAGAACACUCCUUGCGGUGGAUCAGACCGCCAGUGUUCGUGAAAUGCGACGAGUAUCGGGCGGUCAAUGCUGAUAAGCUCAAAGGCCAAACGUCGGCAACCAGCCGACAAUCCUGCCCACAGGGCUCAUCGACCGUAUAGGUCAUCAACUGUAAGGAAGCACAAGAACUGACCACUCAGGUCAACUAGGAUGGGACAACAUCAAUAUCCUCUCAAACAUAUGCAAAUACUGCUCAAUGAACCACAAGGACUGACCACUCAGAUCAACUAGGAUAUAUGCACAACGAAUCGACGAAUAGGUCAUCAGGGUGUAUCAAUAGAAUCCAGAACUACCGUCGGCCACUAGCCAACAAUCCAACCCCUCUAGGGUACAUGACCACAACGGUCAUCGAACGACAGAAGUCAAGGAACCGACCGAAUGUAUCACAAAUACGAGAUACAAGAACGGACCAACCAGGUCACUGAUACGAAGUACGAAAACCAACCAACCAGGUCACUGAUACGAAGUACAAGAAUCGACCAACCAAGUCACUGAUAUGAAGUGCAAGAAUCGACCAACCAGGUCAACAGAUACGCACAUGGAUAGAACCACUCUACUCCUACUCAGGAUACUAAGCAUGCACACAACGAGUAGAGUAUAAUGGAAUAACAUGGGUGCAAGGCUCAAUGUAUACUAUGUAAUAAUAACAACAGAAGAGUAAGGGUAAGAAACCAUCACCGAGCGUGCACCACUGUACCGACGUCGGAUCGAAGUACCCACCUGAACAAAUGUCGCGCCUGUCUCCUGACUGCAAAAGAACGUCAACCGGACCUAAGGAGGGUCCACUAGGUUAGUGUCUAACCCACAACUAAGAGACCCCGAAAGCAUAACCCCACAAAUAAACCCACGAGAAUCGGUUUCCCAAACCGAUCGCCGUACUACGCCGGAAGUCCCGUAAUCGCACCGAGACUACGCCAGUACCCACAGACUGUCCCGAAACUCACCGACUCGUACCACGAGUCACCCGCUGCCACUAAAUACAAAUUUACGUGUGACUUGGCAGCAAAGACCUUAACUCACUCCAAAACGAUUAUCGUCGGAUAAUCGUUCCGAUCCGGGUUCCUGGAAGUAUCGAUUUCGACACCGGAACCCACCGUCGCUCACCCGUCGUUUUCGAACCCUCAAAACAAAGCGAGUGACGAGCCAACAAGGCUCAGCGACGUGGCAAAUGGUCACCAAGUAUCGUCGGAAGAGUUUCGAACCGAAAUCGCGUUUUGUCGGCGGAUUUCACCGAAAAAUGCGUCGGAAAUACAUUUUCGAUCUUCGCAAAGGUCUGGGGCCUUGGACAAUCAGUCCAGAGGUCACCCACUGCUCACCCAUGCUGCCAACAGCAGCCGCAACAACCCAGAAUACAUAAAAGCCCUCCCGAUUACCCGAAAUCGCAUUAUUUCAUGCGAUUUCAGCGCUUUUAUGGUCCGUCUACACAAACUAGAAGUCAAUUAGCCAAACUGAGACACCAGCUGACAGGUCUCGGCGUGAUGGAGGCCGUGCUCAUCUUUCGGAGCAAUUCCGGCCACUGCGACAAGAGCGCGAGCGACGCGAACUUCAGCAAAAUUGUGCGCUAAAACUAAAAAUGCUUCAAAUUCACUCAUUCGGGGGUCUUUGACCUUAAAUGAUGUGAGCACUGUGAUCAGCACUAACCAACGAUCACUGUGCUCACCUCCGGAGGCAUCAGAACAGCCUCAGGUCACCGGAACAUUGAUCCCAAACCGAAACAAUGCGCAGAACAGCAAAAACAUUGCUUAUCAGCCAGGGCAGAGCUAGGGCUGGCCGGCGGCGGCCGGACGGCGGGAGCUCCGGCCAGGGACGAGCGCGGCCGGUCGAUGGGGUCUAGGGCAGGUGCUGGCGAGCGGCGGGAGGCGGCCGGUGGCGCGGCGACUGCGAUCCAAUCCGCCAAGCUACUCUCGGGUUCAAGGGCGCCGGCGGCAAGGCGACGACCGGAGGAGGUCGUGGCGACGUCGAUCUGUCGCCGGAGGCCUAGGGUAUCAUGAUGCGCCCCUCCGUGGGCGGCAGUAUCGUGCGGUGGCCGAGGUGGCUCGGCCUCGGCCCGCACCAGCUCUGGACGGCCGCAGAGUGGAAGAGCGGCGGCCGACGGCUUCGGGGACGUCCGGGGAUGAACGCCGGAGGUCGCCGGAGGUGUCUGGAGGGCGGCACUGCCGGCGGGGAGCAUCGGCGCCGCGCGGAUGCCGAGAUCGCCCAGGCUCGGUCUGGGUGAUCGCGGUUGGCCGCAAGGAGCUAGGGUGCCCCGUCGGCGCUCCGGGACGGUGGGGUAGCGGGCGGCGGCGAGCGGGAUGUCGCCAGAAGGCGGCGCAGCCGAUGGGGGGCGGUGGCCGCAUGCGAAACCCGAGAUCGAGCCUGCUCGGUUUGGGCUGACCCGAGCUGGCCGCAGCUUACUCAGCUGGCUCCAGCGGCGCGUGCUGACGGCGGAAACGUCCGGCGAUGGUACCGGACGUUGGUCUCGGCUAGGGGAUGGUGGCGCUCCGACUUAGAUGACUCCUUGAGACCCCAACCACAACGUGGUGGAGUGGUUGGCAGAGAGGGAGGGAGAGGGUAGUGCGGAAGGGUUUUCCGGUGGCCGGAGGGGCUUGCCGGCGUUCAGGGCGCGCGCACGGUUGGGCAGGGAUGCAGGUGGGGCGGCUAGGGUUCAGUUCGGCUAAAGAGAGGGCCAAAAGCUAGGGUUUCCUCAUGAAACCCUAGUGCAACUACUAUAUACAUAUGUACAUUUUGCAAGAUAGUCCUCUCAGUGUAACGACCCAGCCCACUAGCAACAAUAACUCGUUGGGCUCAAUCACCGGCCCAAAAUGCUUAAGCCCAGUUAUUAUUAUUAGUGUCUAUCCGUUAAGGCCCUGACGUCCUCGUCAGUCCAAUUACACAUACAGCCCAAGAUCACCAGGCAAUGUGAGACUUAUCUCGCUAACCCGUCAUCCAGACCCUGGCUCAGCCGAGACUCGCCACACAUGUUCAGCUGGUGAACCGGCUCUGAUACCAAAUGUAACAACCCAGCCCACUAGCAAUAAUAACUCGUUGGGCCCAACCGCCGGCCCAAAAUGCUUAAACCCAGUUAUUAUUACUAGUGUCUAAGUCUCUUAUAAACCCAAUGACAACCCUUUUCCCAUCCGAUGUGGGACUAUUGGGAUGUCACAGACUCCCCCCGUUAAGGCCCUGACGUCCUCGUCAGUCCAAUCAUACACACAGCCCAAGAUCACCAGGCGAUGUGAGACUCGUCUCGCUAGCCCGUCAUCCAGACCUUGGCUGAGCCGAGACUCAUCUCACACUUCCGGCUGGUAAUUGGCUAUGAUACUAUCUGUGACGCCCCAACUUCCCAGGGGGUCACCCAUCCUAGGACUACUCCCGUCCUAGCACGCUUAACUCUCUUAACCUCUUGGACCUUGCCACCACCCAAAAUGCUUAAGCCGGGUUAAAAGUUUAGCCCUAUUAUAUCUCAUAAAUAGGACUAGCUAGGGUCUCAACCACCGGUCCAAAUGUAACGAAUGUAUGAUACCAAAUGUAACAACCCAGCCCACUAGCAACAAUAACUCGUUGGGCUCAAUCACCGGCCCAAAAUGCUUAAGCCCAGUUAUUAUUAUUAGUGUCUAUUCGUUAAGGCCCUGACGUCCUCGUCAGUCCAAUCACAAAUACAGUCCAAGAUCACCAGGCAAUGUGAGACUUAUCUCGCUAGCCCGUUAUCCAGACCCUGGCUCAGCCGAGACUCGCCACACAUGUUCAGCUGGUGAACCGGCUCUGAUACCAAAUGUAACGACCCAGCCCACUAGCAAUAAUAACUCGUUGGGCCCAACCGCUGGCCCAAAAUGCUUAAACCCAGUAUUAUUACUAGUGUGUAAGUCUCUUAUAAACCCAACGACAACCCCUUUAACAUCCGAUGUGGGACUAUUGGGAUGUCACACUUAGGGAUAAUAUUCUCAGUCAAGUCCUUCACAGCGCGCGUAUUUUACACAUACGCACCUCCACGUCCGAUCUCACGCGAUUUGGCACAUAAAAUAUAGGGUCUCUUCGCGAUUUAUCCGUUUUGCCAAUUUGACCCCUUAGCGGACCUUUCGCGUUUCCCGUAGAUCCGUCCGUCAGAUUUGCGAACGGAUCGCACUAGUGCGAUCAGCACAACGGAGACAAUAAACCUACGAUUUUGAUUCACAUCGAUCGAUCACGGAUACGGGACGAAACCUGUCCGCUCUCCGAUUUCCAAAAAACCACACACAUAUGCCAAUGUGUAAUCCCACUAAAUCCUAGAUUCAAAUUCAAAUUUGAAUCUCCUACCACUAGUAGGUACAUGUAACAUCACUCACCUUACUCUAGGUCACAUACGCAGAGCACGAGGAGUCUCAUUAUGCAAGAACAGCAAAGAGCGAAAACCCACUUUUCGAUAAAAUCUCUUUUUCUCGAAAGCCGUGCGUCAGAUCUGAAAUCCGUCAGUGCCAUUGGUUCCAGAAUAGCUGAACCGGUUGAAACGAGCUAUUGGAUCGCUAUGAACGGAGUCCGAUACGCGCCGAAAGCCAAUUCUACUAUGUGGCUUCUUCGGAAAAUCGGAGUUACUAUUCACUUAAGUAAAAACUAAAAAUCGCGUAUCUUCUCCAUUUUAGCUCAUUUUCUCCUGAAACUUGAUGAGUGCUUAUGUAAUUAAAUUACACACAGGAACAUUGUCAACAGAGAGUCUAAUUGCACUGCCAAAAUCUCAGUCCUUACAAUUCUUCACAUACACAAACUUACAAAAAAUAUUCACAGUAUCCAAUAUCUUUCAAUUAAAUAACUAGAAAAUUAGGUUUAAAAAUAGAAUGAGUUAAAUAAAGCAACUCGAGUUUAAAUUUUAAGUUUGAUUUUAUAAUUUCAAACAUGAAUCUAUAUUUUAAUUCAAAAUUUAGAAUUUAUUUUAAAUUUUAAAUUUUGGGUCCAUAAAUAGAUUAUUUAAAAUUGAAAUAAAUUUGUCACGCCCUAGAUUACUACAUUCCUCGGGCGCGCCAACAGAUCUGUCGUAUACAAAGAAAUUUUUCGUGUAUACAAAGUGAUAGCUGUACCUGUAAACAAAUAGGAGCUACAACCAAAGCACAGAGCUGCUAAACAGAACAUAUAUACAAAAACAUACUAAGCCCACUGUACAUACAAUAUCCAAAAUACAACCUCGCUUCAGAGAGUACAACCAAAACAUAACUAUAUGUACAUAAUCACAACCCAAAACUACCUCUGAAGGGGUACUCCUCUAGCACAGUGAUCAGGGAUGGUAGGGAUCUAGCUUGUGACUCCCUUAUUACGGUCAGAAUCAACAGCAGUAGAUGGCUCUGUAAAAAGGUAGCAACAACUGGGUGUGAGAACUACUACAAAAUAGGGUAGUCCUCAGUGGGUACCGUCACCGAUCCCAACGGCCUACCCACUAAGCCUACAGUAAAAGUAUGCAAAGAAUAGUAAAGUUAGUUGGAAAAACUCUACAGUUACAAGCCACUAGACCACCGCUAUCCAAACCCUACUUUCUGUAGACAUAGUAAUGCAUCACUAGCUAAACAGUGACCUAAUCUCAACGGACCGCCAACUGGCCAGCCCAGCCUGUAUCCAAACUACACCGCACACCACCCACGACAGUGGCCGGUCCAAGAAACUGCCCAAAUGGGACGGCUAUGACAUCAAUGCAAGAAAAGUCUCACUCUGGAGCGGCACUCGUGGGAGCGAUCCAACCGAUUAUGCAAGUGUGUCUCUGUCGAGCUCAAUCAAGCUCACGCAGGCUAUAGUCAAAACAAAUAGAGGGUCAAACUGGUCUAACAAUCAAGGCUCACGUGCCAUCGGCACAAUCUGAUACAAGAUGUAAACAUCUAGGUCCACCGUUCGCCCCGACGGCACCCAACAGUACGGAACAGUCCAAACUCUACUGUAAAACGAGCUCGACCCCUCAGCACGAGCAUAAUCUCAACCUACACUAAUCUAAGUAUCCACGACGCACUAACAAAAGUGAUACAAUAAAGAAAUCAGCUCCCGAAGCUAAAUCUAUUAACAAUUCGAAAAUGACAGUGUAGGUUUAAUUUGUUUUCUCCGAAGUCAAAUCCCAGUUCAGCAUAUAAAAUUCAUCUAAAAUCAUUAGACUAUACUCUAAAUUCAGAUUUCAUAAAAACAUGCAAAUCCAUGAAUUCGAGCUACUACACAUGAUGAUCCAUAUAAGAAAAUACAUGCUGACACUCUACGACUUAGGAGGAAUUCCGACGAUUUCGGUAAACAUUAACCCACUUCAAAAGCUCAUCCAACACCGACUAGGAGUCGAUAGGCGAAACCCCGCACUAGCUCGACCUCCAACGGAAAUACCCCCGAGGUGCGCGAGCAAUCCUCCACAGACCAGAAGAAGAAUCUGAGAUGGACCCUCAGUUAGCUAGAGAGAGAAAAGAGGAGGAAAAGCUAUGGCAUUCUUCAAGCUUCCUAGGCUGAUAUAUAAGCUGGAGGGUCGGUUGGAAUAAACGCCACAGUGAAAUGACCAAAAAACCCCUUACCAACUCAAACCUGCCGCCUGAGUACUAGCACUCAACUUGAGUACCGGUACCCAACACUCAACCCACAAAAUCGCGUGUUGUGUAUCGGUACUAGCCCAAUAAAGUACCGGUACCCAGUCCCAGCACCGGUACUCACCAACAGGUACCGAUACUCGACGCCAAGUUGCGAAAACCCGAGAGCAACAAACCAUGUAAUCCCUCUGGGUUACCGGUACUCCUCUCAGGUACCGGUAGACAACACUCAAAAUCCUGCUUUUGCAGAUUUCAGUGUUCGAACUCCAACUCUCACAGCUCUGAGUCCGUUUUUGCGUCUAUUUCGCACCAAAACGACCUCGGCUCGUCCCGACACUCUAAAGAUAUAUCGAUAAGGUACUUAUGUUGCAGUCAGUCCAACAACUAACCUCAGAGACACUACAAAAUUAACUAAUUAUUUUAAAAUUAUGGAUUCAAAAUACACUUUAAAAUUUGAGUUUUGUUCAUAAAUUUAAAUAUAAAUUUAUUAAUUUAAAAUUUUAAAUUAAUUCAAAUUUUAAAUUUGGGUAUACAUUAAAAAAAAUUGUAUGUUGUACCAUCAACAUUAAAUUUAUUUGGAGAUAAAUUAAAGUUAAAAUAAUGAAACAAUAAAUUGACAUAUUCUACCAAUAAUUAACAUUAAAUUUAAAAUAUAAAUAUAAAUUUAAUUUAAAAUUGAAUGUAACAUUUUGAAUUAAAUAUAAAUUAAAAUUUGAUACUUUUAGUUUAAAAUAUAUAAUUGAAUUUUAGUCAUCAGAAUUGGAAAAUAAAUAGAAAAAUAUUCAAUGUAUAUAAAAAAAUAGAACUUUAUAAUUAUUGUCGGCAAUAAUUUGAAUUUGAAUUAGGAUAUGAGAUAUUUUUGAAUAAAAUAUAUAGAUGAAUUUACUUUUUGAAAAUUUAAAUUUUUGGAUAAAUAUAAUUCACAAAUUUAUGUUGAUUUGAGAUUGCUAUUAAAAUGGUUGUUGAUAGAAUUAAUUUUUUAACAAAAAAAAAUAUUGCAUUCUGUUUGCGAAAAUGGAAACAAGGUUUAUAUUUAUCCAAAUUUCUAUCAAUUAAAAAAUAUCUAUUGUAAAAUAUUUUUCACCAGCCCUAUAAAAGAAUAUUCCAUACUUAUUGAAACAAAAAUUUCUACGAAAUACACAUUGAAAAUAUUCAUAGUAUCCACUAUCUCUCAAUUAACUAACUAAAAAUAAAUUAUGUUUCAAAAAUAGAAUGAUUAAAAAAUAAGCCUAUCAAAUCGAUUUUAUAUUUUAAAUUUGCUUCAUAAUUUCAAACGUGAAUCCAUAUUUUAAUUCAAAAUUUAAAUUAAAUUUAAAAUUUUAAUAUUUGGUUUUAUAAAUAGACUGUUUUAAAAUGAAAAUAAUUAAUUAAUUUAAAAAUAUAUCAAAUUUGAGAGAUAGAUGGGUUGAUAAAUAAAUCUAUAUCUCCAGUAAAUAUUUAUAUUCAAAAUUAUGGUAUUUUAAAUUUUAUUCAUAAAUUUAAAUGUGAAUUUAUUAACUUAAAAUUUAGAAUUAGUUAGAAGUCUUAAAAUUUAUUUACAAUUAAAAAAAAUUUAUAUAUUAUAAAACACAUAUGAAAAGUAUUUACAAUAUAACUAAGUUAAAAAUAUAUAAAACUUAUUUGAAGACAAAUUAAAAUUCGAAAAAAAAUCAAUUGACGAAUAGACUCGUACCACCAAUAACUACUUAAAUUAAAAAUAUAAAUAUAAAUUUAAUAUAAUGAAAUGUGAUGUGUAUCGCACAUACACUAUAACUAGUAUUUAUAAAUUUAUGACUUUAUAUAUAGAGCAGUGACAUUCUUAUUUGUAUAGAAGAAUAAAAUUUUUGGUUAAAAUAUAAUUAAAAGAUAUGCUGAUAGUUUCUUUUAAAUUACUCUCAACAACUAUUAUGGUUGAAACCUAUAACCGAUAUUAUGAGCAUAAUUUCAUCACCUACAACUAUAUUUUUUAUACAGCUCCAAUUGUAACAGUUUCAAUAUAUUAUUUAUAUUUUUUGGGAGGCAAUUGUUUAUAUACUUUGAAAAGUUUUCGACUUUUUUAUUUAUCCUUUUUAGAACGCUAAUAUUAAAAAUAUUUUUUUAAUGCUCCAAAUUAUUUCAAAUAUAUCUCUAUAGUUAAAUUCUAUUAGUAAACAGUUAGAAAUAAUCGUUAUCUUCGUAAAAAUAUUAUUUUGCCCUUUCAAAUAUAAUCUUCUACCAUAUACAACUUUUCAUAUUUGCCUUAAAUUAGAGACAAAAAAAAAAUUUAAAAUUUUUGCCUUUUUAAAUAUAUUUUGCUGCCAUUACAAACUUUUCUUAGUUGAACUUAAGUUACAAAUAAAAGAGAUAUUUUGAUUUAGUUUUAAUCUUUAUAGAAAUUUAAUCUGGAUUUAAUCCGAGAUGACUUAACAGUUACUAACAACAAUAUUACUUUUGAAUAACAUAGAAAUAUAUGAAGAAUAUAUUUGAAACUAAAAAAAUAAAGAUUAUAUAAAAUAUUUCAAAAAUUUUGAGAGAUAUAUUUAAUAUUAUUCCUUUUUUAAAUCACAUAUACAGAACAAUUACGACUAUUUACAAACAAACAGAAAGCCCCUUACUCUGAAUCACCUGACAAACCAGGUGAUUGAUUACCUGUUCAAACAGCGCGGGGAUGGGAAUUUGGCGAAAACAGAAAAUAAAAUUGAACACCAUAUGGACAUUAUCAAAGCCCCUUUUCUCGAAGGGACAUCAAAUUUAUUAAAUUUCAUUAAAUUCAGACUGAAUAAUGCUGAGAUUCAUUAAGAAAUUUACUCAGCCAGCAAAAGAGGCAGAUAAUCAGUAAAAAUAACUCUCCAGCUAGCGCAUUCGAAUUUGUGAUUUGUUGCCUUUAAUCUGUAAUUCAGAUUCAGAGCAUUGCGAUGAGCCCCAUUGUUUCGGUUUGAACACUUUCAAAAGUUCAAUAUUAUUCAUAACAGAACGUCACAAGCUAACACCACUACCACAUACUAGGAAACAAGCACAGCAUCUCGUUCAAACUAAAGUCCUAAAGCGACUAGCAAACAAUCUUAAUAAAGCUCCCCUUCCUUGUGUGUGUAAAUGACGCAGUCCGCCCUUGGAUACGACACGCAUGUGAGGACGUACCCGUUCGCCAUCUGCCCCUCGUCGAGAAACGACCCAUCGGAUUGGUCAACCUUUCCCGACUCCAAUUGACCUGUUAAGAAUAAAAUGAUGUUUUAAACAUUAAAACACUCUAGUAAGCUCGUAGAGAAAUCGAUUGUUUCGUACCAAUAUUAGAAUAUUAAAGCAGGCGGUCCAGAAUACAUAUUCAGCCAUACUCAUUUAUUAUUUAAUUUGAAAAAAAAUAACUCCAUCCUUUUCAUUUUGAAAUUUACACACUGGUUUAAAAAGUUUAAAAGACUCGAGUCCACAGUAAGGGAGACAAAAUGUUUAAAUACUAUUUUCUGACAACUUCAAAUUUUAAGAGCAGUAUGUUAAAUCAUUUUACCAGCGCAAGUUGAGCAUGCGCCAGCCCGGCAGGAGUAUGGGAGCUCAAUCCCGGCAUUCUCAGCUGCAUCAAGGAUGUAGGUGUCAUCAGGAGCUUCAAACUCGUUCUCCUGUCCCUCGGGCCCGAUCAGCUUCACCUUGUACACAGCCAUUGCCGAGGCCCUAAAACCAUUGGAGAUUUUUAGGGAGGAUGAUGACAUCGAGAUGCGGUUCAGUGAGCUUAAAGAGGAAGGGCUUUUGAUGAGCAGAGAGGACGGCUGGUUUCGGAAGCUGCUUUUGAGAGUGUAGGUGCUCGGGAGAGUAAUGAUCGACAUCUUGCAACCUGAUGAGCCAAAAAACCCAGAUACGUCUUGUUAAAAUAAAUAGGUAUUGCUUAGCCGAUUAAUAUGUAUAAUAAUGGCGUUACUAUUAUAUAGUGAAAUAAAGUAAAUGCCAUCAAUCAUCCGAUCAAAGAGGCAAGGGUAAAAAAAACAGUAUUCUGAUGAAAAGAAAAGGGAAAUCAUUGUAUGAUUCUGCAGUACAAACUUGCAAAAUACAACAGAAUAAAGAGCAUAAAAUGCAGUACAAACUUGAAAUUUGAAGUUUAAAAUUUAAAAUUUAAAAUUUAAAAAUUAAAAUUUAAAAUUUAAAAUUUGACAAUUCAAAAUUUUAAAUUAAAAUUUUUAAAAUGGCGUAUUGAAACGGUUUUGGGAGUUGGAGGGGUAAACUUAUAAUUUUAUAUAAUAUGCAAGAUUAGCCGCGUUAAGCAAUCCAAGAUACACCCCCCUCUCCCCGCGGUAAUAUUUUCAGUGUAAUCUUAAACUUUUUGUAAUGCUGCAAUACCGAAUAGAUUACAUACCAGAUAACCCAAACACAGCAAUCCUAUCAGAAUUGCCUGUAAUCCUGCCAAGAUAACCCGAACCAAAUGCACCCUAAAACUAAGAAGAUCGCAAAAUAUGCAGCAAUCAUGCUCUUGAUGCUAUACGUUCCAAUAAAGAGAUUAGCACCUAUUUCUCACCGGGACGAAGUAGAUUACAUAUCAAGGCUAUGGGCACAUUGUUCAACUAAUAUAUGGCAUACAGGACUCUUUCUUUACCAACUGGACAAGAUGAGAAUAUAAUCACUUUGUCUUCUGCACUAUACUAUUAAGCUGAGAAUUGAGGCAAUGCAUCAGCAAAGUAUGAACUUAAACUGUGUAAACUCAUCUUCGAAAGCUAGGGAGCCCCGCAUUCACCAUAGAAUAAACAGGAAGAAACCUUCCAUAUGAUGUACUAAUUGAACAAGAGCUAGACUAAGUAUAUAUAACAUACAGUAACAAUAUCAUCCCUUUUACUUGACUGUAAUGCAUUUUAUUUGCCUACUCCAUGAGAAGGUUGACUGCAUUACCUAGCUCUUUCAAUUGGAGUUCUGCUAGCUCAGACAACUUGACAUUCAACUUCCACCAAAAGGCAGGCACAACAGUAAAAUCUUCCAUAUUCUGCUAUAAACUAUUGUUGAGACUUGAGAGUCGUGGAUCAUAAUCGUGUCAUGACCCAACUUGAUUACUCCACUAUCUUCAACUUAGUAAUACAAAGCAUAAUGUGCUAAAACUUAAAUGAGUUAUAGCAACUAGUAUUAUAAAGCUAAACUACUGAUGCCAGAAAAUUUGAACUCUUCUUUUACAAUAAGUAAAUGUUAGGUAUAGAUAUACAGUAUAAUCAAACUUGUAGGAUAAAAUGCUCAAGAAAAUCAUUUCUAGCAAGCUUAGAAACGCGUAUAAUCAUUUGAAAGCAAAUGGAAUCUAAGAACCAACAGUUCCCUUCUCAAUUCACCUGGUUGACGUGGUGCUAAAGGGGGGAUUUUUUAAAAAAAAGGGAAUCCAAGAAAUAGCCAAAGGGUGCCUUGCUGUGACAUUAUGUGACAUUACUGCAUUUUUCAUCUAUAGUUGAUAAUAAAAUUAUCAAAACCUCUCUCCAACUAUGUCAUAACAUAUUCCCAAAGCUCCAAUAUAUUCCUCCACUAUGACUAUCAAAAUAUUGGCCAAUCAUCAAUAUUCAACUAGUGCUUCAUAUUCACUCUAAAGUCUAAACAAAUGCCCAGUGGCUACUAAGUAAUCGUUUCUCACAUUUAUUUCAAGAUUUAAUAGAUUAACCUAAUGUCAAUGCAUGAUAGGGCGUUCACUGGGUGGAAAUAGAUACAAAGAGAAGAAGCUCAAGAUUGAUUAUUAUGGUUCUGAUCAACAAAAAAUUGCAAACCUCUACCAUGAAUAAUCAAGGUAAAAUCUAAGGAGACCUCCAAAACUUUAGCCCCGUUUGAACUUUGAAAUGGGCCCUUCAACUUCAUUUUUUUUCUUAAUCGCCAAAUUUUCGACUUCGAUGUGUUUUAACUAGAGUUAUUUAAACCCAUUACAAUUGGAUGUUUGUUAAACUAAUUAGACAUUCCAUCAAAUUUCACAGCUCUAACUACUUCUGUAGAUGUAAUGCAGAAAUCUUAAGAAAGUAAUAGCCGAUAUCUACUGAAACGGUUAAUUUUCAUCAAGUUCCUAACUUUGAACUCCAAAUCAAAUAACUAACACAAAUCGGAGGUGUCGCCAAAAGUAAGAGAGCAAAUCAGGGAUCUAUAUCAAAAUGACCUGUAGUUGACGGCAUCCCCAUACAUUUCUACACAAAAUAAAGUCCACCGCAAAAUAUAUAUAUAUAUAUAUAUAUAUAUAUAUAUAUAUAUAUAUAUAUAUAUAUAUAUAUAUAUAUAUAUAUANNNAGGAAGCGAUUGAUGCGACAUCUACACAAAGGAUGUGGAGGAUCUCAGAAUUAGAUCGGGAGCUCGUAUAAAAGGAAAGAACACGAUUAACACACCGCCGAUCCAAUAUUAGACGAUAAAUUAGACACAAACAAAAGGAUCAAAGCUACGCAAUCUAUACCUGCUGGAGAGAGGUUGAGAUCGAGAUCGAGAUCGAGAUCGAGAUCGAGAGGGGCGAUUUCCCCAAGCUCUUUACAGAGGGGAGGAGAAGAGAGGGACAGAGAGGGGAGUAGGAAGAGGAGACGAUGAUUCGAGAGGGCGCGUACCCUAGCGAGCCUCGUCACUCCUUAUAUAGCCCAUUACUUAUAACAAUUAUUCAUAAUAAAUUUAGUAAUUAAUAGUGUGUUUUCGGUGGCUAUUUAGUGGCUGAGAGGUCGGACAAGCGGGGGGGGAGGGAAAUUGUUGCGUCGCCCACAGUCUCCAUGACCAAACCGCCUCAGCAAAGGGCAAAGAGGAACAGCGAAUUUACGGCGAAAACCCUCGAACAUCUAUAGAAUUACUUUUUUUUAUUUAUGAAUUCCCAGUACAAUUUUGAUCGCAUUCAAAAAAACGGUUGGUAGCCACAUGGCCAAUUAAACAGUAAACUAAUUAGAAGUUGCCAAAUGUCUCAUAAAAAUUUCGAAUGCAUCCAUUAAUAUGCAUCAAAAAUAAAUUUAUAUUAUACAAUAAAUUAUUUAAAUAUUUUAUAUUAUAUUUUAGUUUACAGUACUACUCAUCUAAUAUACAAGUACUAGGGUGUAUAUAUAAGGAACAGUACUAUACACUAGAUGCAAGCAAAGACUUAUCCUCUUUCCCUUUUGGAAUUAUAAAUAUAUCAUAUUGAGCAUUCUCUGCAUUCUUAAUGUCUUUAAUAGAGAUUUUAAAAUCUAAUUCAUUAAAUAUAAUUUAAACUGCUAGACUUUGUAUAUCAUAUUUAUUUAAUUAAGGUUUGAUAUUGAAUAAUUUGUCAUUUUAUAUAAGUUGUCAUGUAUGGGAUGUUAACAUACAUGAGGUGCAUGCAUAGUUUUUUCGUUCUCCAAUCAAUUUUACCAAAAUAAAGACACCUUUAUUUUUUCAGCAAUUUAAAAUAAGUCAUCUAAUUUUAACUUUUUAAUUAAAAAAAAUUAUUUAUAAAAUAGCCAUCAAAAUUAUUAAAUUUGAUUGAACUUUUAAAUAAAGUUGUUAUAAUAAUUUAACUCUUCAAACUCUAAAAAUUAAGAAAAUAUUAUUUUUUAUAAUAUAUAUAAUGCUACUUUAUAAUUUUUUUCUUUGUUAUAAUUUUUCAAUCUUAAAAUUUUAAUAGUUAUAUAUCUUAAUUAGCUGAUAUACUAUAUAUCCACCCGGAAGCGCGGGUGCUACACCGGUUUUUAUUAAAUAGAUCUCUACGAUCUAACUUUUCGCUUAAACUAUUAAACUUUAAAUAUUUUACUAGUUAAGAGACACGUGCGAUGCUGCGGAUAGUUAUUUUAAGAUUUAAUUUUAAAAAUUAGUUAUAAAUAUUAAUUUCAGAAUUUAAUUGGUGCAAUAAGUACAUCAAAAACUUUUAGUAGGCAUAGUAGUCCCCCAUUAGUUAGUGAAAUAAUUUUAGUAGGUAUCGUAGUCCCCCAGUAGUUAGUGAAUGAGAAGAGAAAUCAUUGUUUGUGAUUCUUGCAAUUAGUUUUCGUCAAAUAUAAAAUUAACUUAAACUGCAUCAAUUUUUUUUUAUUUUUUAAUGUAUAAUUUAUAUGUGUAUUCUCAAUAUUGUAAAAUUAAUAUUUAUAUCUAAUACCAGUAGUCUAAAUUAUUUAACAUUUAUUUAUAUAUUUUACAUUUUAUAAGAAUAAAUAAUAAAUUAUUAUAUAAUAAUAUAUCUAUAUACAAAUAAAAUACUAUAUAUAAUAAAUAAAUAUAUAUUUAUAAAUAAAAUUAUAUAUUAUAGUAUAUAUAUAUAGAGUCCGCUAUGUGUUGUACAAGUACCCAAGCACUUGUGCUUAAAAUUUUUUACCGGUAGAUCUCUGCCUUUGAUCAUUUUACCCGUUAGAUUAUAUUAUCCUAGGGGCCACAUCAUCCUAACCGCACAUCCCUUAAUUCCAAGGGCGAAAACUUAUAAGAACCAAUGACUUGUAGUUUUAAAAGCAUAGGACUAAUUCUAUAUAUAUAUAUAUAAUAUAUAUAUAUAUAUAUAUAUAAUAUAUAUAUAUAUAUAUAUAUGAGAAGAGAGAGAGAGAGAGAGAAUAUGAGAGGGAGGUCCACCGUGGACCACCUCUCAUGUGGUCCACGAGGCCACUUCGGCCUUGUGGACCCGUGAAGACCCCAUCACUGUGAGCGCCCCGAUUUGUGUUAUUGGCUGCCGCCAGAACGUUGGCUGUUGGGGUGGGGGUUGGUUCGGGGUUUGGGGGGAUGGUUUCUUGGGCCAGGGGGGGAAAGCCUUAGCCCGCGCCUCGCGCCGUGCCGCGCCCUUGCGCGCCGCCCGUCCACGCUGAUUGCACCGCGCGUCGGCUUGCGUCACGUCGUAGGAUGCCGGCCACGCCCCCGCCCCAGGACGCCCCCGCAACCCGCCCCCGCCCCCGCCUCGCGCUGCUCCCGGCCGCGCCUCCCUGCGCCGGCGCCCCCCGACACGCCGCCGCACCCGAGGCUCCGCCCCCGACACCCCAAAGAACGCACACCGCCCCAUCGCGCCCCGCCGCGCCCCGGCGCCGCCCGCUCCGACUCGCUGCCCCCGCCCGCGCCAGCGCCCGCGGCCGCCCGUGCCUCGCGCCCUCGCCCGCGCCUCGGCCUCCUCGCGACACGUGUGCAGUUAUUGAGGAAUAAUAAAUAGUUAUAGAUUAUAGAUGUUUACUCUCAAAGUUUAUAAAUAACCAACUAGAAUUAAUAUUGAUCAAAUAAUCAAGAAAAUAGCAAAAUAUGAUGGCAGUGAUAUAGACGAAUUUUCUCCAUACGAAAAAUUACUUUAGCAGAUAAAAUUGAUUAUUGAUUAUAUUUAUUAUAUUUUAUUCUUAAAAAUCAAAUACGAACAAUAAAUUAUUUAAGGGUUAAUUGUAUACAACUCCCUGUAAAUAUAGCAAAUAGCAAAUAUAUCCCUACAAAGUUCAACUUUCUUAUCCCUGCAAAAGUCCUAAUAUUAACAAAUAUGCCUCUACCGUUAGGUUUUAUUAGAAAACUAGUGUAGUAACCCGCGCGAUGCAGCAGAUAAAUAAUAGAAGAGAAAAUAAAAAAUAUUGAAGAGAAAGAAGAAAGGAGUUUGGAAAAUAAAAAUUCAAAUAUAUAUAUAUAUAUUUUUUUUGUAGGGAAAUGUAUGAAUUGAAUAAAUCAAUACGACCAUUGAAAAUCGAUAACUGUCCAGAAUCACUAUUCAAAAAAAAACUACGAAGGUCGUAUGAAGAUGGAGAUGAUAAUGUUGCGAUGAUGACGACGACGGCUAUAAAAAUCUCAUGCAAGUUUGCACGAUUUUGCACCCUUUUGGGCAUGGAAUAAUCAGAAGUUGCGGGCCAAAACUGCCACAUCAAUUAUGAAAUCAAAACUAACAUCUAAAUUAAUCAAAGUAAUGCGCAUAAAUCAAAUACUUGAUUGAUAUAACCACCAUAUCAAAAAUAAUGCAAAUUAAUUAAAUUCUAAUUGGAUAUAUGGUAAGAAUUCGAGAUUAAAAUAAAGAAAAGAAAAAUUAGGUUUAGGAUUUUCGUCUCCCAAACCUACCCCUCAAUCCGUCCGUUAUCGUUGUUCAAUUAGUUUCCUCUAUUGAAAAAACCAUUCGAUUACCUUCUUUUUUCAUAAAUUCGAAGAGAUCGACAUAAAUAGAAAUCCUAGAAGCACUCUCUUGAUUCGGGGGGAGUGGGGUUGGAUAGAGUCGGAUUGGCACGGAUUAGGGCUUGGAGGACUCCUUGCUGUUCCCCAAUCUCUAGAUCUGAAAGUAAUAACUAUUCAUCUUCUCCACUUUUUUAUUUUGCAUGUUAGGAAUUGUUUGAGGGAGAAACGACUAAUAUUUAAGAGAAAAAAUUUAGAAAUGUAUAAUUAAAAAGCACAUUGAUUAUAGGUUAUUGAAUAGAGAGAAGGGGAGAGGAAAAGCCAAGAGUAAAGAUCAAUUCAAAAAAAGAGUUAGUGAAGCUCGAGGAAAACUUGCCACGUGGCAAAAUUAUUUAGAAUUCAUAUAGUGUGAGAAAGUGAAUUCUCGAAAUACGAGAGUUAGACUUCAUUCAGAAUCGACCAAGGGUCGUGUUGGUGCGCUUUGGAAAAGCCAAAGAUACUAAAAUCACCAAAAGUGCAUUGGAAGUGAGUCCAUGAGAGCAAAUAGUGCAAAACUUGCACUGGAGCAAAACUGCUCUCGAGGACCGGUCUCUGGUAGGGAGGGACCGGUCCCAUUGGCUGGUGUUGCAGGGUUGCUUGAGGCAACCGGUCCCUGGUAGGGAGGGACCGGUCCCCGAACGCGAACCCAGUGAGAAAGCCAGAAAAUUGGCUAAGUCCUGAAUCCCAGCUCUCGGGAACCGGUCUCUCAGGAAGGAACCGGUCUCCCGAGGACCGGUCUCUCUGGGAGAGACCGGUGCCCGAACGCGUGACCCGAGCUGAAGCUCUCGGGGACCAGUCCCAAGUCGGGGAGACCGGUCCCUUCGCGCGCAGAAUGCCCAGUGAGGGCUGUGCAGGGGAUGAAAAGUAGAGGGGGCUGCUGGGAUAUUAUUACAUUAGAGAGUAUAGGGGACCCCCUCUCUCUCUCCAACUCUCAUUUUCUCUCCCUCUCUUACACUCUCUUGUUCCCUCUCUAUCUCUAGAAGGAAAAGAGAAGAAGAACAAGAAGGAGAAGAAGGAAAGGAAGAGAAGAAAAGGAAAGGGAAGAAAAGGAAGGAGAAGAAGAAAGAGAUCAAGAGGAAGACCUUGGACAUCUUUCCUUCCCUCUCCUCUUCUCCUUGGUGUAGCUAAGAGGUAAGCUACCAAACCCUAGCUUAUGAAACUUAGGGUUUUUGGGUUUUAGCUCUUUGGAUGGGAUCAAAUAGAUCCCUAGCACCAUGAAUGGUAAGAUUGGAGCUAGAAUCUAGGAUUUUGAGAUGGGUUUAGCUUGGUGCUAACCCUAGGGCUCCAAAAUAGGGUUUUUGAUAAAGUAUGAGAUUGAUCUCAUUUGAGACCAUGUAAACCUAAUUGCUAGGUAACGAAACGCGGGAGCGAAGUCGGAAUUUCGAUUAGUUGAGCGGAUCAAGAGCUAUCGGCAAAAUAAGGCCGAUUGAGCAUUAUUUUGGACCAAGAAGAUCAAGACUUCGUCGUAACGUUCGUUGGAGGGCAUUUCUAGAGCCUUCAUACCCUCAAGAGGUGGGGGGUGUCAUCCCGAAGCAACCGGGUUUCCUUUUAUGCCUAAGUUAAUUUUAUUCAUCAUAUGUUGAUUGUGCAUUAUAGGAUUAGUAGAAGUAUAUUUUCAUUCCUUGCAUGCUUACUUAGUAGUGUAGCGGUAUGGACCUAACACUUGGACUAGGGAGACAUGAGGAUUGGGUCUUGAGACAAAGAAUCAGAUAGUGGCAAAAGUGAUGAACUUGGACAUAGGCUAGUAGAGGGGCAUUGAACUAGUGUAGUAGAAACACUAAACAAGAACGAGUGGCAUGUCAAUUAGCUAGAAAACUUACUACAAUGAUCGAACGAGUGGCAUCGGGUCUAGUGUAGUAAACAUGACAUGGUUCUAGGGAUAGUAGAGAUCCCGGCAUCUAGGAUGCAUUGUAUAUUGUGCAGUAGAGGCACAUUGACCCUAGUAGACAGGGUAUCCUCUUGUGAGGAUUGGAUCAUACUCAUUAGUCUGUUUUUGCUUGUCGGUGGUCGCUCCACCGAGGCACGAGUCUCUGGAGUACUUCACUAGGGGCAGACGUAGUUGUCCCGCAGACGGUCUCGUUGUGUGAGUGCAGUUUCUCCUCACCUAUGAGAUUGAGAGUGAGUCGAGGGUUUAAGCUACGGGUUAACCAAGUGGAUUGGGUAAUAAACAUGAAAUGCAUAGUAGACUUGCAUUAUUACCUUGAGUAGACAUAGUGUAUGUUGUAGAUUACAUUGCUAUGCAUCUUUAUAUACUCAUGACAUGAUACUAGCAUGAUAGUAAUUGUUGCAUGCAUUAUUAUCAUUGAUGGCAUGAUAGAGUAGUCGCAGUUUACUUUUAUCUAUCUAUCUAUCUAUCUAUCUGUGCAAGCUUAGACCUAGUGAAAAAACCGGCGGCGUCGGCGGCCGAACCCACUGGGAACUAUAUUUAUAUAGUUCUCACCCCGUGCGGUUUUGGGGUAUAGGUACACAUAGAGGCGAGUCGAGCGAGGAUCGUGGCAAGGGCAUAGCGCCCUAAGUGAGCCUAGUUAGUAACUUUUCCUUUAUGCAUUAGAGUACCCUCGUGUACUAGAAGAUGUUUUGGAUAGUUAUUGGAGAGCUACUUGUAUUUUGAUGAAAACAUGUAUUCACAUUUUGGAAGAUGAAAAUGUAAAUAUUGAAUGGUUGAGAUAGUUAGACUAUCUCUCUUUAUACACUUGUAUACCACUUGUGGUUCUUGCUCUUAGUUACUUGGCACUUGUGUGCCUUAGUCGAUCAUGUAUGUAUUGAAUUUAUUCUCCUGGGCAAAUUCUUGUACAUGAUUUGGGGGUUUAGCCUUGGGCGGACAGGAGAGGUGCUGUCCGUUCGGCGGUCUAUCCGGCGCGCCCGAACCGUGCCAAAUUGGUAGUGGAUUCGGAGCGGGGCGUGACAAGAGUUGUUGGUAUCAGAGCAAUUAAGAGCAAGUAAAGAGAGAGUCUAGGAUGGACCUAAGAGACCUUGGGACGGUGAACCCUAGGAGUGUAUAGGUACGUGAGAGAAACGAAAACCUAAAUCGGUUGAGGAAGAAUCCGAUUGGGUUGGAUCGAGCAUAGAUCUCUAGUGUGGCUAGAGAUAGAUCCGAGCGGUGUUAGUUCCGAGCUCGAGGAGUUUGUGUUGGCGGCCGACAACACGACGCUAAGAGUUAGGACUAAUACACUAGUGUACGUCCGCUUAUGGUGGAGUUGAGUCGCAUAAUAUAGUGUAUGCGAUGGAGUUAAGUGGGUUAGGUUGGAUCGAGUAUAGAUCUCUAGUGUGGCUAGAGAUAGAUCCGAGAGGUGUUAGUUCUGAGCUCGAGGAGUUUGUGUUGGCGGCCGACAACACGACGCUAAGAGUUAGGACUAAUACACUAGUGUACGUCCGCUUAUGGUGGAGUUGAGUCGCAUAAUAUAGUGUAUGCGAUGGAGUUAAGUGGGUUAGGUGACUAACCCGAUUGUUGCGUUGUAGGAACAAUGUCCCCAAGACGGUACGUGCGUAGGUCCGUUCCGGCACCAUCUUCUGAGGUGCCCGAGCCGGAUCUAGUGAGGUACAGGAGUUACGGGCACAGGUGUCGGCAUUGACCGGUAUUGUACAACGCCAGGAGAGUCGAUUUGAGCAGCUCCAAGGGCUUAUGGAGCUGCAUUUUGCGGCGGCAACUGCAGCUGCGACUGAGGGCCGUGAUCCGCCCCCGCCUCCAGCUCGUGCGCCUACAGCGGCUGAGGGCGAGGGCAUUGCGGCAGUUCCGGUGGCGGCACGUCCUCCGCCGGCAAGCUUUCCUCCGGCGGCGUCGGGUUCCACGACACCCGAUGCGACGGCAUUAGAGGCGGAGAGGGAGCGCGCACUUGCGGCUCUCGAGAAGUUCCGAAGGUUUAAUCCACCGACCUUCGAGGGAGAGAAGGUCGAGCCGUGGAUGGUUGAGUCGUGGGUGGACUCAAUGGAGACCUUGUUUGAGGAUCUCUACACGUUGGAGAGGGACAAGGUCUACCUCGCCACUCAUUGUUUGGAGCGGACGGCGAAGGUUUGGUGGAAGCGAAUCAAGAGGAACCGAGCUUUCGACCUUCCGCCGUUGACAUGGGAGGAGUUCCGGGGGUUGUUCUAUGUCAAUUACUUCCCCGAUAGCAAGAAGAAAAAGCUCCAAGAGCAAUUUCGAAAAUUGAAGCAAGGUGGUCGCACGGUAGCGGAGUAUGAGCGGGAGUUCUCUCACAUCAUCGACUGCGUCCCCGACGUAGUGCGGGGUGACAGGGAUCGAGCCGAUUGGUUCGAGCCAGGGCUCCGGGCGGAUAUCUACCGGGCGGUGCACAUUUUGAAGCUCACUACCUUCGCGGAGGUGCUCGAUCGAGCGUUGUGGGCGGAGCAAGGAAACACUCACAUCCGGGAGGAGCGAGAAGCGUCCGAGAAGGACGGUGGUAAGAAGCGGGCUCAGAGUAGCUCGGGAGCUCAAACUAAGUCAAAGAGGCCCCCGAAGUACCCCCGAACGCAAUCCAAGGGCCGCGGACCGCAGCGAUCCACAAUCUGUGGUGGAAACCACGAGCCUAGGACGUGUGAUCAAUGGGAAGGGAAGUGCUUCACGUGUGGACAGGCGGGCCAUAUCAGCCGCCAUUGUCCAGUAAGGGCUUUGCCUGCCUCUUCGGUCGCGUCGGCUCCGGCGACUCCGGCACAUUAUGGAGGAGUUCCAUUUGCUGCGUAAUCGGCUUGACGUGCGAUGGUACCAGGCCAAUCUAAGGCGACGAGAUCGGCUCCGAGCGGGCGGGUGUUCGCCGCUCCAGGGCCAUGUUUGAUACAGGUGCUACGCAUUCAUUCAUUAGUAGGUCAUUUGCACGCAUGCAUGACAUAGAACUACAAGAGAGUAAAAGCACUUGGAGGGUAUCGGGCCCCGGACGUGAUUUUCUAGUCCGGAUGGAGUGUUCGUCUUGUCCAGUGCGAUUGGGUGAUUGGGUAAUGCCCAUCCGUAUGUUGGUGUUUAAGAAGUUGAAAGACUUCGACGUCAUUCUAGGAAUGGAUUGGCUCUCGAAAUACUAUGCAACUAUUCACUGCAGAAGUAAAGUAAUAACGUUUCGAGAGCCGGGCCAAAAGGAAUUCAUCUACCGAGCCUGUAGAAGCUCGCGCUUCGCUGCAAUGGUGUCGGUGACGAGGGCGAGGAAGUUGAUUAACAGCGGUUGUACGGCCUAUUUGGCGACCGUUGUAGAGGUCGAGAGGACGACUCCGGCACUCGAGGAACUAUCCGUGGUCCGAGAGUUUUCGGAUGUGUUUCCCGCGGAAUUACCGGGAAUGCCGCCAGACCGGAAGAUCGAGUUCGUGACAGAAUUGGUUUCGGGAACCGCGCCUAUCUCGAAGGCUCCGUAUCGGAUGGCGCCGGCGGAAUUGAAAAAAUUGCGGGCUCAAUUAUUGGAUCUCCUUGAUAAAGGGUUUAUACGGCCAAGUGUAUUGCCGUGGGGAGCCCCGGUCCUAUUCGUGCGAAAGAAGGAUGGAUCGUUUCGGCUCUGCGUAGAUUAUCGCGAGUUGAACAAGGUCACGAUCAAGAAUAAGUACCCGUUGCCGAGGAUUGACGAUCUGUUUGAUCAGUUGCAAGGGUCUCGGGUUUAUUCAAAGAUUGACCUGCAGUCCGGUUAUCACCAACUUAAGAUCAAGCAGGAAGAUGUGCAAAAUACCGCGUUUCGCACGCGGUAUGGACACUAUGAAUUCACGGUCAUGCCGUUUGGGCUUACUAACGCCCCGGCAGCGUUCAUGGAUUUGAUGAACCGUGUCUUCAAGGAGUACUUGGACCGAUUUGCCGUGGUCUUCAUAGACGACAUCUUGGUCUACUCGCGUAGCGACGAGGAACAUGCCGAACAUUUGAGAAUAGUGCUUCAAGUCCUUCGGGAGGAGAAGCUAUAUGCUAAGUUUAAGAAAUGCAACUUUUGGCUCCGAGAGGUUGCAUUUCUUGGGCAUGUUAUUUCCGAAGGUGAAGUAUCUGUUGACCCGAGGAAAGUGGAGGCGAUCAAGGAUUGGCCUCGCCCGACUAACGUCACGGAAGUUCGAAGCUUCGUGGGUUUAGCGGGUUAUUAUAGACGGUUCGUGGAGGGAUUCUCGAAGAUCGUGGGUCCACUUACCCGUCUGACUCGGAAAGGCGCCAAGUUCAUUUGGAACGACGAGUGCGACCGGAGUUUUCAAGAGUUGAAGAAUAGAUUAACUUCGACUCCGGUGCUCGCCUUAUCGGUGCAAGAUGAAGACUUUGUGGUGUAUAGCGACGCGUCACAUUCGGGCUUAGGGUGUGUUCUGAUGCAGGGCGAGAAGGUGAUCGCUUAUGCGUCCUGUCAGCUGAAAAGCUAUGAGAAGAACUACCCUGUUCACGACUUAGAGUUGGCCGUAGUAGUGUUAGCUCUCAAGUUAUGGAGGCACUACUUGUAUGGCGCGCGUUGCGAGAUAUACACGGACCACAAAAGUUUGAAAUACCUUUUCACACAGAAGGAGCUCAACAUGCGGCAGCGGCGGUGGUUAGAAUUGCUGAAGGAUUUCGAUAUCACAAUCCUAUACCACCCCGGAAAAGCAAACGUGGUGGUCGACGUGCUUAGCAGGAAGUCAGUGGAAAAUCUUGCUAUGUUGGUCACACGCCAGGAGCCACUGUGGAGAGAGAUGGAACGAUUGGAUCUCGAGGUGGUAGCUCCGAAAAUCCCGUCUAUGCUUAUGGCUCUUGUUGUCCAACCGACCUUGUUGGAGCAAAUUAAGAGUUUGCAAUCUGCAGACCCCAAUCUCCAAAAGGUGCGGCGAGACAUCGAGAGUGGACACGACGGUGAUUUCAGUGUAGACGCCGAGGGUGCGCUUCGGUUUCGAAAUCGAUGGUGCAUACCGAAAAUCGAGGAGGUCCGGAAGUUGAUCUUACAAGAAGCACAUCGGACUCCUUAUAGCAUUCACCCGGGCGGCACCAAGAUGUACCGUGACCUGAAGAUGCAGUACUGGUGGCCGGGCAUGAAAACUGAUAUUGGGCGCUAUGUAGCGCAAUGCUUAGUAUGCCAGCAAGUGAAGGUCGAGCGCCGAUUUUCAGCGGGAAAGCUCCAAAGUCUACCUAUCCCCGUUUCGAAAUGGGAGAAUAUUGCUAUAGACUUCGUGGUCGGAUUGCCCCGUUCGACGGGUGGCCACGACGCGAUCUGGGUGAUUGUGGAUCGUAUGACCAAGUCGGCACACUUUCUACCGAUUCACACCACCUGGUCGGGCGACAAGUUGGCGCAGGUAUACUUGGAUGAAGUUGUGAGGUUGCACGGGGUUCCGAAGUCGAUCGUGUUAGAUCGAGACCCUCAUUUUACUUCGCACUUUUGGAAGAGUCUGCAAGAAGCACUUGGCACACAGCUCGAUUUCAGCAUCGCGUUUCAUCCUCAGACAGAUGGACAGUCGAAAAGGACUACAAAUUUUGGAGGAUAUGUUGCGGGCGUGUGUCAUUGACUACAAGGGUAGUUGGGCAAACCACUUGAGAAUGGCCAAGUUCGCCUAUAAUAAUAGUUACAAAGCUAGCAUUGGGAUGACACCGUUCGAGGUCCUAUAUGGGCGGAAGUGCCGAUCCCCUAUAUGUUGGAGCGAUGUAGGUGAGCCUGCGGCAUUGGGCCCCGAUGUAUUGCUAGAGGCGGAAAGGAAGGUCCGUCUCGCUCGCGAGAGACUACUUACGGCACAGUCACAGCAAAAGAGCUAUUCUGACAAACGUCGUAGAGAUUUGGAAUUCGCGGUUGGUGACCGCGUUUUCUUGAAGGUUUCGCCGAUGAGAGGUGUGAAACGCUUCGGAGUGCUGGGAAAGCUAAGUCCCCAAUAUAUCGGACCUUUCGAGGUGUUGGAACGUGUUGGAGCGGUAGCGUACCGACUUGUAUUACCGCCAAAGCUCGCGGGUGUGCAUAAUAUGUUCCACGUCUCCAACCUUCGCAAGUAUAUUCCCGAUCCCGAGCACGUUAUGUACUACGAACCGCCGGAUCUACAGAAAGAUUUGAGAUAUGAAGAGUUCCCGACGAUGAUCAUUGCUCGAGAAGUGCGAAAAUUGAGAAACCGUGAGAUUCCCUACGUGAAGAUUCGUUGGACCGGUCACGACGAUCGUGAGGCUACGUGGGAACUCGAGGAAACGAUAAAAGUGCACUAUCCUUAUCUCUUUACAGAAAUGCAUUGAGGUAUGAGUUGAUUAAGAUAGUGAAUUCGUUUCGAGGACGAAACUCCAUUUUAGGAGGGGAGGAUGUGAGGAAGUGAAUUCUCGAAAUACGAGAGUUAGACUUCAUUCAGAAUCGACCAAGGGUCGUGUUGGUGAGCUUUGGAAAAGCCAAAGAUACUAAAAUCACCAAAAGUGCAUUGGAAGUGAGUCCACGAGAGCAAAUAGUGCAAAACUUGCACUGGAGCAAAACUGCUCUCGGGGACCGGUCUCUGGUAGGGAGGGACCGGUCCCAUUGGCUGGUGUUGCGGGGCUGCUUAAGGGAACCGGUCCCUGGUAGGGAGGGACCGGUCCCCGAACGCGAACCCAGUGAGAAAGCCAGAAAAUUGGCUAAGUCCUGAAAUCCCAGCUCUCGGAAACCGGUCUCUCAGGAAGGAACCGGUCUCCCGAGGACCGGUCUCUCUGGGAGAGACCGGUGCCCGAACGCGUGACCCGAGCUGAAGCUCUCGGGGACCGGUCCCAAGUCGGGGAGACUGGUCCCUCCGCACGUAGAAUGCCCAGUGAGGGCUGUGUAGGGGAUGAAAAGUAGAGGGGGCUGCUAGGAUAUUAUUACAUUAGAGAGUAUAGGGGACCCCCUCUCUCUCUCCAACUCUCAUUUUCUCUCCCUCUCUUACACUCUCUUGUUCCCUCUCUAUCUCUAGAAGGAAAAGAGAAGAAGAACAAGAAGGAGAAGAAGGAAAGGAAGAGAAGAAAAGGAAAGGGAAGAAAAGGAAGGAGAAGAAGAAAGAGAUCAAGAGGAAGACCUUGGACAUCUUUCCUUCCCUCUCCUCUUCUCCUUGGUGUAGCUAAGAGGUAAGCUACCAAACCCUAGCUUAUGAAACUUAGGGUUUUUGGGUUUUAGCUCUUUGGAUGGGAUCAAAUAGAUCCCUAGCACCAUGAAUGGUAAGAUUGGAGCUAGAAUCUAGGAUUUUGAGAUGGGUUUAGCUUGGUGCUAACCCUAGGGCUCCAAAAUAGGGUUUUUGAUAAAGUAUGAGAUUGAUCUCAUUUGAGACCAUGUAAACCUAAUUGCUAGGUAACGAAACGCGGGAGCGAAGUCGGAAUUUCGAUUAGUUGAGCGGAUCAAGAGCUAUCGGCAAAAUAAGGCCGAUUGAGCAUUAUUUUGGACCAAGAAGAUCAAGACUUCGUCGUAACGUUCGUUGGAGGGCAUUUCUAGAGCCUUCAUACCCUCAAGAGGUGGGGGGUGUCAUCCCGAAGCAACCGGGUUUCCUUUUAUGCCUAAGUUAAUUUUAUUCAUCAUAUGUUGAUUGUGCAUUAUAGGAUUAGUAGAAGUAUAUUUUCAUUCCUUGCAUGCUUACUUAGUAGUGUAGCGGUAUGGACCUAACACUUGGACUAGGGAGACAUGAGGAUUGGGUCUUGAGACAAAGAAUCAGAUAGUGGCAAAAGUGAUGAACUUGGACAUAGGCUAGUAGAGGGGCAUUGAACUAGUGUAGUAGAAACACUAAACAAGAACGAGUGGCAUGUCAAUUAGCUAGAAAACUUACUACAAUGAUCGAACGAGUGGCAUCGGGUCUAGUGUAGUAAACAUGACAUGGUUCUAGGGAUAGUAGAGAUCCCGGCAUCUAGGAUGCAUUGUAUAUUGUGCAGUAGAGGCACAUUGACCCUAGUAGACAGGGUAUCCUCUUGUGAGGAUUGGAUCAUACUCAUUAGUCUGUUUUUGCUUGUCGGUGGUCGCUCCACCGAGGCACGAGUCUCUGGAGUACUUCACUAGGGGCAGACGUAGUUGUCCCGCAGACGGUCUCGGUGUGCGAGUGCAGUUUCUCCUCACCUAUGAGAUUGAGAGUGAGUCGAGGGUUUAACCUUCGGGUUAACCAAGUGAAUUGGGUAAGAAACAUGAAAUGCAUAAUAGACUUGCAUUAUUACCUUGAGUAGACAUAGUGUAAUGUUGUAGAUUAAUUGUAAUGCCAUAUAUAAUAGAUGACAUGAUAAUAGAUGAUUAUAAUUGUUGCAUGCAUUAUUCAUCAUUGAUGCAUUGAUAGAGUAGUGAGCGAGUUUCUUUAUCUAUCUUCUAUCUCAUCUAUCUGUGCCAGGCUUAGACAUAGUGGGAAAACCGGCGGCGUCGAUGUUCGAACUCACUGGGAACUAUAUUUAUAUAGUUCUCACCGUUGUUUUGGGGUAUCGGAUCACAUAGAGGAGAUCAAGCGGGAUCGCAGCAAGGAUAGCUGUCACGCCCGCGGGUUCUUUCAGUUUAAAAGAAUAGCGGAAAGCGUCUGAAUUUUUUUUUUGAAAACUUGACCCAGGUAUGCCAGAUCCGCCACAAAUACAGGGAAUCCAUGUGCACAGACAGAGUCUCCCUGUAUUUGCACGGCGUCGCACAAAUACAGAAGUAACCCUGGUACAACCAAACCAAAUGAAUAUACAAAUAACAACAAUUAUAUAUUUAUUACACCAUUUCACAUCCAUGGUUCACAUUUAUAUAUAAAUAUUUAAACAUAAAUCCACAUCUAUCAGUUAAAAAUAUUUCCAACCACAGAAACAGGUUUUGAAAUAUAAAUGCAAAAUCCACAGAAACACUUUUGAAAACUGUUUCCUACACGGAAACUUUAUUCUUUAAAAGGCUACCACGAGGGUAGAAAAUAUUUUAUUUUACAAAAUCCAGAAAUCCGUUUAUUACAUUCACGAAAAUCCAUAUUUUCAAAUGUAAUAAAAUAGCUGAACCAUAUAACUAUCUAAGCUAUAAAACUGAAAUGAUAAGGGUAAUAACUAUACUGAAAUAACCUGGGUCGGAAGCUCUAUCGCCUACACACGUACCUCACGUCUCGUCCAACUACUCAUCGCCCGCGAUACUGAAAAUGAUCGGGAGGUGAGAACAUGUAAACAUGUCUCCCCUCCAGUGGUACCGCAGCCGAAGAAGGCGAGGAGUAUUCACACGGAUGAGGAAGAGCUUUAUAAAAUACGGGUCAGUGGGAAUACAGUAGAAUAAAUGAAAGAGAUGUAUAAGGUAAUGAGCAGAUAUACUAUAAUACAGUGGCAACAAUAAUAAUGAACAUAAUGUAUAAGAACGAUACCGCUAUGUAAGAAGAAUAUAAAACAUACCUGGGUUCAAACUAUAGUAGCAAGACAAGUAUAUAGAGAGAACUGUAUUGCAUGCAACAACUGCUACUAUCGACGUAUGCGUCAAUGGAUAAUCAGUCCAAAGUACCAAUCUAAAACCAAUGCUCUCUUGGUCAGACCGCAGACCUCAAGCCAAUGCACGUACUACUCUCACAGUGCAUAUACCUCUAGGGCUCACGGGUUGUCACAUUCAACCACUUUCAGAAAAGAACACUCCUUGCGGUGGAUCAGACGCUAGUGUUCGUGAAAUGACGAGAUAUCGGACGCGAUCAAUGCAUAUGCUCAAUGAUCAACCGACGCAACCAGCGAAUCUCGCGCCCCAGAGCCAUCGACCGCAAUAGGUCGUCAACUGUAAAUAAGAGCACAGAACGACCAUUCAGGUCAACUAGGAUGGGACAACAUCGAAUCUCUCUAAACAUAAUGCAAAUACACUCAAUGAACACAAAGGACUCGACCACUCAGAUCAACUAGGAUAUGAAAUCGACCAAUCACGUCACAAGUACAGGAUAUGAACUCGACCAUCACGUCACAAGUAUAGGAUAUGAAACUCGACCAAUAACUCACAAGUAUAGGAUAUGAAACUCGACCAAUCAUGUCACAAGUAUAGGAUAUGAGUAAAGUAUAAUCAUCCGUGCGAACUAACCGACAAUCCCACCCUCAGGGUAUACGACCUCAAGUCAUCAGACAACAAAGGUGAGGAACUCACCGAAUAGGUCACAAAUACUGAAUACUAGAAUCGACCGACUAGAUGCUUAAUCUCACAGAUAAUCAGGAAUGCUCUACUAUAAAUAUGAAACAGGGUAUGCAAAAAGCUAAGUAGAGCAACAGGAACAUGGUAUCACAUACAGAUAGACUAUACUCCUACACAUGAUACUAAGCAUGGAAACUCUGAGUAGAGUAUAACAAACAACGUGGGUGUAAUGUAAACAUAGAGGUGCAAAGCUCAACUAUAAAUAAAGCAUGGAUAAUAACAAAAGAGCAAGGGUAAGAACCAUCACCGAGCGUGCACCAUGUACCAACGUCGGAUCGAGUACCCACCUGUACAACUGUCGCGCGCUGUCUCCUGACUGCAAAAGAAUGUCAACCGGACCUAAGGAGGGUCCACUGGUUAGUGUCUAACCCAGCUAAGAACCCUAAAAGCAUAACCACAAACAAUCCCGACAGAAAUCGAUUUCCCAAUACCGAUUACCGUAACUCGCCGGAAGUCCCGAAAAUCGCACCGGGACUCCGCCGGGACCCACUAACUAUCCCGGAAGGCACCGACUCAUGCCACGAGUCAUUCGCUGCCACUAAACACUUAUUUUAGUGUGACAUGGCAGCAAACACAAGGAUACACAACCAAACAACUAUUGGUGGAUAAUUGUUGGGAUCCGGGUUCCCGGAAAUGUCUAUUUCGACACCGGAACCCACCGUCGCUCACCCGUCAUUUCUGAACUCUCGAAAUGAUGCGAGUGACCAGCCAACAAGGCUCAGCGACUACACAAUAGCUCACGAAGCACCGUCGGAAUAAUUCCGAACCAAAACCGCGUUCCGUCGGCAGAUUUUGUCGACAAACGCACCGAAAAUACAUUUUCGAUCUUCGCAAAGGUCUGGGGCCUUGGACAAUCAGUCUAGAGAUCACCCACAGCCUACCCAUGCUGCCAACAGCAGCCGCAAUAACCGGAAUUGCAUAAAACACUUUCAAAUACCCGAAAUCGCAUUAUUUCAUGCCAUUUCGGCGCUUUUAUGGUCCGUCUGCACAAACCAGAAGUGAAUCAGCCGAGCCAAUAUACCCAUUUACAGGUUUCGACGUGCCGAAGGCCGUGCUCACCUUUCGGAGCAAUUUCGGCCACUGUAGAGAGCGCGGGGGUGACGCGAAAGUCUGCGAACAGCGCGCACAGCAUGAAAAGCAUGCUUAUCUCGCUAACCAGGGGCUCGCUGACCCUAAUUGAGGUGAGCACUGUGAUCAGCACUGACUGAUGAUCACCGUGGUCACUUCCGGAGGCAUCGGAACAGCCUCGGGUCGCCGGAACAGUAUACACAACCCCAAACAGUGCACAAUAAUUGCAAUACAAGCUUACAGGAGCUAGGCAGGGCUCGGGGUGGCCGGCGGCGGCUAGACGACGGACAGGCCGGCGAGGGGAAGGUGCUCGAGGUCAUAGGAGGCCGGGGCUUGCGUCAACAGGCGACGGGAGGCGGCGACAACGGCGGGCAACGAUGCCCUAGUUGCACAACCCGAGGAGAGCAUGGGCUCACCAUGGUUGACAGGGAGCUCCGGCGGCGGGUUAGCCGGCGGUGGACGGGUGCGGCCGGCCAGGCGGAGCCAGUGCUCACGUCGGACGGCGGCAGUGCCGGUGCUGGAUGUGGCUUGGUCUACACAAAGCCCAACCGGGCUGAGCCGAACAAGACGGCGGCGCUGGCGGCCGGGAGAGGUCGGGGGUGCACAGGGGCGACGGUGGUGGUUCGCCGGAGGCCGAGGGAAGGCGGCGCAGCCGAUCUAGAGUGGCAGGAGGGUGGCGCUUCCAAUCCCGAGCCGCAUUAGGGCGAGAAGGAGGAGAUCCCACCACCUCGGCCAGAUCUGCUCAGAUUUGGCCGCAACUGGCCAGGGUGGUGGUGGCGGCGCUCGGGGGCUGCCGGGACGGCGGCGGCCGGCGGCGAUGAUGUUGGAGAAUGGUCUCGGCCAGAGGGUGGAGUCCGAGGGUGUGGGUUCACCCUGGUAACAGCACAAGUGGGGGGGUUGAAGGGUGGUGAAGCAAGGAACAAUGGAGAGGUGGAGGAGCAGCCAGCUCCGGCGGCCGGCGGCGUGCUCUGGUGGCCGGAGCGCGCGCGGGGAGAGCAGGGGAACGUGAGGGAGGCGGUUAAGGAAGAGGAGGGGACCCAGGGUUAGGGUUUCAUGGUGACCUAACUCUAUGAUAUAUGUACAAUUACAGAAAAACCCACCUCAACCCUAUUUUUAUAAUUUAGUCCCUGCCAUUGCGCGUAACUUGCGCAUACGCACCACCACGCUCGAUCUCGCGCGAUUCGGUAUAUAAAAUAUUACGACUUUUGCGAAUUUCCCGAUUUUCCACUCUCGACCCCUUAGCGAACUUAUUGCAAUUCCAAAAGAUCCGUCCAUCGGAUUUCCGAUCGGAUCACGCCAACGCGUUCAGCACGUCGAGGCAUUGAAUCUAGCAUUUCGUUUCGUCCGAUUUGAUCUCCGAUUCACGACGAAAUCCAUUCUCUCUCCAAAAGGCCAAAAUGAUGCACAAUUACAUAAGAAACAAGUAUUUUCAGAUUUUCUCGAAAGCCGUGCAUCAGAUCUAAAUCCGUCAGUGCCAUUGGUUCCAGAAUAGCUGAACCGUUCAAAACGAGCUAUUGGAUCGCUAUGAACGGAGUCCGAUACGCGCCGAAAGCCAACUCUACUCCGUGGCUUCUCCGAAAAACCGGAGUUACUAUUCACUUAAGUGAAAACUAAUAAUCGCGUAACUUCUCCAUUUUAGCUCAUUUUCUCCUGAAACUUGACGAGUGCUUAUGUAAUUAAAUUACAUACAUAAACAUCAUCAACAGAGAGUUUAGUUGCACUGUAAAAAAUCUCAGUCCUUACAAUAGCACCCUAAGUGAGCCUAGUUAGUAACUUUUCCUUUAUGCAUUAGAGUACCCUCGUGUACUAGAAGAUGUUUUGGAUAGUUAUUGGAGAGCUACUUGUAUUUUGAGGAAAACAUGUAUUCACAUUUUGGAAGAUGAAAAUGUAAAUGUUGAAUGGUUGUAAUAGUUAGACUCUCUCUCUUUAUACACUUGUAUACCACUUGUGGUUCUUGCUCUUAGUUACUUGGCACUUGUGUGCCUUAGUCGAUCAUGUAUGUAUUGAAUUUAUUCUCCUGGGCAAAUUCUUGUACAUGAUCUGGGGGUUUAGCCUUGGGCGGACAGGAGAGGUGCUGUCCGUUCGGCGGUUCGUCCGACGCGCCCGAACCGUGCCAAAUUGGUAGUGGAUUCGGGGCGGGGCAUGACAUAUAGGUUAAUAGAUUUAGUUAAUCAUAGAUAAAAUACUUAAUUCUGAUUAGUCAAUAACAUAAAUUGAUAUUUUUACCCCUUUUAUAUUAUACUUUCUUCUCUCAAUCAAAACCCUCGCAAUGGAAAUUCUUCUUUUUCUUCCUCUUCCUCUCUCUCCUUCAUACUAGUUUCAAACAUGUAACUAGAAAUUUUUUGUUCCCAUUCAUCCACGACGUGUGUUGCUUCGCCCAUGUCGAACACAUGCUGCUUUCUCAUUCAAUUUCCUCUUGAUUUUUUCUUAUUUUGCUCAAAAAAAAUUUAGGAGAAAAGGAAUGAGAUAAGAGGUUGCAAAAAUGGUAGAUAAGGUUGGGUUUAAAGAGAAAGAAGAUGAGGAAAAGAUUACCAUUGAAAAUUUUUACCGGGAGGGGGGACAUUUCUACACGAUUAUAGCAGUUGGGGUUUUUGGAGGAAUAUAUUUGUGAAGGCAAAAUUGACAUUUCACUUAUCUGCUGUUAAAAAAUAAACAGUUCUCUGACGGUAACAAACUAAAGGGACAAAUAUGAAUAUCACUUGACUUUUGCAGGAUAAGAGUUAAAAGUUGAACUUUGUAGGGAUAUAUUUGCUAUUCGCUAUAUUUACAGGGAGCUAUAUGCAAUCUUUAUUUUAACUAAUAAGAUCGGGAGAUCGGUUCUUUUUACCAAUUUUCAGAACCUGCUAAAAUUCAUAGAAACUUACCGGAAACACUUCCAUAAUUCACGAGAUGGCCCCAAAGGAUGGCAUUCAAUAUUAUAACCUAUCAACGCGUAAUGCCCCGAGUUAGGGUGAAACCUGAGCUCGCCAACAGAUCCGUCGCACAUACGGAAAGCUCCAUGCACACGAAACAUCAAAAGUACAUGUAAACAAUUAUAAAAUUACAACUAGCAGAUAUUAGAGCUAAAAUAAAAGCUACUGAAAAGCUAAGUGUAUAAUCAUACUGUACAUACACCAACAUCAAAAAUAUACAUCACUCAUGUCACAAAAUUGAAGAUGGCCAAACCAGUCCCAGUAUGAACAAUUCCACAAAAAACCUGCUUCUAUCGAGUCUAUAAGAGUUGUUAACCCAGAGAUUUAAUUGGCGAAACAACACCUGGAGGGGGGUGAAUAUUUGUCAACAGUAAAAACAACCAACUCUGCGAAUAAAAAUAAAUUGCGAAAAAUUAAAACCACACACUGAAAUUUUUGCAUGGGAAAACCCCAAGCGGAGUAAAAGAUCGACGGGACAAAAUAUAUGAAAAAAAAAUCCACAAAGGUGAUUUACUGAAUUCAUGACUCAACCUUUAUGCUACACUCGAAGUAGAUCUUCCUUGCUAGUCCCCGAUUGAUUGAACUCCUCCAAUCGAGCACGCUAUGAAUCUUCGCAGUGUCUAUGCUUUGAAUCCAAAAAGCCUCCACCAAAUCCACGUGUCACUCCCCGAGCCCACAAUGGAAGCACUCAUCGGGCAGGUGCACAAACUCACUGAACAGACAGAGCUUUUUCUGUCACGCCCCGAGCCCGAUCCUUUUGGCCGGUUCAAGCGCGUCGAACAGAUGCCGAACGGACAGAGCCUUCCCUGUCCGCCCAAGGCUCAACAACAUUUAUCAAUAGGGUAAAAUUUUGCACAUGCGGAAGCAAACACAAUAGCUUGCACGAGGGCAAGCAAUAGCCAAUAGUGAAAGUAAUAAACUACUCUUAGGAAAAUCAUUUACAUUUUUGCAUCAUUUCUUCUCUUUUACAUAACAUGAUAUCUCAAAAUAUAAAUUUUGUAUUGAAACAUAAUUCUUUUUUACAUCAUUCAUUUAACAUGUUCAUAAUGCUAAAAUCAUCAAAAUACAAAAGAUGAUAACUAAAGGGUAUGCAACUAAACCAAAAUGUGAAACCAACUCGGGUGGUCUCUAUCUAGGGCGCGAUGCCCUUACCGGGAUCGUCUACCGGCUUGCUCGAUCCCGGCUCUGUGGAAAUAUUGGGGUGAGAACUACAACAAAGUUUCUAGUGGGUUCGGCAACCGACCACGCCGACUUUCCCACUAGGUCUAAAUCAGGCAUAAUAGAAGAAAAGAAAUAUAGAUAGUAACCGAACUAUACAAAUGCAGCUAAUAUGCCUGAACAAUAAAUAAUGCAAUGGUCAAUAAUAUGCUCAUGAUGAAUGCAAGGUCACAAUCUCAUUGCUCAAUCUCUUGGCUAACCCAUAGGUUUCGCCCUCAACAACUCACCAACUCAAAUCCCAGUAUCGGGGAGGCUACUACACUUGACGGGACCGUCUUCUGGGGAGACUACUAUACCCAGUGAUGAUAACUCCGGAGCACAUCGCCCGAGGGGGAGCUAUCACCCUCGAGCAAGGACUUACAGGCGAGUAUGAUCCAAUCCUUAACUAUAAGGAUGUCAAGUUCAAUCCAUUCCUUAACUAUAAGGAAACAAUGCACAUAUGACCUUUAACUCUAAGGUUGUUAUGUCAUAAUGUCGCUAUCACAUUUUUACUUGCAUUCUUUACUUUCACUAGUGUCAUAUACACUACUAUAUUCUUGUACACAUGCCAUACUUGUUUUCUAAAUAUUCCAACUCUAGCUUCUCGACUCAUCAUUGUCACUUUCUACUUCUAUGUCAAAAUGUCAUAUUUGUUUACUAAGUUUACUAAGUUCUUAUCACUUGUCAUGCAUAAAUAGGGUUUAUAAAGUUCUCACAUUCUUGCUAGUAACUCACAUGCAUUUGUACUCACAAUAUGCAAUGAAAUGCUCACAUAUAACCCUACUAUGAAAUUUUAUGCUCAAUACACAUUUGCUCAAAUAUGACACUUUAGACAUUAAAGGAAUUCCGAGGGCCUCAGUAUGCACCACCCACCUCAGAUGGUUGAGAGGAUGCUACGGUAAAUUUCUCGGGAUUUUUGAAGCCCUGCUUUUUCGCCUGCGGCAAAACGAAGCCAAAUUAGGCUUUUUCAAAAUAACGUUAUCUAAACCUUUUCGUAACGUCAAACGGAGUUGUCCCACGCGUCGGAAAUACCCCCAAUUAGGUUUCUACAAGGUCAAUUUGUCUUGAAACAUUUAGAGGCAAAAGCUCCAAAUUGGGUGCCCUAACAAUACUGUUUGCUCAAUCCUAGGUUUGAUCUCUAAAACAAGCAAAAGAUGGUUUGUCCAACAUCUAGAAGCUCAUUUAGAACUAUCUAAAUCAUUCCUAGGGUUUAAAAUGCAAGCCCUAAAAAUCCACCAUUAGAAGGUUCCAAGAAAACCGUGUUUUUCAUGGUGUUCAAGGCUCUAGCAUGCUUCUAAAACCUCUAAUUUCAAAACUCUAAAACUUAAGGUUUAAAUCCUAACCCUAGAGCUAUUCUUUCACAAAAUUCACCUUAGCCAAAAGCUAUCCCCAAGUCCACCUUGUAGGAGAGCCCUAGAUCCUCUCCAAGGCACCAAAAUCUAAGUUUCUCCUUCAAAUCCCCUCCAAAUCCACCUUUUGGAGAGCUCUCUAGAGAGAGAAAGCAAGAGGAAUGAGAGGGAGGGGGUGAAUGGCUGUGGGAGAGAGUGAGGAGGGUCAUUGGGGUCUUAACAUGUUGUAACAAUUACAACAAAACCCUCCAAACAUUUGUAUUUACAGCAGUUUUCAUUUUGCUGUCAGACCCAAAGUGUACUGGUACACUUUAGGGUGUCACCAGUAACACGAUUACGCAGAGGCAAACCCGAGAGCAGCUCUCUCGGGUUUGGGGCAUUUGUACUGGUACACUUUCAUUUUGUACAGAUACACUUGUCUGUACCGGUGACAACUCGAUGGUUGUACCGGUACACUUUGCCGAGACUUGAUUUUUGGCUCCGUUUCGAUUCUAUUUCGCGCCGAUCGAUGCCAAAACCCUUCUAACACUUCUAGAACUCAUUUUUAACCCUUCCAACAUUAUUGGAAUGCUAAAUGGGAUUUGCCUAACUAUUUCUUUCGCAUUGCUCAUAUUUUAAAACGCACCGAGUGAUGCUAAAACUUGCUUAACUCCCUCGGGACUCGACUUUGACCCUUCCAACAUUGUUGUAAUGUCAACUGGAGUUUGUGCAUCCAUUUCUCUCGACACUUUAACCAAUUUGGCUAAAGUUCGAUAAUUGCUACUGAGGUUUCGAUACGUUACAUUCUUCAUCCCUUAAAAUUAGUUUCGUUCGCAAAACUAACUUGAUUAAAAUCCAGAUCCAUACCUUAUUCCAGAUUCUCGAAGAGAUGGGGAUAAUGCUCCCGCAUCGCGCUCUCGAGCUCCCAAGUGGCUUUCCGAUCAUCGUGGUUGCACCAACGGAUCUUUAUAUACGGAAUUUUUCGGUUCCGUAGUUUCCUUACUUCUCGGUCGAUGAUGUACGCCGGGAACUAAUCGUAAGUCAUAUCCUCUUGAAUCUCGGAUAGUUCAAACGAGAGGACAUGCUCGGGGUCAUGAACAUACUUGCGGAGAUUCGAUACAUGGAACACAUCGUGUACUCCCGCAAGUCUCGGUGAUAGUGCUAUCUUGUACGCCACCGCGCCGACCCUCUCAUGUAAUAUACUGAAUCUGGGCCUAUUGACAAGUUCGAGGGUUGGAUCGGCUUUUGGAACUGGUCUACGACUUUUGCAAGACUAUUGAAAGGUUUUUGAUAAGUUACUAGAGUAAGUAAGUAACUAGAAAUGGAAAAGUGCAUCGCAAAUGCAUUAUCAAUUGUAGUACUUCGAAUUUGGUCAAUUACGAAGUUCGAACGUGGGAAAAGGUAAAUGAAACUGCCCUACACAUUCUAAAGGGUUUGGACAAGUUUUUGGACAAGUUAGAGAGUGAUUGGAGGGUUAAAAGUAAGAAAGUGCAUUGAUCUGGCGAAAUCAGUGUUUUUCUGCUUGCUGUACCGGUACAGCCAUCACCUUGUACCGGUACAGACUGGCAGAAACGUGGCAGCAAGGCUAUUUUGGUAUUUUCACAUCUUGUCUCUAUCCAUAUCACCCCAGCACGACUCCUAGCCCCCUGUGGAAAGCUUUAGAGCUCAGAGAAGGCUUCUUUCACCUUCUCCACUUUCUCUCUCUAGGGUUUCUCUCUCUACAAGUGAGAAUUGCCGUUUCGUGCCGAUUUUGUGCCGCGCUCGUCGCUCGCUGGUUUGGAGACUUAAGGGAAGUUUGUGGAACGUGGGAAGGAGGUGUUUUGCUGAGUUUGCUGCGAGAUUAUCACCAAGAAAAGCUGAAUCUCAGCUUUAGAGAGGUAUUUAACUCAACUUCUCUCUAGUUUGUAGUUUGGUGUCGGAUUUGGAGUUGUUUAGAUUUCCUUGCCUCCAACCGAACUAGAGGAUGAUUUCAGCAGUAAAGAGGAGUUAUUUGGACUGUGAAUUACUCACUCUAGCUCAGAGAAAAGUCACUGUAAAGCUUGAUAAAGAUAAUUGAUGAUUUAUAACUUAAUUUUGAAACUACACGGAGUUUAAUCGUGCAAUUGAUGUCGUUUGAAAUUGUACCUUCGCAGCAGGUUUCCAAAUUAAUUUGAGCUGAAUUUGUGACCUUGGGGACUGGUUUAGAAGGUGUUCCAACUAAAGGUAAGCUGAAAUUGCUGUGAGGAAACUGAAUUUUCAAGAUUCCGACUAUAUCUAUUGGUAUUUGACGACUAUGAUGCUGUUUUGGAAAUUGUUCGCAGCGGGCUGGCAACUGACUUUCGGAGUAUCUCCGGCUGAUGUGUAAAGACUUUUAGAAGCUUAAUUUGAGGUAUUAACUGAACCCAAAACAGGGAUUCAAGUUAUUACUUUGUACUAAGUGCAAAUUGUACCGAAAUUGGACAUUUCGGCCGUAGUUUUGAUGCGCUUUUCGUGUUUCGUUUUCAGCAGCGUCGAGGCUCCGUUGAGCAGGGUUCGGGACUCCUUUUGGCUGGAUUGAGCUUGGUGAUAGGUGGGUCGGACCUUCCCGAAAUGGGUGAAUUCCCUCUAUGUCUCCUUUGACAUCUGAGUUGAAGUUAUUUUAUAUUCUUGUGAAUAUAUGUAUAGUUUAAGGCAGUGAGACAUGCACUGAUAUGUAGAUCAUAUCGGAAAUGAUAGCAUCUUUAAAUUGUAGUGAAAGAUUCAUGACUUGUCCAUUCUACAUGGUUACCUGUUAAGUACUAUGGAUUCAUGAUACUAGUAGCUGGCAUAUGCAAUUUGGCUUGUUGUUAUCCACGAGGAUAGAAUGGUAAGUUCGUGAAUGGACUAAUUAGUUCUGUUGAACAACAAAGAGAUUGAUGUAUUUAGGAUUGAGCUAUGCAAUGUUAUGUAUAAUUGCUAUACUCUGAAAGUUCAGGUAAAGGCCUUUGUUUGGCAUAUGCAUUUCUAAUUGUAAAAUGAAUGGCAUAGAGAUCAUGUGAAGAGUGUUUUAUCGCUUGUUUUACUUGCUUGCAUUACCCUGUUAGUUUCUACUUUCACAUGAUAGACUUGUAUUAUGGUAUAUGUUCUAGUAAGUAACUAGACUUUCAUAUGAUGGCAUAACUUGAAUGAUUAUUCAACUGAAUAUAAUCUAGUAAAUAACUAGAUUUGGGUAUGAUAACAUACUUGUAUAGUCAAGUAGAGAUUUAUAUUGGACUACAGGAUAUGUGCCAUGAGUCUAUGAACAGAACCUUAGUAAACUACUUUCCUUAUGUGUAAGGAGUAGUGAGAGAUUGUGAGUGACUGACCAGGUAUAGCCUGAUAGAAUCACUAGUGGGAUGUAAAGUUUUAACUUGUUAAGUUAUAUUAACGACUGGUAGAAUCUUGUCAACAAGUGGUUGAUAGUGACUUAUGAUUAAGUACUAUAGUGCCGACCUUGGGUCGAGUUGAGAUUCCAUGUCGGAGAUAUGAUGCUGUUGAGAUAUUUGUACCCUUGACUAUAGCUAGCAUGCCAUUAUGCUCUUCCGUACAUGCUUGCGGGGGUCGCGCCCCCUAAGCCCCGCAUUCCGGAGUGGCUUGAGUUGAGAUACCAUGUCAGGGACAUGAUGCUGUUGUGAGAUUGGUACUAUGGACUACGAUUUACAUGCCAUUGAGCGCGUUCGCACACGCUUGCGGGGUCGCUCCCCCCCAAGCCAGCACUCCCGAACAGCUUAGCGACAGAUGCUCACAAAUGUACGAAGUGAGCGCCGAAAUGGAAUGCCGUGGGGGAGGCUCAUUCCUCGAGUGGGGGAUGUUGACUACCACGGGGCCAUUAGGCACGGCGCGGCUCGAACUUACCUUGUGUAAGUCUGUUGGAAAUUGGGUUAGGUCAAGUACUUUAACCUUAGCUGGACAUAGUAGUAAAGUUACUUUAUGUCUUUGGUUAAGUGAACUUAUUGAUGAACAUACUAGAAAGUUGACAUCUAAAGUGAGCUUAGUGAUGAACAACCUAGAAGUUGACAUCAUGAUUGGUUAGCAACAUAAUGAAUGACAUUAUGUCUCUUUCUUGCUAUGGAACAAGGUAAUUACAUGAUAUCAUCUGUAAUUUCAGUAAGGUAAAUUAUCUUGCAUACAUUCUGAUAUAUGUUUGGUUAAAUUGUCAAGUAAUAUGAUUGAUAGAAUCUAUCAUGAUAACUGAUACCUGCAAUCUAUUGUUAUUUAUUUAUGGUUGAGCAAAUAGCAUGAGUAGUUUACUUCCAUAUCUGUUGCAUAUAAUUGCUUAUUGCAUUAUCUGCAUUUACUCGCUUAUUUAUUGCUAUCUACUCAUGCCACAGUUGACCUAGUGGUGUACUUCGCCACUCUCGGCGGCUUACCCACUGGGAACUAUUGUUUAAUAGUUCUCACGCCCUCUUUGUUGUUGUUUUUACAGAGCCUUCCACAGCGGGAAAGGCUGGGGUUCCUGGCGAGGGGUCAGCGGCUAGCUAGAGCCUUUUUGGACGUGUACUAGAUCACCUCCACCAGUUUAUAUAGUUUAGUACGGAGAUGUAUAUUAAGUUUUUGUAAAUUAUACUUUAUUCUUAUGUCCUGUUUGAAGAUUUGGAUUGUAUAAGUUUAAGUUUAAAAGUCGUG
rnacentral:lncRNA from 1 species